rnacentral:lncRNA from 1 species
GCAUGGUGUAGGUCCGAGGCAGCCGGUCGGGUCCUCCAUCGAUGAUAUUGUGGCCAAGCGGGAGGAAGAACUUGGGAUCAAGCUCAAAGUUCGCCGUUGCGGGAGGCGGUGGCGGAGUGACCGGUGGUGUCUCAGAGGGAGUUCGAGGAGGCGACGGUGAUGAGACAUGACGGAACUGUGUCGCAGGGGUUGCUGUUUCACCGAGAGUAUGAGCAGUUCCCGAGAUAUCAGCGACAGGGGAGGUGGUGGGUCUCUUACAGUUCCAAGUAAGACAAUUAUUACGCAUAAAAGAGGCUCCUCUAUAUCGUGCGUGGCCCACCAUGUUGUCAGAGCAUCCAGGCGAAGCCGUACAGUUCGCAGCUAGAUGGCCCCGAGCGUUGCAAAUAGAGCAAGAAAAGAUAUCCUCAACCAUGAUAUUAAUGAGUUCGUCAAAGGCCAGAUGGGCCUCUUGAGAGGAAGGAAUAUCCAUCGGGCGAUUAGGCUCAGGCCCAGAGAAAGAGAUAACCUCAGCAGGCUCAUUAAUGAGAGAGGAAAUUGGCCCAGAAUCCAAGCUUGCCACCGAAAAUUGAUUCUCAUCAUUUGAAAUACCCUGAAUCUCGGCUGGAUCAGAUGUAGCUCCUUGUUGCACGGGAGAAGUUCCGAUUAAUUUGGCAGUUUGAAAAUCCUCGCCGGGAGAUCCGGGAGAUGAAACUUGGCAAGAAACUGUCCCAAACGUAAUAUGCGGCGUGGCUGUCGUCCACCGGAGUUCCGCCGGCGGUGGUGCGGAGAUGAUGACACGUUCAGGGGAAGGCACCGAAUAACCAGCCUGUUCAAGCGUGACUAACUCAUCAUGGGAAACAGGAUAUCUGUAGCCCUUGCAAACCUCAUAUUGCUGAAGGGAUGCAAAAGUCAGCUUCUUACGAACAGAAGAUCUAGAUUUAAGUGAAGACUUGAGGGGUCUGGAAUGCAUGGCCAUCAGACGUAAAGAGGCUCUCCUCUUAGAAGGGCUCACAAUAAUCCACUCAGCAUCACAUUGCUUCUUCCACAGAGCAAAUUCCUGACGCCAAUUAGGACCUCCAUGUCCCCAUAGAUGGAAGAAGCACUUAAAACUUGAACACUUGAAAGAACGCAAAUCCAGAAUAUGAAAACCAACUUGCAUGCAGGAGACCUUGAAGGAGAAAACCGAAUCUGUGACUUGAGAGACACGAAACUCAAUAGCCGAUCCUCCAAUCACCGAUUCCAGAGCUGCAGCGACUGUGUCAGGCAAAAGACGGAACACAUGACGACCAAAGGAAAUCACCAUGAUGAAAGGGCAGUGGUGCUUCAUAGGGUGCACCGUAAUACCCGAGUGGCGAUAAACCUCAUUAGAGAAAGCCAAACCGUGCGAGAAAUCCAGAUCCAACGUAGAACCACCCAUGCAGGCCAUGCACGACCACGUGAGGAGGGUCGGGAAGGUUCACCUGAGCAGAGGAGUGGCGAGGAUGGAGGAUACGCCGGCUAGAGUUCCAGAUCGCCAUUGGGUCGCCGCCGUGGGAGGUGGGAGGAGGGGGACGCAAUGAUAAUCAAUGAUGCCUAUUUGAAAGGCAAUAUUGACCCUGACCAGGAUGAGCUUGACAUGGUGUUUGACUUUACUCCUAGCAAUGCCGAGUUGUUGGAACAAGUGAGAAAAUAUCUGAAUUGUCUGGACCCAAGUGAUGUUAUUAAGUUUAAUGCUAGGCAUAAUGUGGGAUUUGGAAUGCACAUUGGUUGAAAGACCAUGCGUGUUAACUUCGAGUAAUGUUCCGUUGUAUACAAGCAGAUGGUGACCGAAUCACUCGACAAGGCUCUAGAGUUAUUUGCCAUUAAAAAGGUUUAUGCUAACUUGCACUUGGAUUUAAACAGGGUUGCCUCCGUGAUUAUUGAUAGUAGUCCUCCACACAAUGACCAAGAUGACAUAAGUGAACCUCUUUUGACCCAACAUGUGUGAUGACCCAGAAGUAUAAGAGAUCGAUCGUUGUUCUUUCAAUAACUAAGAGUGUCGAACCCAACAGGGAGAAAAAGGAAAUGAUAAGCACUUUCAGCAAGGUAUUCUUUGGAAGUGUUAUAAGUAACAAUGAUAGAUUGUUGCGUAGCAAGAUAAUUCAUAACAAGUGACAAGUAACAAUAGUAACCAAGGUGCAGCAACGGAGCCCAACCCUUUUAUAGCAAAGGACAUGCGUGAACGUACUCUUAUAUAAAGCAAGAGCUCCCAAGGAUAAAUGUGAAUUUCAGUAUAUCUUGAUCAUAUUGAGUUGAUUUGCAUUCGCUACUUUGAUAAUUUGAUAUGUGGGUGGACCGGUGCUAAGUGAUGUUUUUUUACUUGAACUAACAACCUACAUAUGAUUACCCCCUCUUGCAAGCAUCUGCAACUACAAAAAAAGAAUUAAGAUAAAUCUAAACAUAGCAUGAAACAUGUGAAUCCGAAUCAGCCCCUUAUGAAAAAACACAUAAACUAGGGUUUAAGUUUCUAUCACUCUCGCAACACAGUGCCAUCUCUAUCAAAAGACAUGGGUGACUAGUUAUCCAACACUGAACACUAGCAAUCAUUUGAUGCACGAUGCAUAUUACAACAAUGAAAAAAGAGAGAUAUUAGAUGGUGAGUCAAUCUAGACGAUAGUAAUCCUAGACAAAGCGCAAAGCAUCCACUAGUGGAAAAUGGGCCUUUGGCCUCUAAAGGCCCGACCACAUCGCCCCAAUUCCCAAUGCCUCCCUCGAGGCUUUAGUCCCGGCCCGUAAGGAGCCUUUUGUCCCGGUUCGUGUCCCAAACCGGGACUAAAGGGCUACGCGGUGGGCAGCCCGCAUGUGCGCCACCUUUAGUCCCGCUUUGUGUCUCAAACCGGGACUAAAGUCCUCUGCCUAUAUAUAGCACAACCCCCUCUCCCCUCUUCCUUGCAUUUUUCUUGGAUGGAGGAUUGUGGGUGGGUGCUUGCUCUCCACUUUUUUUGAUGCACUAGAGGUGUUUGUUGAAAUGUGUGUUAGAGCGAUGCCGCUUCAGUUCACCAAACACAACUACGAUAUGAGAUGCAUGAGCCACGCUUAAACCUCUUCCUCUUUAUUUCUACUUAUUCUAAAAGGUUAGCAACUAUAUUUCCUCGUUUAGACCGUGCGGUACUAAUUUUUAGGAUCGUGAUUGUAUUUGAUAUACUGUCGUAUAACACAGAUGAGCCAUCCAUGGAUGUACGGUGAUCGACGCACAUCCGCUUACAGAGAAGGCGUGCAUUCUUUUCGAGAUGCAGCCGAUGCGAACAAGCAUGGUGGUGGCUAUAUGUUUUGUCCCUGUGUUGAAUGUCGGAAUGAGAAGGAUUACACUUCCUCAAGAGUCAUUCAGAGCCACCUGCUUCGGUCCGGUUUUAUGUCGGGCUAUAAUGUUUGGACCAAGCACGGAGAAAGAGGGGUUAUGAUGGAAGACGACGAUGAAGAAGAAGAGAACGAUGAUGACAACUACCGAUCUAUGUUCCCUGAGUAUGCUGAUACCGCAAUGGAAGACAAUGAAGAAGAAGAUCAGGAUGAAGAACGGGAACCAGAUGAGCCCGCUGAUGAUCUUGGCCGGGUCAUUUCUGAUGCACGGCGAGGUUGCGACACAGAAAAGGAGAGGUUGCAGUUCGAGCAGAUGUUACAGGACCACAACAAAUUGUUGUACCCAACUUGUGAAGAUGGCCAGAAGAAGCUGGGUAGCACACUGGAAUUGCUGAAGUGGAAGGCAGAGACCGGUGUGACUGACUCGUCAUUCAAAAAGUUGCUGGUACAGAUGAAGAAGAUGCUUCCAAGAAAGAACGAAUUGCCCGCCAGCACGUACGAAGCAAAGAAGCUUGUUUGCCCUCUAGGAUUAGACGUGCAGAAGAUACAUGCAUGCCCUAAUAACUGCAUCCUCUACCGCGGUGAGAAGUACAAGAAUAUGGAUAAAUGCCCAGUAUGCACUGCAUUGCGGUAUAAGAUCAGAAAAGAUGACCCUGGUGAUAUUGAGGGCGAGCCACCCAGGAAGAGGGUUCCUGCCAAGGUGAUGUGGUAUGCUCCUAUAAUACCACGGUUGAAACGUCUGUUCAGAAAUAAAGAUCAUGCGAAGUUGUUGCGAUGGCACAUGGAAGAUCGUAUGAAAGACGAUAAGUUGAGGCACACCGCUGAUGGUCGGCAGUGGAGAAAAAUCGAGAGAAAGUUCCCGAGAUUUGCAGCUGACGCAAGGAACUUAUGGUUAGGUAUGAGUACAGAUGGCAUGAAUCCUUUUGGGGAGCAGAGUUGCAGUCACAGCACACCUGGCCCGUUACUCUAUGUGUCUACAACCUUCCUCCUUGGUUGUGCAUGAAGCGGAAGUUCAUUAUGAUACCAGUGCUUAUCCAAGGUCCAAAGCAACCCGGCAACGAUAUUGAUGUGUACCUAAGGCCAUUAGUUGAUGAACUUUUACAGUUGUGGGCCGAACCAGGUGUACGUGUGUGGGACGAGCACAAACAAGAGGAAUUUGACCUUCGAGCGUUUCUUUUCGUAACCAUCAAUGAUUGGCCUACUCUUAGUAACAUUUCAGGACAGUCAAACAAGGGAUACAAUGCAUGCACACACUGUUUGGAUCAGACAGAAAGUAUAUAUCUGGACAAAUGUAGGAAGAAUGUGUAUCCGUACAAUCGUCAUUUUCUUCCGCCCAAACAUCCCUUAAAGAAAAAAGGCAAGCAUUUCAAUGGCAAGGCAGAACCCCGGGGGAAGCCUGUCAUCCGUACUGGUGCUGAAGUAUUUGAUAUGGUCAAAGAUUUAAAGUAAUCUUUGGAAAGGGUCCUGGCAGCCAACCUGUUCCUAACGGCUCUGAUAAGAGCGUACCCAUGUGGAAGAAGAAAUCUAUAUUUUGGGAGCUACCCUACUGGGAAGUCCAUGAGGUCCGCUCGGCAAUCGACGUGAUGCACCUGACGAAGAAUCUCUGCAUGAAUAUUCUAGGCUUCCUGGGCUUGUAUGGGAAGUCAAUGUUGGAAUUAUGCCCUAGAGGCAAUAAUAAAUAUAGUUAUUAUUAUAAUUCCUGUAUCAAGAUAAUCGUUUAUUAUCCAUGCUAUAAUUGUAUUGAAUGAAGACUUAUAUACAUGUGUGGAUACAUAGACAAAACACUGUCCCUAGCAAGCCUCUAGUUGGCUAGCCAGUUGAUCCACGAUAGUCAGUGUCUUCUAAUUAUAAACAAGGUGUUGUUGCUUGAUAACUGGAUCACGUCAUUAGGAGAAUCACGUGAUGGACUAGACCCAAACUAAUAGACGUAGCAUGUUGAUCGUGUCAUUUUAGUGCUACUGUUUUCUGCGUGUCAAGUAUUUGUUCCUAUGACCAUGAGAUCAUAUAACUCACUAACACCGGAGGAAUACUUUGUGUGUAUCAAACGUCGCAACGUAACUGGGUGACUAUAAAGAUGCUCUACAGGUAUCUCCGAAGGUGUUCGUUGAGUUAGUAUGGAUCGAGACUGGGAUUUGUCACUCCGUGUGACGGAGAGGUAUCUCGGGGCCCACUCGGUAAUACAACAUCGUACACAAGCCUUGCAAGCAAUGUAACUUAGUGUAAGUUGCGGGAUCUUGUAUUACGAAACGAGUAAAGAGACUUGCCGGUAAACGAGAUUGAAAUAGGUAUAUGGAUACUGACGAUCGAAUCUCGGGCAAGUAACAUACCGAAGGACAAAGGGAAUGACAUACGAGAUUAUAUGAAUCCUUGGCACUGAGGUUCAAACGAUAAUAUCUUCGUAGAAUAUGUAGGAUCCAAUAUGGGCAUCCAGGUCCCGCUAUUGGAUAUUGAUCGAGGAGUCUCUCGGGUCAUGUCUACAUAGUUCUCGAACCCGCAGGGUCUGCACACUUAAGGUUCGACAUUAUUUUAUGCGUAUUUGAGUUAUAUGGUUGGUUACCGAAUGUUGUUCGGAGUCCCGGAUGAGAUCACGGACGUCACGAGGAUUUCCAGAAUGGUCCGAAAACGAAGAUUGAUAUAUAGGAUGACCUCAUUUGAUUACCGGAAGGUUUUCGGAGUUACCGGGAAUGUACCGGAAAUGACGAAUGGGUUCCUGGAGGUUAACCGGGGGGGGGGGGGUCAACCCACCCCGGGGAAGCCCAUAAGCAUUGAGGGUGGCGCACCAGCCCUUAGUGGGUUGGUGGGACAUCCCAAAAGAGCCCUAUGCGCAUUGGAAGAAAAAUCAAAGAGAAAAGAAAAAAAAGAAGGAGGUGGGAAAGGGAAGAAGGACUCCACCUUCCAAACCAAGUAGGACUCAGUUUGGGGGGGGGAGACCUUCCCCCCUUGGCUCGACCGACCCCUUGGGGGUCCUUGGACCCCAAGGCAAGGCUUCCCCCUCUCCCUCCUAUAUAUAGUGGGGUUUUAGGGCUGAUUUGAGACAACUUGUGCCACGGCAGCCCGACCACAUAUCUCCACGGUUUUACCUCUAGAUCGCGUUUCUGCGGAGCUCGGGCGGAGCCAUGCUGAGACGAGAUCAUCACCAACCUCCGGAGCACCGUCACGCUGCCGUUGAACUCUUCUACCUCUCCGUCUCUCUUGCUGGAUCAAGAAGGCCGAGAUCAUCGUUGAGCUGUACAUGUGCUGAACGCGGAGGUGCCGUUCGUUCGGCACUAGAUCGUGGGACUGAUCGCGGGAUAGUUCGCGGGGCGGAUCGAGGGACGUGAGGACGUUCCACUACAUCAACCGCGUUCACUAACGCUUCUGCUGUACGGUCUACAAGGGUACGUAGAUCACACAUCCCCUCUCGUAGAUGGACAUCACCAUGACAGGUCUUCGUGCGCGUAGGAAAAUUUUUGUUUCCCAUGCGACGUUCCCCAACAGUCAAAAGAUACACCGGAAGCACGGGAGGACCAGGAACGUCAUAAAGGAAGAGAUGGCAUGCAUCCAGGGCAGUUUCAAGGGCGUGCCAGCUACGCUCUUACUAAGGAAGUGAAGGAAAUCUUCUUUGAAGUCCUUUUCAGUAUCAAGGUCCCGACUGGCUUCUCGUCGAAUAUAAAGGGAAUCGUAAAUAUGAAAGACCAAAAAUUCCAAAACCUAAAGUCUCAUGACUGCCACGUGCUUAUGACGCAAUUGCUUCCGGUUGCAUUGAGGGGAAUUCUACCUGAAAAUGUUUGCCUGGCAAUUGUGAAGGUAUGUGCAUUCCUCAAUGCAAUUUCUCAGAAGGUAAUCGAUCGAGAAAGUCUAUCAGGGUUACAAAUUGAUGUGAUCCAAUGUCUGGUCAGCUUUGAGUUGUUGUUCCCGCCAUCCUUCUUCAAUAUAAUGACACACCACCUAGUUCACCUAGUCGAAGAGAUUAGAAUUCUCGGUCCUAUGUUUCUACACAAUAUGUUCCCCUUCGAGAGGUUCAUGGGAGUCUUAAAGAAAUAUGUUCGUAACCGUGCUAGGCCAGAAGGAAGCAUCUCCAAAGGCUAUGGAACAGAGGAGGUCAUUGAGUUUUGUGUGGACUUUCUUCCUGACCUUAAGCCGAUUGAUGUUCCUGAAUCUUGGUAGGUGGGUAGGCUGACAGGAAAAGGCACACUAGGAAGGAAAGCAAAAGUAUGUAUGGACGGGCAUUCUUUCUCUCAAGCACACUACACAGUUCUACACAAUUCCACCGUGGUGGCUCCGUAUAUCGUGGGACACAAGAAUAUUCUACGCUCCGAAAACCCGGGGAAGGCUGACUCUUGGAUUAAAGGGGAACACGAGAAGACUUUCGGCAGUUGGUUGCAGACACAUCUCAUGAAUGACGACACCGUUGGAGAUGAGCUGUACUGUUUGGCCAGGCCACCAUCUUCGACUAUAUGUACUUUCCAAGGGUAUGAGAUAAAUGGGAAUACAUUUUACACGGUUGCCCAAGAUAAAAAGAGCACCAACCAAAAUAGUGGUGUCCCCUUUGAUGCAACAGACGAGAAUGGGCACUGUUUGGAAACAUAUUACGGGUACAUAGAGGAGAUAUGGGAACUUGACUAUGGACCUACUUUUAAGAUCCCUUUGUUUCGGUGCAAAUGGGUGAAGCUGACAGGAGGCGGGGUAGUUGUAGACCAAAAGUACGACAUGACAACAGUGGAUCUCAACAAUCUUGCGUACAUGGACGAACCAUUUGUCCUAGCCAAUGAUGUCGCUCAGGUUUUCGAUGUGAAGGACAUGUCUACAAAAACGAGAAAAAGAAAUCAACAAAAGAAGAUAUCGUUCGAUGAGCCAAAACGCCACAUAGUUCUUUCAGGGAAAAGAAACAUCGUGGGAGUAGAUGACAAGACAGACAUGUCAGAAGAUUAUAAUAAGUUUCAUGAAAUUCCGCCCUUCAAAGUGAAAACUGACCCAAGCAUCCUACUGAAGGAUGAAGAUUCUCCAUGGCUACGACCCAGAAGAAAACAGAAAUAAUAGAUAGGAAUAUUGGUGCAAUAAUGUAAUAAUGUAUUAAACCUUUUAUGUAAUGCAUGUAUGGAAUGUACUAAAUUUCAAACACUUCUCAUUUUCAUAGUAUCCAUGUAAGAGAUGAGUUCUCGUUCGAAACCCUGAUACUUCGAGAGAGAUUGUCCGUUUUGUACACGAAGUGCAUCCAGUUUUUGUCGUAGCCCUCUCAACUUUUUAACACAUGCUAUGCGGGUGAAAUGAUGAUAGCAUGCCAACUUUCAACAUUUUCAGAGUUCAUUUGUAAUGCUUUUCAAUUUCAGGGUCAACUAGCUCAAAAAAAAUAAGUAAAUGCACGAAAUAUACCAAAUGAAGUCAGAAAUUGUUGAAAUUUUGUGAUGUGCCUUUGAAUGGUGCAUUUUGAACACACAAAAAGUAUGGAGUUCAAAUAAGUUCAAAAAAAAUGAAAUCCCUUUGUAAGAGAUGAGUUCUCGUUCGAAACCCUGAUACUUCGAGAGAGAUUGUCCGUUUUGUACACGAAGUGCAUCCAGUUUUUGUCGUAGCCCUCUCAACUUUUUAACACAUGCUAUGUGGGUGAAAUGAUGAUAGCAUGCCAACUUUCAACAUUUUCAGAGUUCAUUUGUACUGCUUUUCAAUUUCAGGGUCAACUAGCUCAAAAAACCCAUUGCAGAACAUAUGACCAAAUUAAUACAAGUUCAUCAUCACAUUAAAGCCAAAGAACAGUAGUGAUCAAUUGUUAUUAUUGCAAAAAAUAAAUACAUAAAGUUCUCUCAUAAAACAACAUACAACUAUGUAAAACAUUUAAAUGCAACAACAAACGCGAUCAAAAUCACAACUAAGGUAACAAUUGACCGAACAGCAUAAUGAUACCAAGCCUCUUUAUCAAUGGCAUAUUUUCUAAUAUUCCUAAUCUUCAAGCGCAUUUCAUCCAUCUUCAAGCGCAUUGCAUCCAUCUUCAACCACAUCGCAUCGAUCUUCAUCUUGCGAUCAUCGAUGACAUCGGCGACAUGCAACUCCAGUUCCAUAUUCUUAUCCUCAAUUAUUUUCAAUUUUUUCUUCAAGUAUUUGUUUUCUUUUUCAACCAAAUUUAACUUCUCGACAAGAAUUUUUAUGUGGGUUGGAAUUUCCGGUUCACAUACCUCCUAGAUUAAAAAAAUAUAUGUCACAUUGGUCGUCAUAAUUGUCAUAAACACUAAAUAAAACAAAUAGUUAUAAAAGAUAAUAUAUACUACAUCCGAAUCAUAGACAGGACGAGGGCCGACGGAGGCGGAUACCAAAACCAUCGCACUAUAUAAUAACAAGGAGAAGAAAGGAAGAUAAGAACAAGAGGCUCACCACGGUGGUGCUUGCGACGAGAUCGGCACGGGGCGAUCGACAAUGGUGAGGACGGGCACGGGACGACACCCUACGCAUGUGCAGACUCUAAGAAGUUAAUCUGAGCAUUUGAAAUGAGCUACACUAGUAGUGACAAAUGAAAGGAUGAAGUAGCUAACCUUUAAAAACACUUGUGCAGUUGGUGCACGACCAAACCUAGACAAAUAUUAAGGAAAAUGGAGCUUGGAGGUCGAGCUUGGAGAGGAGAAAGCUUAAGUAGAGUGGCUCGGGCAUUUCAUCAAACACGUCAUGUGCAUGAACUAGAGUGGCAAGAGCAUGGCAUGGUCACACUUCAACAACCAAAAAACAGGGGAUAUGGUGGGCAGGGGUGAGGGUUUAUAUAGGCAACACUUUUUUCCCGGUUCUUGCCACGCCCCGGGACUAAAGGCCCCAACUUCCCGCCUUCUGGUCUGCCGAAAAAGGGCCUUUAGUCCCGGGUCGUGGCUCCACCCGGGACUAAAGANNNNNNNNNNNNNNNNNNNNNNNNNNNNNNNNNNNNNNNNNNNNNNNNNNNNNNNNNNNNNNNNNNNNNNNNNNNNNNNNNNNNNNNNNNNNNNNNNNNNGUCGCCCGAACACUCAUCACCUCACCAAAAUUUACUGUUCCUUGUCUAUCACUGACCCACACCCACUCAGACCAGAACACAACGGUGGCUCAAGAGCAACUCCAACCGGCUCAUUUAAACGGAUGAUGAUUUUGUUUUUUUUUUAAUCUGUUUGAAUCAUUCAUUGGUUUUGUGUCCGUUUGGUCUAUGAUUUAGGUCGGCAGCACAUUCUGAAGCAAAUGAAAUAGCAUAGUUUAGGGGCUAGCCGUCAGUUACGAACAUUUUGCAUUUUUUCAGAAGCAAAUGAAAUAGCAUAGUUUCACAAAGUUUUACAAUACAAAUAAAAAUUGUCUAAAAGAUACACCUAUUGGUUGCCAACAUAAUCCCACGUAGGCUCAACCAAAUCAUCUUGUAAGUGAAUAUAAGUUUUCCAAUAACGCAAUUCAUGAUGAAAUUGGAUAAACUGUGCAAACGAUCCCGCUUCUCCGCCAUGCCGAGGCACCACAUUGUCGUCCUGAAACUCAGACCCUUGAUUGUCAAGACGUUUCGGACGCUCAUCCUCUACGAUCAUAUCGUGUAUGAUCACACAAGCAGUCGUCACUUUCCAUAACUUCUUGGUGCUCCAAGUUCUAGCAGGAUACCUAACUAUGCCCCAUCGAGAUUGCAGAACACCAAAGGCAUGCUCGACAUCCUUCCUAGCACUCUCUUGCUCUUGGGCAAAUUUUUUUCCUCUUCUCUCCGACAGGGCUGGAGAUUAUCUUCACAAUAGUGAUCCACUGUGGAUAGAUUCCGUCAGCUAGAUAAUAUCCUUUGUUGUAAUUGUGACCGUUGAUGUUAACAUUGACUGGCGGGAUGUUGCCUUCGGCAAGCCAUGCAAACACCAGCGAUCGUUUAAGCACGUUGAUAUCAUUGUGCGAUCCGACCAUGCCAAAGAAAGAGUGCCAGAUCCAGAGAUCUUGAGAUGCCACGGCCUCAAGUAUGAUAGUGCAACCCUUGACAUGGCCCUUGUACUGGCCUUGUCAAGCAGAAGAACAGUUCUUCCACUCCUAGUGCAUGCAGUCUAUGCUGCCAAGCAUCCCUGGGAAGCCUCAGCUAGCAUUGGUCGCCAACAAGCGGGUUGUGUCUGCAGCAACCGGCUCGCUCAAGUACUCAGGGCCAAACAGUGCAAUCACAGCCUUGCAGAAUCUGUACAACGACUCUAGGCACGUAGACUCACUCAUACGGACAUACUCAUCGAUAAGAUCACCGGGUACUCCGUAAGCAAGCAUCCAGAUAGCUGCAGUGCAUUUCUGAUAAGAUGAGAAGCCAAUAUUUCCAAUGGCAUCCUCUUUGCACUCGAAGUAGUCGUCGUAUCCAACAACCCCCUCUCGAAUUCGGUUGAAAACAUGCCUAGCCAAAUUUCUGAUGUUUGAACAACGGAUUACUUGUGUCAAAGUAGUCAUUCCAUAGCAGGAAAUGACCGCUCUCUCGGUUGUGAUUCAACACACGAACAUGCCCCGGAAUCGAGCCCCGGAACAACGGCCUCUACCUAUUAAGGUGGUCAUGGACCAACACGGCAAGCAGCAUCUCCUCAUCGUCGGAUGAGGAACCGUCGGAGUCGCACGAACAUUAUGGAAAAAGAACUCGUCAACGCACUCCAUUUGUACCUUGAGGCAAAUUGUCAAACAUCUUGCGGGCAUGGACGACAAAGUUGACCGGCGGUGGCGGAUCGGGGUCGGGGAAGCUGCGGUGGCCUGGCGGCGAUGCGGCCGAUGGCGUUGUUAGGCGCUGGGCAGGUACGGGAGGAGGCACCGGAACUGUGCAGCGGUAGCGACGAGCUGGGGGCGAGGCGAGGGCUAGCUAUCGGCGUUGUCAGUAAGGGUGGAGAACGACCAAUGUGCCACCGACUCGCGGGACACGAGAUGAAGUAGGCGCACGUCAUAUGCGUCCGCUUUAUAUAUGCGUCGUCCCAAGUCAGGCUUAAAAUUGGGCUGGAAUAGGAUCGUCAGGCGGACGAAAAGCGGAUGGGCGUCCGUUUGGGUAGGCGCGUUGGGCCGACUUUUAUGUCCGCACGGACCCAAACGGACGACGGCAGAUGAAAUGGAUCGCCCUGAUUUUUUAGAAAAGGAGGUUAAACCCCCCGCCUCUGCAUCAAUCGAUGCAUGCAGUCAUCCUUAUUAAUUAUUCCAAAAAGGUUUAACAAGAACAUACAUCAAUCCACCCGAAGCCACCACUCACCCCUACAAACUGUAUAAUAUGAAGUGCUCUCACUCCUCAUAACUAAAAUCAGUGUUGUCGCCAAUCCAUCCACGUAACGAAUAGGACCAACAGCCGAUGCAGUAGACGACGCCAUCAUCUUUGGACUACUGACCCAUCUUCUGGAAAGAGAUCUGCAUCAUCCUUGCCAGUCCAUACAUCCGUCGAAGCCACCACGGUGCCCAACAACACUACUGUCCUGCGCUCAUCCGUCUAGACGUGAAGACUCUGGAAGAACUGUCGUGCGUAGCACCUACCAACGAGGCAUGACUUAGCGUAGCACGUGUUAGCCAGGCAUGACUUGGCCGCUCCACCAAAGCUUCGUGUAAGAUGAAGCCGCGCCACCUCCUGCCUCUGUCAUCCAACGCUGCUUCACAAACGAUGUUCCCAAGAGAAAACAGCACCAGAGUACCGCCAUUGUCCGAUCUGGAAGACCAGAUCCUAGGGUUUCCCCCGAAGCAGUGCCCACCACCCGCAACCGACAAGGAUCCACAUAGUGCCUACCACCACCCAGCCCUCAAGGUGACGCCUUCAGGAAGGUCCCGACGUCAAAGACGCCGCAGCCGCCCACCGGAGUUAGGAUUUUCACCCGAGGACAAGUAGGAGGGAAGUAGAGGAGCAGACAUAGACCGACGUCUCCAAGAAGAAAAGCGGCGCCCUCGAGCGUCGUCGUCGGUGCGACUGGGAAAGGCCGACCAAGAGUUUCCCCCAAUCUAAAUCUCCUUCACCAGCUUCACACGUAGUCACAUCCCAAGGUCCCAACAAGCCAAGCCAGCACCGCCAGGAACCUCUACCCCCGCACCCCGUCGUCAAGUCCGGUCACUGUGCUGCGACCACACCGACAACUAGCACAACCACCACGGGCUGCCACACCGCGAAGAUCAGAAGCAGAGCCAGCUAGAGCCAACGUCCCAGUCCGAGCCAGCCACCUCCGCCUGGGACCAGCCCCGCGCCACCCUUGUCGCCGGAGAUCUGAUCUGACCUCGCCAGAUCGGGGCCGCGGACACCACGGGCAUGCCCGAGGUAGCCCUCCACGCCGUCACCAGGGCCACAACAAACGUGGAGCCCCGUCGUCGCCGCCCUAGCAUGCGCCGUCGCGCCCUGCCACGAGCGCGCCGCCACCCGCUGAGAAGACCACCCGCGCAGUUCCCGUCAGCAGUGACAAGGAGGAGAGGAGGAGGUGGGCGCGGGGGCGGCAGCGCUAGGGUUCCCCGUCGAUCGCCACGGAAGCGACGCGAGGGGAGUACACGAGAAUAAUUAAUCACCCCGUUGGAGUUGCUCUAAAACCCUCCCCUGGAUCUCGUUCUUCUCGCCCACCCCUGCUGUGCAUCAACACUGCCUACGCGGCCACAACUCCAUUGUGAGCCGCAUCCGCCCAUUCUCCCACUUCUACCGGUACCAAAUUCUCUCGGACAGGACCGAAACAUCUCUAUGUAAAUCAAGAUCUACGCAUAUUCUCUUGUUGUUCCUAGAUCUACCAUCCAUAAUUUAUAAUUUGAUUUUGCACACCGAAUUGCAAUUCCACUCCAAUAUCUACUAGUCAAAUCCCAUAAACGUCGUUCAUCUUUUUAUCUUCACUUUAAAUUAGCUCCCUCCGUUUUUUGCUCCAAACUCCACCCAUUCAACAGAUUUUCACCAGAUGGGGAAAGCAGAACAUAAUAAACUCGAUAUAGAAGUAGUGCUGCAGUCCUGCUUUGGUGGCAACCACCUACAAACUGAGUCGAUGUCUUCAUGGCACGCCCUGGACGAACCUGAUGAACAGAGCAUCAUGAACGUACGGAGAUCCAACACCGAACUCAGGCGCAGCUACCCCGUGGGGGAUUUGACUGGCAGUCAACCUGCCCAAUCGCCAGAUUAGAAGCCGACAAUAAAAUAAAAACAAACUAUGUUCGAAUAUGUACACAGCACGCAGCUCCUCCUUUAAACAAUUCCGUCGAGGCAAAUCAAGCUGUGGUUGGAUGAUUUAUGUUAGGUCGACAUGGCAAGUAGCAACAACACCAUCUUAAUUAUUUAUUUUGAUGACAACAAAACAAUUAACUAGAGAAAGAUCUAAACCGAUCCCUCAGUGACACCUAACUCGAUUACGCCAGGCAGACGAAGCAGGUCAGUUGCCUCCAAGAUUGAUGUGCUAACCUAACUAACCUAGUGCAAAUUAAGACGUGUACUCUGUCCCAUUAAUCUAUCAAUUGCUCUCUUGGCACUAUAUAUGACUCGACUGAUAAAAAAGUGAACAGCUAGCAUAGAUAGACACUAAUAUUAAUAUCAUACUCCAAUGGAAUAAGAUUUCUAAGUCAAAAGGAAAAUAUCUAGCUAUUUGCUGCAUGUGCGUGUGCCAUGCCUCUGCUAGCUACGGUUUUGCAAGAGUGCGUAGAAGCACAACCAACAAUGUAACUUCUGUUCUCAUUUGUACUCAAUCAAAUUCAAAUUCUAAUUUAGUACACAAAAUACUGACCGGAUAGAUCGACCGGUUGACCAAAUAUCAAGAUACGGAAUACCAACUCAGUUGGCCUGAAUUAUUAUCUAUAUAUUGCUAUCAUCGUCCCUGGAAUUGCAACGGAUCAAAUGACCCAUCAUCGGUUGAUGUGUAUAUGUAUAUAUUCUGCAAGCACAAUAAUUCAUUCGAGGUUUGGACUGAUCACCUAUUGGUGGAUCACUCAUGCAAAAAUGAUAUGGCAUAUGUGUGGUGUGGCCCCUUCAGUAUGUUGGUAUUUGCCCAUGCAUCGAUCAUAUCAAAUCGUGACAACUUGCAGACACAAAAACGUUAGCCAAAGGCAUGUGUACAGUGCCUCUCUUCUCUUCAUUUGUUUUUCUAUUUCUCUCCGACGUUCUUGACAUUUUUGUCUACCGCACUUCUCCUGUAUUGGCUUGUUGAUGAUUAUCCAUUGUGGACUCAACUGCCUGCACCAUGAUAAGUCAAAUUGUUGGCAAGAUUAUUUGGAACAAUCUUUCCUUCAAUUUUGACUUAGCAAAUUUAUGGACCCCUCAAAUAUGUCUUGGACUGCCCAACCUCGCUAGAAAACUUAUGAAAUACACCAUCCUGUGGAGUACACCAUCCACCGUACCCUAUCUCUAUACAUGUCAGCUCCUUAUAGCUCACACCACCCCGUGCACCACCAUCCACUUCAGCAUCAUGCAGAGACAUGGUCUCAUUGAAGACACUCGGCUUCACGGGUUUACCGCCCACACAUACUUAAAAUUGGCCCUUUUGUCAAGACACAUACACGACCUGGACACACAUUGUUAGAGAUAAUUUUAUCUAGUUUAUUAGUUUGCAUAAGUCACAGAAUCUACAAUGAGACAUGAUCAGAGGAGCAUAGAAGAUUCAAGUCAAAUAUUUUGGAGAGAAUGAUAGCAAUAAUCUUGCCUUAAUGCAAAAAAUGUAUGUAGGAUUAGUACUAGCACCAGCUUAAGUUGAGUUUGAAUUACGAUUUAAGCGUGAGUCCUAGUUCGAAUAGGUUUGCUGGGCAAACGAGUUGGUUGGAUAGGUUAUAUAUAGAGGGAGAAUAUGCUUGUUAUUCGUAUCAGAUUGUACCUUGGAGAAAAAGAGAAGAGAUUAAGGAGAAGAAAAGAGGACACAACACGGGACCUGGGCUACCAGUUUCUUGUACAUCGGAAACAUGGCCUCUACUAGGGAAAGUUCCAUCUGAGUGAGACGAGAACUCAGGUCAUCAUGUUCAUGUACCUUGUCGUCGAUGAAGCGGGCGGUGGGGCGGUUGUAGGGGUCGGUCGUGAGAAGCGCCGGCCCGUCAAAGGCCUCGUCAACGUACUCGACGAUGAUGAGGUAUUCGCAGACGACGCGGUCGCCGUGGAGGAGCACGGGCACCUUCUUGUGGACGGGGUUGCUCGAUCGUGAGCAGCAGCUCGCUCUUGUUGUGGAGCUCCUCCAAGAUGAGCUCGUAGGGAACGCCCUUAAGGCGCAGGGCAACCUCGGCGCGAUGGCUGAACGGGCUGUCGAAAGCGCCGAUCACCUUGACAGGCGCCGGCACGCUCAUCUUGGCUUUGCUGGAAGUCAGGUUCAGAUAGUUGGUGAGAUUGUGAGGUCUCUGCGUAAUGGCCGGUGACUUUGUCGUAUCUUAUAGCGCUUGGAUAUUGGACUGGCUUAAUGUCGAGGGUGUUUUAAUCGAGUUGGUACUGAAACUUCUUCGGGAAGAACAGAUUUUUUUUGUUUUGUUUCCCAAGCUCAAGUCAAAUGUUGCUGUCUUUUCGAGAAGCUUCCAUGUUGCUUCGCUCCAAACAGAGUGACGGAUAAAAUAAUUUAGAGUCAAUUACGUUAUAAGUGUCUAAACUUGUGAAGAAAAUUUAAUUUGGUGUUGAAACUUGUGACGUAUCUUGAUCUGCUUGUAAAACUUGACUUGGUUAUUCAUAUACGGUCAAAAUCACGUUUGGAUUGUUCGCAGCUGAACGGCGCGGGCAGAGGCCUGUCGCCUGUUUAUUUGCGGGCAGACACCAUGCGGCUGAAUAUGCAAACAACUGGCAACCGCGUAUUUUUUGCAUCUCUUCACAACUGGAAACUGGCAAAAUUCAGUUCCUUUAAGUAUAAAUUCGGAGAUGUCAUAUGUAGUUUAUAGUAGCAAAAUUUCAGAAAAUACAAUUGUUGCGAGAAAUACAAUAUAAAUUCAGAGAUGUUCAUACAAUUGUUGUAAGUAACACAGUAUAAAUUCACUUCCUCUAAGUAUAAAUUCAGUAAUACAAUUUUUUAGCAGUUUAUGACUGAAGUUCAUACAUGAACUUGUGAUUGCAUCCAGGUCACUCAUGAACUAAUUCAUUUCUCAUUGUGAUUUAUAAGGUUUGGAAGUCAUCAACCGACUCUUCUUCUGUUGCAUUUUUUGUGACUGCCUCCUCUUGUUCUUCAACAUAAUAACAUUUCAUGAACGAAGCGGCAUUUUAUUCGAGUGAAGGGGCAUCUUCUUCUUUUCACUAUUUUCAUUUUCAAUAGGAAAAAUAAUAAUAUUAUUAAUGAUAGUCUAUUACAUAUCAAUAAGUCUAUGAGCAGCUACCUAUCUAUUUUUUCAACUUAAGGAGCCUCCCGCUCCGAAUUUUACUGCAUUAAUAAUGAAACUUGCCCUUCGGCAUGGCAUGUUAUAAUCAGUUAUAAUUAUGUUUAAAGUUUGUUGAGAACCAAACACUAACAUAAGGACUGCAUCUCUAUUAUCAAAGGGAAACACUUAUAUACAGUAGUCUGAUAGAAAACAUUCCUCACACGGGUCCUGCUCCGUUGAUACUCUUUUAAUCACACGGUCUAUAUUCUAGGCGAACAACCCGAGUUAAUCCGAUCUGAGGAAAUCUCGCCCCCGAGUUAAUCUAGCCUGCCACCCCAUCCACCUUACCCCGUCUCGCAUCUCCCGGGAGAGCGCAGCCCUGAGAUCGCCGAGCUCCAUCACCGCGUGGGCUACCUCCGCCACCAACCUGCUAUACACCAGCAACUCCCGACGGAUACAACUGAUGCACACGCUGGUGCAGCGUCCCGUCCAAGUUCCUUCGUCAAACGCUGCUCUCACCGCCGGCCGCGUCACCUUCGUCACUGGUCUGGUUCCCCGCCGGAGCCUGGCCUAUCAUCAAACCCUACCACACCGCCCUGCUAUGCCUUGGCUCGGCAAAUAAGUUGCACUGCGGUAACAAAAAUUAGGUAUGAUUCACUUUUGAUAUGUUGAUUUGAUUUGCGUUACUUUGGAUGCAAUGCUUGCUUCAAUGAAUUUUGUGAGUGUACCUUGAUGUGUAAUGGAUCACUAUGUCAUUUGACAAUUUUGGUUAAUCUCUUAUGCAGAUCACAAUAAUAUGAUUCUCAAUCAUGGCGAAAAUUUUAGUUUUUGACAUGAUUUCAGAAUUCCAUGCUUCCAUCCAAGUUUACUGUGCACCCAAACUAAUAUGUUCGUGCUUCUUAGUUCUGUAGUGUGCCUCCAAAGUUCCAAUGCGCAGAUGUUCUCGAACAGGUGGGUCAUACUAUGAAAUCAAUUUUUUAUGUUGGCCAGUGAUCUUAAAUAUGUAGAGAUAGUAUAAAAUUAUUGCUUCUUCUAACCUACGCUGCGUGCUUUUGACAUACAGAUGUCUUGUAGCACAACAUCCAUGUUUCUUUAUUCGGUAUAUGUGCUUCUAUGGUACAGAGUUUCUAUUGCUACAUAAUCCCUUUAUUUCUUAUCUAUGUCACCAAUACAUGUCACGUGUGUGAAUUUUUUUUCCAGAAAUAAUGCAUACAUAUUUUCACAUAUGCAAAGAGACAACAUUUAGGAUUCUUUUUUUCUUCAGAUAUCCAUGCUUCCAAUCAUUAGUAUUUAUGUAACUACACCUUGUUGUUCACCCUUUUUAACCAUUUGCGAUUUUACACUGUAAUAUGUAUAUGCUUCAUAAUUGUAUGCAUCUCGACCUUUAUCAUAAUAUUACUUUUCGUUCAUUUUUCAAAUUUCCAUGCUUCCAUCGCAAGUUACCAUGUCCAUGUGCUUCUUUUUAUGCAGCAUCCAAAUGGCAAUAUAGAUGCUUCUGAACAAUAUACAAUCUAAAUCAUCUGAAGCAGAGUGCAUGCCGAAGUUCCGAUAGGUUGUCAUUUGUUUGCUUCCGAUAGGCCUCGCAUGUGUUGUGAUUGCAAGAUUUUUUUUCCCUAUAGACAUUUGAUACUUAAUUUUUAUCCAAAAGUGCUUGUACGUGUAGAUGGAUUGGCAGUACAACUACACUUUUCAGGUUUGGCAUCUCUCCUUUCUAUUCUGUUGAAUUACUUGGAAUGAUCCCACAAAUAUUCAUGCUUCUGCACUUCAUAGAGUUUCCGACAUUUAAACCAUGCUUGACGUCAGAUAGCAUGAAAUUGAUACUCUCAAAUACCAAUGCUUCCCGUGUUGUACUUCAAUCCAGAACUUCAGAUAGGUUGUGUCGAAUGUUCACAAUUAGCUUGACAAAUUUGUUUUUUACCUAGAAGUAGGUGAUUGCACUUAAAAAACAAGUAUGUGCUUCCUUGUUUCCCGCAUAUUGCUUCCUUUGAAUAGAAACCUGCAAUAAAAUCCGAAUGUGCUUCUUUGUUGCCAACAAGAUGUCAACGAUGUUGCAAUGAAGUUAAGUGCGCUAUAACCGAGACAAACCAGGCAUUGCUCUAAGUUGUCGGUUGUACUGGAACUGCAAUGACAAUGGAGAGCUCUAGGCACACACGGAUCUUGCCCAUGACCAUCUUGUAAAAAGUUGUGUUGAAAUAUGAUUUUAUAUAGUUGCAAAAAAGUGUUGUAAUAUUUUUUUCUGUGUCUUAUUAAAUUUGUUUCAACCCUUGAUCACUAUAUUUAUGAUUCCCCAUGUUUUCUUUGCUAAAAAGUCUCCGUUAUACAAGAAAAAAAGUUUCCUUGACACAAAAAGAAGUUUUCAAAUCUUCUACAAACAUAAGAUAGAUCAAAACCUUCUCUUGAACAAUAUUUUUCCAUCGCACUACAAAGUAUAUUCUACCAUAAGUUAAAGGGAAUGCUUCCAUGACACAAAAGCCCAUUGUCGCAUAAAAAUAAGUCUCGGAGAAAAACUUUGUUAUUGUAUUGGCUUUCGCCUUAUUUGAAAUGUAUGCUUCCAUCGGUUCAAAGUAAUGUCAUCAUUGCAAAAAGAUGCACAUUAUCUUCUGUACUUAGUGGAAACGAGGCCCAUGCGUGCAAAAAAAAGCCCCACAGGGUCCAUGCAUGCAUAGUUAUUAGCAUGCAGCAGCCAAUUAAUGCUUCAAUCCUGAAAUCAUGCGUGAGACUUUCCUAGUUAAUCUGACGACUAGCAUGCAAUGAAUCGUAGGGCUAUGGACUGGUCUGAUAAGAAGGAACCAUUAGUAGUCUGAUGUCUAGUGUUGUAAUGCUUUUUUGACUCAGACCAUACAACAAUUUAUAACACUGGUUAAAUAUAUAUCACCAAUUUACUAUCCCAAAAUCUUGUGUCUCAAAAAAUAAUACAUAAAAAUAACACAUGUCUCAAAAUAAGUAUUAGUUAAGCUACACCAACCUGUUAUAUAUUUAGACUAAACUCUUUUAACUCUUAAUAUUUAUAAUUUGUUUUUCUAAGAUAUAAUCUUUUGUUAGAUUUUAGACAAAUUAGUUUUUGACCAUCAUAGUUUUCUACUAAACUUAGCAUGUUUCUAACCAUAUUGCUAAAUAUUAAGAUAUACAAUAUUUGUACGAAGAGUUGUAGUUUAUUUUUAUUUUUGAGACGUGCAUUUCUUCUGUUAACCUAACUAAUGUAGAUCUGAUAAAAUAUAUGUGAACACAAACUUUAAGUCUCCAUAGACUAAUUUAUGCCUCUUACAUUAAUUACACAUCUAUAUUGUCAUUUGCGUCUAUUAUAGUUUCCAUAUAUAUAUAUCAAGGCAGAGAGCUAUCACCAAGGUUUCUAGAAUGUUUGCUUGACUAUUUUGCGUGCGAGUAAAUAAAUAGUAAUAAUAAUUACCUAGUAUUAAAUAGAAAAAUAGUGUGAUUUUUUCAAUAAAAGUUGCAUUGCCUCUUUGCUGCUUUUUGUCUAACCAAUUUUUUUCAUUUCGUCGGUUCAGUAAGGAUCACUAGUGGGGACGGGGCCUUUAGCCCCGGCCCGUAAGGGGCUUUAGUCCCGGUUCACCAACCGGGACUAAAGGGGCGGGACUAAAGGCCUAACCUUUAGUCCCGGUCCUGUUACAAGCCGGGUUUAAAGGUGCUCCACGUGGGCGCCUCGUAGCGCCCCAGGGGCAGGACCUUUAGUCCCGGUUCGUUACACGGGCCGGGACUAAAGAGUUUCAGAUUUUGCUUAUUUUCGGGUUUUUUUUAAUGAAAUUAUUUUUGGGUUUUUGGUUUUAGGGUUUAGGUGUUCGGGAGAUUAACGUGAUGCCUCGUUUGGUGUUCGGGAAUUAGUUUUCAUAUAAUUUAAAUAGAAAUAAUUAUGCAUAUAUAUAUAUAAGGUUAACUUAUCUUACAAGCGAGCAUAUAUAUACAAUUAUAUGGAGAUCUGAAUUAUCGGGACUAGAGCCCAUCUAUUCGAUUACAUGGACGAACAUGAGUAAUGGCCCCUAGCUACACUAAAUCGUCAUUUGUCAUCUAUAGCUUCUGUCCUCAGAAAGGUCGCAAGCUCCUCUGCAACAGCAAUCGCACGUUGCUCUGGUAGGACCUUCGUCGUCAUGGCCGUGUGCUAUAUAAGAAGAGGAGAUGAAUAUGAAUAUCAAUCAUGAUAACAAAGAAUGACGGGUAAAAAUAGAGGUGUGAAUGUUCAUUGCUUACGUCGAAUCUGUGAUCCUUGUGCUCAGAGGUAAACGUGCGAAUGGUCUCGCAAACAUAGUAUCCACAUAGAUGCGUUCCACGUGGCUGCUGGUCGCACUUUACGAGAAUAGAAUAUAUAUAAUUAAAAUAAUAAUCUAGCAUCAUAAAUGUAUUGAAAAUAGAAGUAUAUCAUACUACUACUUACCUGAGCCGCUCUAAAGGUCAGCUUCUCAUGCUCGAUACCGGGAGUCACGCACUUGAACCGCUUCCAAACCCUGCCCGACAAGGAUAAUGAUGUGCUAAGUUUUUCAUUAAUURAUAUAUCAKAAAAUCAUCGAAAGAGACCGAUAGAGCGCAAGAAUGAUUAAAAUUACCCUUGGAGCAUGUCCUGCAGGCUUUGGAACUGUUCCAAGGGUCUCGAUAAUGGGUCGAAGGCAUCAACUCUUCCUUUACCAAUUUGAAUGUCCAACAGAAUCCAAUGAAAGUUGCACAUGUAUAUAUAUAUAUAUCUCUGUGUGUGUGUGUGUGUGAGUAACUUAUCAAUUACACUUAUAAGUGAAUGGACACAACAGAGUAAAGACCCUCACCUGAAGUUGUAUGGAAACAGUAUGUGGUCACAAAAAUUUUGAUCUCUUAGAAACCUUAGAAGGUUUUCCUCCGUCUCCUUGGGAUAAUUAGUUAGCGUUGCUAUAUGUAUUUUAUCUGGAUCAAUAAACCCAAUAUUUAGGAUGCUCUUACUUUUACACUCCAGAAUCUUCAUUCUGCAUAAUAGAGUACAAGUUAUAUAUAGACAAUGAAUUGAAAUAACUAAACAAGUUAUAUGUAGACAACGAAUUGAAAAACUUACAGACAAUAGCAACUCAUAAGCGAUUUGUCGAGGGCGUCGUCAUUGUACAUCUGGAAGAGUUCAUCAAAGUCGAUAUGGAUUUCUUUGGAGCGGCCGUAGUACUCCUGUGGGACACUCAGCACGAUCAUCGUUCUCCCAUUCUUUGAUUCACUUAAGUACCAUUUAUGCAAGUAACGCAUAUUUCUUGGGAGAUCAUCUUUGCUGACCAAAGGCUCUCCCAUGACAAACUGUGGCUUAGGGGCUACCACGGCCUUGGGUAUCCUGUCGUCUUGGGAAGCCAACAAAUUUUGAACCAAGAUACCACAUUCAUCCGCCAACUCCUUUGCUUUUUCAAAAGCUUGCCCCUGCACCGGAGGGGGAACAUUCUCGGUUAACACCUUGAGGGGUGGGAUCGACUGUUUGGCCUGUUGUCCAAGCUGAGGAACGUCUGAUUUUUUCUUGCUUGUAGUUGAACUUGAUUUGCUCCCACUUGCACUUGCAUGUGACCUGCUCUUUUUCACUUCCUUCUACAAUGUGCGUGUAUAGUCAUCAGGCUUAUAGUGUAAGUCAUACUGUAAUGGAGUGGUUAUGAAGUCUUUUGCCCAUGCUAUGUUCUUCUCGGUGUAUUUCGGGCGGGGCUCGGGUUCCUUCCUUUUCAUCUACGCAUCAUGAUGUUCCUUUGCUAUCCUGGCGUUUUCCUCGGGGGUACGAUCAUAAGGUCUGAUAGGAAGAUUUCUGCAUAGUAUUCAAAGUAGGAGUACUUUUCCAAUUUGAGCAUUCAAUAAGAAAAACCAAAUCGUAAAAUAAAGUAGUAUUCAAAUUUGAGCAUGCAUUCAAUUAUAAGCUAAUACAUCAUCACUUUUGUCCGUACAUCGUCGAAUAUUAUCAUUAAUACUCCUAGAAUACUAUCAUACAUAUAGCAUCACUAAUACAUCUAGAACCGUAGCGCUCGACGGGUAUCGGCGCGGGCGGUGGACACCCAAAGAGAAGGAACCAUCACAGGAUCAUAGCUCCAGUGAGAUCCCCGAAGAACCUGCCAGGUAUGCUCCAACCUGCCCUCCAACGCAACCAUGUAGCGAUGGACGUGCUCAUCCUCCUCGCUGACACGGUGACGUACCACCUCCGCGGUGUCCGGAAGCCUCGACACCCUCACUGGCCCACGCGACCGCCACCAAACAAGGAUCGGGUCAACGACGGGCUGGCUCCUCACCAACCUACGCCCCCCGGUAGGUAGCACCUCCCAAUACCAGCCGGGCGGAGCCCAGUCCCGGACAGGGCCCCUCUGAUCAAGCAGGUGUCCUCCGCCGAGUCGACGACGAGGAUGCGGGAUAGGCAUCGUAAAAUGAACUAAAAAAUAAACUAGUUCUAUUAAUUUUUUUGCUAAAAAUAAACUAUUAACACUUAAGCAUAUACAAUAGCAAAAUUAAACUAUUAACACUUAUUUUCAUUUUUCUUCUCCUCCUCUUCUUUCUUCUCUUCUCCUCCUCUUCUUUUCUUCUCUUCUCCUCCUCUUCUUUUCUUCUUUUCUUAUACACUAUACACUAUAUAUACUACAGCAAAAUUCCUCCUCUCCUUAUACACUAUACAAUAUAUACACUAUAUACUUAAGCAUAUACACUAUACAAUAUACACUUUUUCUUCUUUUCUUCUCCUCCUCUUCUUAUUUUCAUUUUUCCUAAUCUUAUUUUCUUAUUUUUGUUCAUAUUUCUUCUUCUUGUAACCCUAACCUAAUUCUAAAUAUUACUAACCCUAAUAAUCUAGCACAAACCUAAUAACAAUAGGAAUUAAAUGACAAAAAAAAUCUUUUCUUUUUCUUAUUUUCUUCUCCUUUUUCUUCUUUUCUUCUCCUUUUUCUUCCUUUCUUCUCCUUUUUCUUAUUCUCUUCUCCUUUUUCUUCUUUUCUUCUAUACUGGCCAGAGUGUUGGGGAGGAGGGGCGGGGGACUUACUGGCCGGAGUGUUGGUGAGGAGGACGGCGCGGAGGACGGCACGACGGCGAGGAGGACGGCGCGGCGGCGAGGAGGACGACCGAUGGCGAGCAGGACGGCGGGCAGCCUGACGGCGUCGGUUAGUUCGUCGUUGUGCCGCGCCGGGCAGGAGAACGAGAGGAAGAAGAAGAGAAAUGGACGAAUUGGGUUGGAAAUUUUCGAAGUCCUGCUUAUAUAGGUGGAUCUAUAGUCCCGGUGCGUGGCUCGGGCUGGGACUAAAGACCCCCUUUACUCCCGGGUGGAGCCACGCGCCGGGACUAAAGGCCUCUUUUCGGGCACACCAAGAGGCGGGAAGCAGGGAGUCUUUAGUCCCGGGGCGUGGCUCCAACCGGGACUAAAGGGGGUCUUUAGUCCCGGGGCGUGGCUCCACCCGGGACUAAAGCCCCUCCUCGGCUGCACGAUAAGUUUAGUCCCACCUCGCCCAGCGAGGGGGACUAACACUUGUUUAUAAGCCCCCUCGCAGCUUGUCCAUCGAGCUCCUCUCUAAAGCAGGCUUACGGGCCUAAACUUACUGAAAAUUGAAACUAUAUUCGAAAUUAUGGAUAAAAUUCAAUCUGAAUUCAAAGUGAAUUCAGGUCGAAUUUUGUCCAUGAUUUCUCAUAUAGUUUCAAUUUUUUUUGUUUCCAAAAUUAAUUAUUUUGACUAUCCAAACUAUUAACUUAUUUUGUUAUUUUCAAUUAAAAACUAUGUUUAUUAAAAAUUCUUUUUGCAUAUUUGAGAAUUUGACAAAACUAUGAUAAUGAAAAGUGUUUGAAAUUGAAUAAAUAAUUCAAAACUAUUUUCUAUUUUCAAAAUUAAUAAUUUUGACUAUCCAAACUAUUAACUUAUUUUGUUAUUUUCAAUUAAAAUCUAUGUUUAUUAAAAAUUCUUUUUGCAUAUUUGAGAAUUUGACAAAACUAUGAUAAUGAAAAGUGUUUCAAAUUGAAUAAAUAAUGCAAAACUAUUUUUUAUUUUCAUAAUUAAUAAUUUUGACUAUCCAAACUAUUAUCUAUUUUGUUAUUUUCAAUUAAAAACUAUGUUUAUUAAAAAUUCUUUUUGCAUAUUUGAGAAUUUGACAAAACUAUGAUAAUGAAAAGUGUUUCAAAUUGAAUAAGUAAUGCAAAACUAUUUUUUAUUUUCAUAAUUAAUAAUUUUGACUAUCCAAACUAUUAUCUAUUUUGUUAUUUUGACUUCAUUUGGUAUAUUUCGUGCAUUUACUUAUUUUUUUUGAGCUAGUUGACCCUGAAAUUGAAAAGCACUACAAAUGAACUCUGAAAAUGUUGAAAGUUCGCAUGCUAUCAUCAUUUCACCCACAUAGCAUGUGUUAAAAAGUUGAGAGGGCUACGACAAAAACUGGAUGCAGUUCGUGUACAAAACUAACAAUCUCUCUCGAAGUAGGAGGGUUUCGAACGAGAACUCAUCUCUUACAAAGGGAUUUCAUUUUUUUUAACUUAUUUGAACUCCAUACUUUUUGCGUGUUCAAAAUGCACCAUUCAAAGGCACAUCACAAAGGGAUUUCUUCUUCUCUCAUAUAUGGUGGACACUAGCUCACCUGAUUUUUCAACCGUCGAUGAUGGUCGCUACUCCUACUUCACCUAGUGCAUAACCAAUAUCUAGCACAAGGAGAAGAAGGAGAAGCGACCCCCACAACAAAAGUGGUUCCGCGGCACGCCACGUGGUUCUGCCGCACGCCACGUGGUUCCGCCGCACGCCACGUGGGACUAAUGGUCUUUCAUUUUUAAAUGAUUGUUUUAAUCAAAAAUAGAUCUGUUACAAAAGGGAUUUCAUUUUUUGAACUUAUUUGAACUGAAGAAUUUUUGUAUAUAUAUGUGGUCUAAAUGCAUGAUACCAUGAAGUUAAAAAGGGCUAAACCAUUCAAAAGUAGCAAAUGAAGUUAGAAAGGGCUAAACCAUUCAAAUUUGGAAACUAUAAUGGCACAAACAGAAACUAGACAUAUAUAAAUUGGUCCAAGAAGUACAUGAUACUAGCCCAAACAGUACAUAAUAAUAGCUACCAUAGAUAUAUAUACAAGUGUUCGACGUUCAGAACACUACUCGUCUGAAUCAUCUAAAUCAGAAUGUCCAUGUUCCUCGAGGUGACGCUGGCCAUAGUUGACGACUCGAAUCUUGCGGUACAACUCGUAUGAAACGUAUGCAUCUUUUGCUGCAUACUCAAUGUUGAUAUCAUCAAGUGGGCCCUUCUCCCAAAGUUUGACCUGAUACUUUGGGAAACUGGUCUUCAUAUCACCAUAUGACUCGUCGAUCAAGGCAACUGCCAUAUGAGCCAUCGAAGUCCUGUCAUGUUGAAGCCUGAAUAUCGUUUGGAGAUCAACGAGGCAACCAGCUGGUAUCUCAAUACCGAAGCUGUGCCUCAUCUUCAGCGUGUCGUUCCUUAUGUCAACGGAAGCAAAAGUGACGCCGCUGCGAAGGAACUCCAUGAGUCCUGGACAAUGCUUGUCACUCCUGCAACAGAAACAAAUUAAAAUGGAACAAAUGUCACAUACUGCUGCAAUAAGGAAACAUGUUUCACUACAACUAAAGAGAAACUUAUCUUUAGGAUUCAAAUAGAACAUAUGCAAUGGAACCUAGAGAGAUCACUACAACUAUUUGAAGCGAACCAACUAUGAUUCCAAUGGAACAUAUUAAACACUAGUUCAUUCUAAUACGAUUUUUCAGAUUAUGGAACACUAUUCCAAUCAGAUUGUGUUCCCCUUCAACUAAUCAAAAUUGUUUCACUACAACUAUUUGAAGGGAACCAACUAUGAUUCCAAUGGAACAUAUUAAACACUAGUUGAUUCUAAUACGAUUUUUCAGAUUAUGGAAAACUAUUCCAAUUAGAUUGUGCUCCCCUUCAAGUAAUCAAAAUUGUUUCACUACAACUAUUUGAAGGGAACCAACUAUGAUUCCAAUGGAACAUAUUAAACACUAGUUGAUUCUAAUACGAUUUUUCAGAUUAUGGAACACUAUUCCAAUUAGAUUUUGCUCCCCUUCAACUAAUCAAAAUUGUUUCACUACAACUAUUUGAAGGGAACCAACUAUGAUUGAAACAAAUAAACUUAUACAAUGUCAUUAUCUUGGAUCAAAGAAAGCCUCAAAACUUACCUCGCCCAUUAGAAGAUCAAGACAUGGCUUGCGAAGCAUAUUUGGAUGACGGCAACACCGCGUUAAUCGGUUGUGUACUCCAGAUCAAGCCCGAAGAACUUCUCAUGAUCCGCUGUGUGGUCAAACCAUCGUUCCUUCAACUGUUGAAGGAAAAACGGCACCUCCCUGCUCAGGUUCGUGUACACGACACGGAGCUUCGUCGUGCCAUGCGCGACCACCUCAUGAAAGAUAGUUGGCAUGGUGGAAGAAGAGAAGGGAAGAAGAGAGGAGAAGAACAGAGAGGGCGACGCGAGAGAGAAGAAGAACAGAGAAAUGGCGACUGUACGCUUCGGUUUGUGCUUUUCAUCGCCCGAAACGACGCGGGAUGCAAACCGUUUGGGCCUUUAAUCCCGGGUUGAGCCACCAACCGGGACUAAAGAGGUAUACCAAACGGUUGCCACCACUACGACAGGCCACGUGUUAGGCUUUUAGUCCCGGGUUCAACCACCAACCGGGACUAAAGAGGUAUACCAACCGUCGCCACAACCACGGUAGGCCACGUGUUAGUCCUUUAGUCCCGGGUUGAGACACCAACCGGGACUAAAGGGGGAUACGAACGGUUGCCACCACCACUGCCCACCGCGUAGCCCUUUAGCCCCGGUUUGGGACACGAACCCGGACUAAAGGCUCCUUACGGGCCGGGACUAAAGCCUCGAGGGAGGCAUUGAGAAUUGGGGCGACGUGGCCGGGCCUUUAGUCCCGGCCCAGAGGCAGGCCGGGACUAAAUGGUCCAGGCCAAAGGCCCAUUUUCUACUAGUGAGCACACACACUUCUGCUUUCUAGACGGUUAUUCAGGUUUCUCGCAAAUACCUGUUGCACAAUCUGAUCAAGAGAAAACCACUUUCACCUGCCCUUUCGGUACCUUUGCCUAUAGACAUAUGCCUUUUGGCUUAUGUAAUGCACCUACCACCUUCCAAAGAUGUAUGAUGGCUAUAUUCUGUGACUUUUGUGAAAAGAUUGUCGAGGUUUUCAUGGACGACUUCUCUAUUUACGGGUCUUCCUUUGAUGAUUGCCUCAGCAACCUUGAUCGAGUCUUACAGAGAUGCGAAGAAACCAACCUCGUCUUGAAUUGGGAGAAGUGCCCCUUUAUGGUUAAUGAAGGUAUCGUCUUAGGACACAAAAUCUCUAAAAGAGGCAUUGAAGUUGAUAAGGCUAAGGUUGAUGCAAUUGAGAAAAUGCCUUGCCCCACAGACAUCAGAGGUAUAUGAAGUUUCUAGGUCAUGAUGGUUUCUAUAGAAGGUUCAUUAAAGACUUCUCUAAGAUUUCUAGGCCUCUUACCAACCUCUUGCAGAAGGAUGUUCCUUUUGUUUUUGAUGAGGAUUGUGAGAGGAAGCUUUCGAAAUACUUAAGAAGGCUUUGAUAACCGCACCUAUUGUUCAACCACCUGACUGGAACUUGCCCUUUGAAAUCAUGUGGGAUGCUAGUGAUUAUGCUGUUGGUGUUGUUCUAGGACAAAGUGUUGACAAGAAGUUGAAUGUCAUUCACUAUGCUAGUAAAACUCUAGACAGUGCCCAAAGAAACUAUGCCACUACGGAGAAGGAAUUUUUAGCAGUCGUGUUUGCAUGUGAGAAGUUCAGAUCUUACAUAGUUGACUCCAAAGUCACUAUUCACUCUGAUCAUGCUGCUAUUAAGUACCUUAUGGAGAAGAAGGACGCUAAGCCCAGGCUGAUCAGAUGGGUUCUCCUGCUACAGGAUUUCGAUUUGCAUGUUAUUGACCGAAAGGGUGCUGAUAACCCUGUAGCAGAUAACUUGUCUAGGCUAGAGAAUGUCCUUGAUGACCCAGUACCAAUUGAUGACAACUUUCCUGGUGAGCAAUUAAAUGUCAUCCGCACUUCACUUAGUGCACCGUGGUAUGCCGAUUAUGCAAACUAUAUCGUAGCCAAAUACAUACCACCCAGUUUCACCUAUCAACAAAAUAAGAAAUUCUUCUUUGAUUUGAGACACUACUUUUGGGAUGAUCCUCACCUUUAUAAGGAAGGAGUAGAUGGUGUUAUUAGACGUUGUGUGCCUGAACAUGAAUAGGGACAGAUCCUGCAGAAGUGUCAUUCCGAAGCCUAUGGAGGACACCAUGCUGGAGAUAGAACUGCCCAUAAGGUAUUGCAAUCAGGUUUCUAUUGGCCCACUCUUUUGAAGGAUGCCCGUAAGUUUGUCUUGUCUUGCGACGAAUGCCAAAGGAUAGGGAACAUCAGUAAGCGUGAGGAAAUGCCUAUGAACUAUUCACUUGUCAUUGAACCAUUUGAUGUCUGGGGCUUUGAUUAGAUGGGACCCUUCCCGAGUUCCAAUGGGUACACUCACAUCUUAGUUGCUGUGGAUUACGUUACUAAGUGGGUAGAAGCUAUCCCACCUAAAAAUGCUGAUCACCACACCUCUAUUAAGAUGCUUAAAGAAGUCACAUUCCCAAGAUUUGGACUCCCUAGAUACUUGAUGACUGAUGGCGGUCCACACUUCAUUCAUGGUGUUUUCCGUAAGAUGCUAGCUAAGUAUGAUGUCAACCAUAGAGUUGCAUCUCCUUAUCAUCUUCAGUCUAGUGGUCAAGUAGAGUUGAGUAAUAGGGAGAUCAAGUUGAUCCUACAAAAGACCGUCAAUAGAUCUCGAAAGAACUGGUCUAGCAAACUUGACGAUGCACUAUGGGCUUAUAGGACUGCUUAUAAGAAUCCCAUGGGCAUGUCACCGUAUAAAAUGGUUUAUGGUAAGGCCUGUCAUUUACCUCUUGAGAUGAAACACAAAGCUUAUUGGGCAAUCAAAGGGCUCAACUUUGAUUUCAAACUUGCCGGUGAGAAGCGGUUGUUUGAUACCAGCUCGUUAGAUGAAUGGAGAGCCCAGGCAUAUGAGAAUGCCAGGUUGUUCAAGGAAAAGGUUAAGAGAUGGCACGACAAACGAAUACAGAAACGAGAGUUCAAUGUAGGUGAUUAUGUCUUGGUAUACAAUUCUCGUUUGAGAUUCUUUGCAGGAAAGCUUCUCUCUAAAUGGAAAGGUACCUAUGUUGUCGAGGAAGUAUAUCGUUCCGGUGCCAUCAAAAUCAAUAACAUGGAAGGAAAUUUUCCUAGAGUGGUAAAUGGGUAAAGAAUCAAGCAUUACAUCUCUGGUACUCCCAUAAAUGUUGAGACCAAUAUCAGCAAUGUCAUAACUCUAGAGGAGUACAUAAGGGAUGUUUAUCAGCCUGUUUCAGACCUUGAAAACGAAGAUGUAUCUCUUUCGGCAAGAGAUUGGACUCCGAUACUUUUCCAAUAGGAAAUUUCCUUAGUUUUGGAAUUUUUGGAAAAUUAGAAAAAUAAAAAGCAGUCCGGAGAGCAAACGAGGCAGCCACAAGGGCCCACUCCGCCACCACCCUCCCUGGUGGCGGUGGGCAAGCUUGUGGGCACCUCGUGUGCCUCUCGAACUCCGUUUUCUUGCGGAGGACUCCUUCUGGCCCAGAAAAAAUCAAUAUAUAGUUGCCCGAAGGUUUUGAUCUCCGUAUCGCGUAGUUUUCCUCUAUUUUCAUUUCGAGCUUGUUUCUGCCGCAGAUCUAGAUCAUCAUGACUUCCCCAAACGCUCCUAAGGACAAGAUCUUCGAGAAGGUCAUCAAUCCCUACCUCACGGAAGUUCUUAAACACCCUCAAUCUAUCAAGAUGAGCGAGGGGAUGUUGCACAUCCGUGAUGUUGAGGGGCCUAAGAAGACCGGAAGCAUGGAGACGAGGCUCGAAGCAAUGGAGCAACAAGUCUUGAAGUGCCAAGGGAUGGUUGAGAGUGGACUCAACGCCAACCACACGAUGAUCACGGAGUUCACUAGCAAUCACAAGAUGGAUGCCAUUGAUGUUGGGGAAAACCUCUCCAGGCUUUACAAUAGGGUUGACCAACUUCAGGGCCAGAUCUAUGACCCGCAGAAUCAAAACUAUGAGUAUGAGUAUAGAUUUAAAUCAAUAAGGUUGGUUGCAGAUUUGAGGAUUCCGGCGACUCGUUCAUCCUGCCAUGAUGGAGCACCUAUGCCUUGGAAGAUGGAGGAUCACACUACUUCAACAACAACACCAUCACCACCAAAGGAAGACAACUAAGCAUUGGUAUGGGCAAUCCCCUUGGCUUCUGCCAAGCUUGGGGGAGUUGCCCUGGUAUCGUAUCACCUUUAUAUCUUUUGCUUUUACCUUUGUUUUAGUUCUUUCCUUUUCAGUUUUUAUUUAUUCUUUUAGAGGAAUAAGUCUUUAGUUUUUUAGUUUGAGUCUUUUGCUUUUGUCUCUCCCCCGAUGUAUUCGAGCUUACGAGCUAUAUAAUAAAGAGUGUCUUAGUCAAGGGCUUUGCUUUGUGCCAUGAUCAAAAGUAUGAAAAGAACGAUAGCAUGAAAGAUCAUGAGACGAUCUUAUGGAAAGUGAUAACUUCACUUAUGACACGUAUGAUGAUUGAAACUUGUUGAGAAUAAAUCAACAUAGACCUCAGUCAUUGUUGCAAUUAAUAAGAAGUAAUAAGGAAAGAGAGGUUCACAUAUAAAUAUAUCAUCUUAGACACUUUUUACAAUUGUGAGCACUCACCAAACUAUUACAUGCCUAGGAGUAGACGUUGGACAAGGAAGACAACAUAAUGAAUUGUGUUUGCUUGGUUCCAAACAGUGUUAUAUGAUUAGAGAUCCCUUAGCAUGUGAUGAUUGCUUCCACCUCAUAUUAGCCAAAACUCCCGCACCAAGUAGAGAUACUACUUGUGCAUCCAUAAACCUCCAACCCAGUUUUGCCAUGAGAGUCCACCAUACCUACCUAUGGAUUGAAUAAGAUCCUUCAAGUAAGUUGUCAUCGGUGCAAGCAAUAAAAAUUGCUCUCUAAUAUGUAUGAUCUAUUAGUGUGUGGAAAAUAAGCUUUGUACGAACUUGUGAUGAGGAAGACAUAAAAGCGACAUACUGCAUAAUAAAUUUCUUUAUCACGGGAGGCAAUAUAAAGUGACAUUCCUCCGCACUAAGAGGAUACGCAUUCAAACCUCAAAAGCGCAUGACAACCUGUGCUUCCCUCUACGAAGGGCCUAUCUUGUACCUUUACUUUUUACCCCUUGUAAGAGUCAUGGUGAUCUUCACCAAUUCCCUUUUUGCCUUUGUCUUGGCUACCGUCACAUGCUUGGGAAAGAUCUAUAUUCAUAUAUCAACUUGGAGUUGAGUACUCAUGCUUUAUUGUUGUUGACUUUACCCUUGAGGUAAACCGUUGGGAGGCAAAACUAUAAGCCCUAUCUUCCUCUAUGUCCAAUCAAAACUUUGACACCAUGAGUACCACGUGAGUUGUAACAAUUGUGGAAAACAAAAGAGAUGAUUGAGUAUGUGGGUUUGCCUUACAAGCUCUUAUUUGACUCUUUCUGAUGUUGUGAUAAAUUGCAAUUGCUUCAAUGACUAUGGACUAUUGUUGGUUACUUCUCGGUAAGGUUUUUGCUUCAUGCUUUGCUUUGUGAAGGAACUGUUACUUUCCCAUAAGAAUCUUUAUGAUAUAUUGUUGUCCUAUGUGUGAUCAUGAUGCCCUCAUGUCCGUAUUAUGUUUUAUCGACACCUUCGUCCCUCAACAUGUGGACAUGUUUAUGGAACUUGGUUUUCGCUUAAGGACAAGCGAGGUCUAAGCUUGGGGGAGUUGAUACGUCCAUUUUGCAUCAUGCUUUCAUGUUGAUAUUUAUUGCUUUUUGGGCUGUUAUAUUACUUGUGGUACCAUAUUUAUGCCUUUUCUCUCUUAUUUUGCAAGGAUUAUUUGAAGAGGGAGAAUUCAGGCAGCUGGAAUUCUGGACUGGAAAAGGAGCAAAUCCUAGUCCACUAUUCUGCACAUCUCCAAAUGCCCUGAAAAUUUACGUGGAUUUUUUCUGGAAUAUAUUAAAAAUACUGGGCGAAAGAACUACCGAAGGGGGGACACCAGGGCCCCACAAGCCCCCACUCCGCCACCACCCCCUUGUGGCGGUGGGCAAGCUUGUGGUCUUCCUGAAGGACCACUAGCCCCCCUCUUUUGCUAUAUGAAGCGUCCUGAUCUGGAAAAAAUCACGGGGGAGCUUUUUCGUGGUUUUGCCGCCGCCACGAGGCGGAACUUGAGCAGAUCCAAUCUAGAGCUCCGGCAGGACAAUCCUGCCGGGAAAACUUCCCUCCCAGAAGGGGAAAUCGUCGCCAUCGUCAUCACCAACACUCCUCUCGUCGGAGGGGAGGCAUCUUCAUCAACAUAUUCAUCAGCACCAUCUCCUCUCCAAUCCCUAGUUCAUCUCUUGUAAUCAAUCUUCGUCUUGCGACUCCGAUUGGUACUUGUAAGGUUGCUAGUAGUGUUGAUUACUCCUUGUAGUUGAUGCUUGUUGGAUUAUUUGGUGGAAGAGUUUAUGUUCAGAUCCUUGAUGCUAUUCAUUACACCUCUGAUCAUGAUUAUGAUUAUGUCUUGUGAGUAGUUACUUUUGUUCCUCAGGAAAUGGGAUAAGUCAUGUUAAUAAUAGUCAUGUGAAUUUGAUAUUCGUUCGGUAUUUUGAUAUGUUGUAUGUUGUUUUUCCUCUAGUGGUGUUAUGUGAACGUUGAAUACAUAACACUUCACCAUAUUGGGGCCUAGAGGAAGGCAUUGGGAAGUAGUAAGUAGAUGAUGGGUUGCUGGAGUGACAGAAGCUUAAACCCCAGUCUAUGCGUUGCUUCGUGAGGGGCUGAUUUGGAUCCACUAGUUUAAUGCUAUGGUUAGACUUUGUCUUAAUUCUUCUUUUGUAGUUGCGGAUGCUUGCGAGAGAGGUUAAUCAUAAGUGGGAUGCUUGUCCAAGUAAGGGCAGUACCCAAGCGCCGGUCCACCCACAUAUCAAACUAUCAAAGUAACGAACGCGAAUCAUGAACAUGAUGAAACUAGCAUGACAGAAAUUCCCGUGUGUCCUCGGGAGCGUUUUUCCUCCUAUAAGACUUUGUUCGGGCUUGCCCCUUGCUACAAAAGGGAUUGGGCCACUUGCUGCACCGUUGCUACUACUUGUUACUUGUUACUCUUUGCUUGCUACGUUUCACCUCGCUACACAAUCACUUGUUACCGCUACGUUCAGUGCUUGUAGUUAUUACCUUGCUGAAAUCCGUUUAUCAGAGCCUUCUGCUCCUCGUUGGGUUUGUCACUCUUACUUAUCGAAAGGAUUACGAUUGAUCCCCUAUACUUGUGGGUCAUCGGUGACAGGGGCACCUCCAGCGGCUACUGCAUUGAUAUCAUGUCACACUUGCAUGAUUUUCUCAAGCGCAAGAUAAAUUUGCCUCAUUUUCUGUUGCAUGAGAUUCGGCUCGCUAGUCUUCAAUACAAGAGAGCCUUCCCUCAUGCCCCCUUCAUCCAGGCCUUCAUCAACUUUAUUGCUGCUUUCCCGCUUGCUCCUACUCACACGCACCACAAGUGGGUCAUCCCCACUCAUUUGGCGGAUGACUAUGCUCCUAGGAAAACCCCAUCCACCUCCACUCGUCGUGCUGCUAUGCAGUCAGACACUCCUUCAUCCAGCUCUGCCCCUCUCAGUCGCUUUGCCAAAUUCAUUGGCAAAGCCCAUUCUGCCAUGAUGAAGGCGUUCUCCUUCCAGUGCGAUCAGAACCACGAUGUGGUUUCGCGCCUGAUCACCUCCAAGAAUGCCCUCAAGGCUCGUCUGAGAGACUCGGGCAAUCUUGAUGUCAGUGACGAUGAGGCUCUUCCUGCUAUUCCUCCUUCUGAUUUUGGCUUCCCAUCUGGUCCUGAGUGGGCUGAUUUUCUUGACGAGGCUGGUGGCAGUGGCUUGCCUGAGGAUGAGGAUGAUGAGGAUGAUGGUGCUGAUGAUCUCUGAGCAUUGUGGAUGUUUCUGAUGCCUCUCUUUUCGGUACUUGAUGCCAAAGGGGGAGAAAUGUAUCCUAGUUUUAGUCUUUGGAGUUUUAGCUUUUGAACUCAAUUUUCAUGGUGGAACUACGAUAAUGUAUGGAUAAACGACUAUGAUGUACUAUGUAUGAAUGCCGUGCAUUAUCGUAUGCUAUUAUGUUUUGUUCUAUUACUCCAUGUGAUGAUCUGCUGCCAUAUGAUUUCUUCGAUACACAUAUUAAGGGGGUGCUCCCGCAUUUACCUGUUUUACCAUGCAUAUAAUUAGGGGGAGUUUUGACAAAACUCUCACUCUCCCAUUCAUUCUUACCAUGCAUAUAAUCAGGGGGAGCCUCGUAACAAAUCUCUCCUAAGCCACACAUGUUUAUUACUAUUUUGGAGAGCUAUAUGUAUGUUGUCAUCAACUACCAAAAAGGGGGAGAUUGAAAGUGCAGUCAUGCCCUUAAUCAUUUGAUGAAAAUAUCUGUGGACACGAGCAUAUCUAGCACCACAUAUAGUGUUUAUUAUUGUGCUGAUAGGUCAUGUAUUUCACCUAAAUAUCCCUCGAAAAAUGUCUGUGGUGAUAUGCCUAUUCUCACGUGUCCUCUUGAUCAAAAUAUCUUGUUUCCCCCUAGUUUCUCUAUGACUAAUCAUUUAAGGGAAAUCAUUUAUGUUUGAUUCAUUUUUAUAUUUUUUCACCCUAUGUACUCAUACCUAGAUCUCUUGGCGCAAUUAUAUAUUUGAAAAGUUCAUACAUCUCCUUAGAAAAGUUGAUAUUGUGUUUGUUUUACUCCACUAGAUUUUAUUCUUUUAAUUCAUUAGUUAUAUCUUUAAUCACACAUAACUUUUAUAGAUUUUCUCCUAAUUUCCAUGUUGCCGAAAUUCUAAAACAAUCCGCAUAAUGUGUGCAGUUUGCGAAUCAUUACAAUUAGUUUUGAUAUUCAAAAAGGUCUAUUCACACCCGCCCAUUAAGACUCUUCACAAUCCUUUUAAAACCUAUUUUUCCAAUCUUUAAAUUUUGUCUUGAUUGUGAAAAAAGUAUAUCGACGGUAUAAAAUAAAAGUAAGAAUGGAAUAUUUUCAUCUAAAAAUAUACAUUUAAUUUUGUAAUCGCUACGGGUACUUAAGACAUAUUUUUGGCACUCUGUUUUCUUUAAGGAUAUUAAUAUUUUUAUAUAUUAAAAUUUUAAAAUUUCAAAUGUGAGAGUAAACUAAGAAAGUUACAAUCGAUUAUUAUUUAUUUAGACUAAAUUCUUUUAUCUCUUAAUAAUUAUAAAUUAUCUUUGUGAUAUUAUUUUUGUUAAAUUUUAGACAAAUAUAUUUGUUCUAUUAUGCUAAGAAACUAUAUAAAGAUAGUGCUAAUAUCAAGAUAUAAUAUUUUUAUCAUAUAAUAUUGAUCGUCCAAAUUGCAAUCUCACUAAAUUUCAAGCGUAUAUUGAAGAGAGUUUGGUGUAGGGUUUUUUUUDGAAACAUGCAAUUUUUUUUGUUUGACCAAAUUGAUGUAGAUAAGGAAAAUAGAUAAAGUAGAAACUUAAGUUUUCGCAAAAUAGUUCAUGCCAUUAGACGAGUUACACAUCUAUUUCCAUUUGUGGCUAUUAUAGUUUUCAUAAAUAUCAUGGAAGAUGACUAUAGAGUUGAUCCACGUUUCCAGAAUGCUUGCCUAUAUAUUUUGGAUGCGAGAAAAUAAAUAGAAUAGUUACCUACUACUCCCUCCGUUCCUAAAUAUAAGUCUUUUAAGCAAUUUCACCAAGGGACUACAUACAGACCAAAAUAAAUGAAUCUACAUUCUAAAGUAUGUCUAUAUACAUCUGUAUGUAGUCCUUCAGUAAAAACUCUAAAAAGACUUAUAUUAUAGAACGGAGGGAGUACUAAAUAGAACUUUGUUGAACAAAAAUAAAACUCUGUAAUUUGUCCUACAAACGUUGUACUGCUUUUUUGCCCGUUUUAUUAAUGGCAACUGGGUUUUUCAUGUUUCAGUUCAGCAAGAAUGAUUUGCACUUGGUCUAGAAUUAGUAUCGUCCGGAUUGACUCACCAUAAACUAUAUAUAACUUUUUAUCAUUUGUUUGAAGUGCAUCAUGCUUAAAAUGACUGUUGCAUGUAUGCGUGGAAAAAUUUGAAUCUUAUUAUUGUUUGCUAGAUACGUGUUAGUGGCCAUUGUUGGUCAGGUGCAACCUGGGGUCGUGCAAGUGUUAAGGAUCCAAGCGGGAUGCGCUGCUAACUGCUCAUUGGUCCUUGGAUCUGUCCCGCCAUGGAACAGUCCUACUAACAAGAAUAAUCACAAGGAGUCGAACUCUCCCACAAAUCAAAUGAUUCAGGUCACAACCUCUCCCACAAAUAAAUUCAUUCAGGUCAUAGGUGUCGAUUAAAAGAUUAGGAGGGAUUUGGGGAGAGAUCGAGGAGUUUGCCAAAUCGGGUCCGGAGUGGCUGGAUUGAUGUGUAUGAGUACAAGGAAGGCGGGAGGUGUGUGGGUCGUCGUAUCGACGGUGGCCUGCACGGGCGGAGCGGGCAUGGGUGGCUGGGGCUAUGGAGGUGAAACUGUGAAAGGUGAUGGCUAGAGCGGCCACCUCUGGUGAGAUUUCGGGGACGGCGAGCUCGUUCAAUGACGACCCAUCACUGAUUAGAGCAUAGUUAAUAGUAUAGCCAAUUGGUGACUAUAAACCAUCUUAUAGCCCAUUUUAUAGCUAGUUUGUACAAUAAUUAACUAUAAAAGAGUAAUACUUUUAUCAUAUAGAAUUCACCUUUCAUUCUCAAAAAGCACCUAGGAGCACGUGCUAGAGCUAACUCUUCACGAAGAGCCCGCUUCCCUUCUCUCUCAUCCAACUCAACAAAAAUAUAGUAUUUUAAUCCUUACACUCUGCUGACUGUAUCUUAUUGUACUUGCUUUUAUAGGGAGAGACGAGAGAUGAGGUGAGGGUGGCGGCUAGAGCUUCGCUUCUUCGAUGGGGAGGGGGUAGAGUCGGGGAUAAGUGAGAGACACAAGGCGUUCUUCGUCAUUCUCUGUCAUUUAAUCCUGAAACUUUUAAGGAACUAGAUAAUGCCCCGCCUGAAACUUUUAAGGAACUAGAUAAUGCCCCGCACGUUGUUGCGCGAAGCUUGUUAAUAAAAAUAUGGACUGUUGAUAAAAGACUAUAAAUUUAUGCAAGGACAAAUAUAAAAUUGUGUUUUACAUGACUUAAUUCCCUUGAAAAAAGUCAUGCAUGAGGUGAUAGCUUUUGCAUGCAAAGAUUAAUGAAAAAAGUGACUUAUGACUCCAUGCAUGACAUGGUGAUGUGUCAUUGUUGCAUGAAGAGAAAUAUUAGUUAAUGGGUUGUAACUAUUUAAAAAUAGAGGAUGAUUGAGUUCAGGCUCGGUCACGCCCAACCAAAGACACCCUUAUAGUUGGACUCGCAUGCAUCAUAGAGGUCACAGAGGUCAAGUGUAAUCCAUGAUAUCAAAUCAAGGUAAUGAUCAUCACCUACUCCGUUGCGUUCCAUCAUAUCAAACCAAACACGCCCUUUAAGUUUCACUAACUCUAAAAGUACUACUAAUGUAUAUGUUUUGUUUUGCUUCUAUGAUUCUAUCCGUGGAUAUGUAUAUUCAAGUUUUUUCAUGUUUUUAGGCCCCCAAUUAUUGGUGUUGGGAUACCGAAAGAGAGGCCAUAUCCAUGCGCGGGAGCCAUGUGCAUCUCUCCUUUCUCCAACAAAACCCGCCCUUUUCAGUGAAAAAGGUAUCUUAUAAUCUUUAAACGCGAAAAGAAAAGGCUAACUUUAAUCGUUUUCUUUUUGCAAAAUGGGCAUCUGUACCUUAUCUUAAGGUUGUCUUUGCAUUAAAUGUGUAGGUGAGUCCUUUUGAAAGGCAACUUUUGGACUAUCAUAAGAGCAUCUAUAAAAGUACCUCUUAUAUUCGUCUCAAACGUUUGGACAAACCGUCUGGUCAAUGAUCAGUCAGAAAAAUGCGUUUUAACCGGACCCCUCAAACCUGCUUCAAAUGCCCGGACGAACCGACAUCCCUCGUAUCGAGCCCAAAUCUAGGGCGGAUAUGGGCCAGCCCGGUCACGCCCAUGCGCAUCCGCCACGUCCUAGCUGACAGCUCCGGCCCACCACCGACCCCACCGCUGUACCACAAAAAUUCACUCCGGGCAUCUCGCUCCAAACCCUAGCUCACUCUCUCUCACUCCGUCUUUUCCUCUCCCUUCUCAAUUACAAUCUCAUCCACUCAACUGGAGAGCUCCAGCUCCAGAGGUGUCGCCUACGACGAGGAGCGGGCCCUCCGCAUUGCCUUUGAGCGGUCCAAGGUGGACAUCGAUGGCAUCUCCGGAUCUAAAGCGUCGCCACAGCUCCCACAUCGGCACAACGCAGACGCUGAAGCUGGACUUUCUCGGCCAGUGUGCAACUUUGGCAAGGACAGCGCACCUGCGCCAUCUCCUUCCCUCGCCGACCACUCCUGCACGUGGGCAGCGGUGGGUGCUUAUGCCCGCACCGUCGACCCGUACGCGUACUCCGGUAUCGAAAGCGCAUAUCGCCCACCGCAAGAGGUGGCGGGCAAGAGAGAGGGAAGCUACAGGGCAGUCCGCGCAUCGUCGCCAUGGGAUGCCGGCGGAGCCCGACGAGGACAAACGCCUCCUCGCAUGGGUGUACCGCCGGUCCCGCACGAUGACCAAGAUGGACACUCGCUGCCUCCGAUACGAUACUUGGCAGGUCGGUACCUUUGGACGCGUGGGUCACUAGUGGGGACACGGCCUAUAGUCCCGGCCCGUAAGGGGCUUUGGUCCCGGUUCAUCAACCGGGACCAAAGAGGCGGGACUAAAGGCCUAACCUUUAGUCCUGGCCCUGUUCCAAGCAGGGACCAAAGGUGCUCCACGUGGGCGCCUCGGAGCGCCCUCAGGGGCAGGCCCUUUAGUCCCGGGUCUUAACACGGACCGGGACUAAAGGAUCCGUCUGUUUAUUUUGUUUGUUUGACCCUAAAAAGGUACCUUUUUUAUUUAUUUUUCAAAUUUUAUUUUUGAAUAUUCUUUGAUUUAUUUUUAUGUUUUAUUUCAAUUUUUAAAUCUUUGAUUUAUUUGACAAUUUAAUCUCUAAUCACCCAUCCUCACUGCUCUAGCGUAGAUUACUCAUUUCAAAUCGUCUAACUUCUUGGCCGGUCAGCCAUCCUUUCACUGCUUCAGCCCGAGCACGCUUAACUUCCUGGUUCUAUCGCCCCUAGUUGCCAAGUGUGCACUUGUUGUUCUCCUGACAAUAGUAAGCUAUCAAUCCUAAACAACCUAGGGUUUGAUGUCAUGUCACAUGAUUUAAUUUUUUGAAUUCAAACAAUUAUUAAAAUAAACAAAAUAAGUAAUAAUAAUAGUGAAUUUCAAUGAAAACUACCUAAAGAUUUUAAAUAAAAUUAUUUUUUUCUUAUUUUUGUGGAAAAAACUUCUUUUUGCCAUAACUUUUUUUACAUUUGGAAUUUUGAGCAUCUGAGAAAACUUCACCGGGCAAGCCUCGGUUAAAUCGAUUCCCAAUUUUCUCUAGUUUUUUUUGAUAUAUUAAACUUUUUUUUUUGACGUCGUAUGCAAAAGUUAUGGCCGUUUUACAUUUUCCCCUUUUUUGAAACAACGGUCAAAAUUCAUAUCUCAAAAUUUGUAUACCAACUAGGCACUAAAACCUAACUACAUCUCAAAGGAUUUUAUUUUUUGAAGAUUUUAGCAUUUUUGUUUAUUUUCUACAAAACUAAAAAAGACGGUCCAGGGAGGGUAGAGUUUGAAAAUUUCAGAAUCCCCCUUUAGCCAAGAAUCCAAUCAUACCCGUCGACUACAUUUGCUAGCACCGCCCCCGCCAGAAUCACAACUAAGGUUAACCAAGCCAUGAGUUAACCAUUUCUAACUUUAUUUGCUAUGUUGAGCUAAAUGACCCUGAAAUUGAAAAGAACUAUAUGAACUCUGAAAAUGUUAAAACUUGACAUGGUAUCAUCAUUUCAUCCACAUAGCUUGUGCUAAAAAGUUGAGAGGGUUACGACAAAAACUGCAUGCACUUCGUGUACAAAACUAGACCAUCUCCUUCAAAGUAUCCCGGUUUCGGACGAAAACCCAUCUGCUAGAAAGAUAUUUUAUUUUUCUACUUAUUUCAACUUCAGACAUUUUAUGCAUUUUGUGCAUUCAAUAUAAACCAUUCAAAACCACAUCCUAAAUUUCGACCCUUUAUAACUUCAUUUGCUAUUUUUCAUGCAUUUAAUGAUUUUUUAGACCUAAAUGACCUUGAAAUUGAAAAGACCUGACAAAUGAACUCUGAAAAGGUUGAAACUUGGCAUCGUAUCAUCAUUUCUCCCACAUAGCAUGUGCUAAAAAGUUGAGAGGGUUACGUCAAAAACUGGAUGCACUUCGUGUACAAAAUGAACAAUCUCUUUCGAAGUAUCAGGAUUUCGAACGAAAACUCAUCUAUUGCAAAGGUAUUUCAUUUUUUGAACUUAUUUGAACUCCAUACUUUUUGUGUGUUUAAAAUACACCAUUUAAAGCCACAUCAUAAAUUUUCAAUAUUUUUUGACUUCAUUUGGUAUUUUUCAUGCAUUUACUUACUGUUUUGAGCUAAUUGACCCUGAAAUUGAAAAGCACUACAAAUGAACUCUGAAAAGGUUGAAAGUUGGCAUGGUAUCAUAGUUUCACCCACAUGGCAUGUGCUAAAAAGUUGAGACAGUUACGAUAAAAACUGGAUGCAAUUCGUGUACAAACUGGAUCAUCCUUCGAAGUAUCAAGGUUUCAGACGAAAACCCAUCUGCUACAAAGGCAUUUUAUUAAAAUGAUUUUAAUUCAGACUUUUUAUGCAUUCAAUAUGCACCAUACUAUAACAUGUUAAAAUCUACAGAAAGUGCUAAGUAAAAAUAAUAAAAAACAACAAUUAAAUGACUAAAACAACUAUAUAAGCAAAACAAUAUUGUUUUAAUUAAAAUUCAAAUUUAAAUUAUUCUAAAAAUAACAAAAUAAAUCUUACUGUGAUAACAAUCUAACAGAUGACUAGGAGAAAAAAGAAUUAAAUUAAAAACUAUUUGUAAACUCAAGUUAUUCACAAUUUGGGUUUGAAGCAAAUUUAAACAAAUUCAAAUUUAAACCAUUUAAAUUUAAAAACUAAUUGCACAAACAGAAACUAGACAAAAUUUUGAAUCUAAUGCAAAAAGAAUCACUCAAAAAAAAUAAGUAUCCUAAAAGAUAUAAGCAAUUUAAAAUAGAAACUACAAACAGAAAUAAAAUUUAAAAACAGAAAAAAAAAUACAAAAGGGAAUAGUGUAUAAAUUGAGCUGGGACGGAAGCCCUUUUUCUACUGAUGGGUGUUUGAGGGGUCGAAUUAGCGUAUCACAGCUGUACACGUUCUUAGUCACUACUAGUACUAACGCACCUUAUUAUUAAUUCAGCAUGCCAGUGGCAUCGAUGGAUAGAAACUUGGUCAAAACACUAUCUGGAAAUGCGUCUGAACCUGUGGGCGCUUGUGUAAGAAGUCCUGCUGGCUGCAAAAAGUUGUUUCAUUGCACGGCGUUUACAGCUAUGCAUAUCUGCGCCGUGUAUAUGCAUGUGAAUAUGUGCUUUGUAGUUAAUGCAUAGUACUUCCUUUGUUUUUAAAUAUAAGUUUUUUAAAAAAUUUCAUUAGAUGACUACAUAUAAAACAAAAUGAAUGAAUCUAUAUUUUGAAAUAUGAAUAUUGCUUUUGGCUUCCGAGCUCACUGGAGGCCUUUAAAUUCAAACUUCAAAUUCAGUAAAAACUCGUAUUUUAAUAUUUCAAAAAAAUCUGAAAAAAACUACAUAGAUAGAUGAAGGUAUAAUAGAAAAGUGUGUAAAUUUUCAGAACAAAAUACGUUGAAAUGAGGGCUGUACAAAAAAGACAAAUCUGAAACUUUUUAGCACAUGUUACUAUUCAUCAUUUCAGACCAUGAAUUUAUCUUUUUUGUACAGAUCGCGUUUCAAAGUAUUUUGACCUGAAUUUUUACACGCACACGAVUCACAUCCUUGUUUAGUUGUAUAAUUUUUUUCAGAUAUUUUGGAAUUAAAAUUUUCGAAUUUUGAAUUUUUUAAAUAUUUCGGCCUCCAUGGCUCCCCGGUAGCCAAAACACCAUUUUCUCUGAAAUAUGUUUAUAUACAUCUGUAUGUAGUCCUCUAAUUAAAUCUUUUGAAAGACUUAUAUUUAAGAAUAGAGGAAAUACAUUUCUGACAUUAGCUUGUGUAUUCAACAUCACGUAUUGACAACUGUUCAGCCAUGUGUUGACAAGUUUGCAUACGCGGACAGGUACCUGACUCGGAAGCAAGAGGCCAACAUGUUGCAACCUGUGUUGUUUUGACACUCAAGUUCUGUCACAUCACAUGGGUCAAAUUGGCCGUUGUUUAGGAGUUUUGGUCACAAUACAAUAUUUUUGUCAGCUCUGUAACUGUAAAGCAUAUCUUAUCAAGAGCUCAAAUGCAUUCCCCCAUUUUUGUAAGCACAUACACGUACCUACGACUACGGAUGGCCUGAUGCACACGUAAACCAUGGUUAUUGAUGCAGUUAUAUAGUUUAUGAGUUACUAGCAAAAGGGCCCGUGCGUUGCAAUGGAAGAAAAAAAUACCACACGCUUUUAAUCUUUUUAUAAUUAUUUUGAUUUAUUAAAAUAAUAAGCUAACUAACUAAUGUAGUCAGUUCUAUUUUAUUUUGUUGAGAAAUCAACCCAUCCAUUGUUCAUUCCACCAUGAUGAGAAAUUGAGCGGGACAAGCAAAGCAAAACAAAGAGGCUACGUGAAUUGAUCAAUGGACUGUUAUCUUAUUUCACUCAUGGGCUAGAGAAUAUGGGAUCAGAUGACAAACUGAAGGUGGUGUUUCAUUCUCUGUCUCUACAACAAUACAAUCUUACAUUCAAUACAUUUAUUCAUCAGCAAAAAAAUCCCCACAAAACAAAAUUUCUUGUCGGUGCUUGGCACACGGUUGGAGGGAUGGGGAGGGGAUCUCACCAGAUGAUGAGUUCCUGCCGGAGAAGGGGAUACGAUGAGGGGAGCAAGGGUUAGACGCCUCUAUCUGCCAUAAGGAGUCACCGUUGCCGCGCCAUAACCUCGAAGUUCCCCGUGUGAGCCAUGAAGACCCGCCUCCACCNNNNNNNNNNNNNNNNNNNNNNNNNNNNNNNNNNNNNNNNNNNNNNNNNNNNNNNNNNNNNNNNNNNNNNNNNNNNNNNNNNNNNNNNNNNNNNNNNNNNGAUAGUGUCCAAAGAAACUAUGCGACUACGGAAAAGGAAUUUUUAGCAGGCGUGUUUGCAUGUCAAAAGUUCAGAUCUUACAUAGUUGAUUCCAAAGUCACUAUUCACACUGAUUACGCUGCUAUUAAGUACCUCAUGGAAAAGAAAGACGCUAAACCUAGACUUAUCAGAUGGGUUCUCUUGCUACAAGAAUUUGAUUUGCAUGUUGUCGAUAAGAAGGGUGCUGAGAACCCCAGUAGCAUAUAACUUGUCUAGGUUGGAGAAUGUUCUUGAUGACCCACAACCUAGUGCACCGUGCUAUGUAGCUUCCCUGAUGAGCAAUUGAGUGUCAUCAAUACUUCACCUAGUGCACCGUGCUAUGCUGAUUAUGCAAAUUAUAUCGUUGCCAAAUAUAUACCACCUAGUUUCACAUAYCAGCAAAAGAAGAAAUUMUUCUUURAUUUGAGACAUUACUUUUGGGAUGAUCCUCACCUUUAUAAGGAAGGAGUAGAUGGUGUUAUUAGACGUUGURUACCUGAACAUGAACAGGGACAGAUCCUACAGAAGUGUCACUCCGAGGCCUACGGAGGACACCAUGCGGGAGAUAGAACUGCACACAAGGUAUUGCAAUCAGGUUUCUAUUGGCCCACUCUCUUCAAGGAUGCCCGUAAGUUUGUCUUGUCUUGUGAYGAAUGUCAAAGAAUAGGUAAUAUYAGYAAACGUCAGGAAAUGCCUAUGAACUAUUCACUUGUCAUUGAACCAUUUGAUGUYUGGGGCUUUGAUUAUAUGGGACCYUUYCCRARUUCCAAUGGGUAYACUCACAUCUUAGUUGCUGUKGAUUACRUUACUAAGUGGGUAGAAGCUAUUCCCCACUAAAAAUGYUGAUCACCACACCUCUAUUAWGAUGCYUAAAGAAGUCAUAUUCCCAAGAUUUGGAGUCCCUAGAUACUUGAUGACUGAUGGCGGUUCACACUUCAUUCAUGGUGUUUUCCGCAAGAUGCUAGCUAAGUAUGAUGUCAACCAUAGAGUUGCAUCUCCUUAUCNNNNNNNNNNNNNNNNNNNNNNNNNNNNNNNNNNNNNNNNNNNNNNNNNNNNNNNNNNNNNNNNNNNNNNNNNNNNNNNNNNNNNNNNNNNNNNNNNNNNACAUCUAUUGUCCAUCCCUCCCGUGGCAGCGGUUUCCAAAAGGAUACUACAGGAUAUUAAGGUUCUCCUUUUAAAUAAGAACUAGAACAAUGCAUUAGCACUUGGUGAACACAUGAACUCCUCAAACUAUGGUCAUCACCGGGAGUGGUUCCGGUUAUUGUCACUCCGGGGUUGCCGGGUCAUAACACAUAGUAGGUAACUACAACUUGCAAGAUCGGAUCUAAAACACACAUAUCUUGGUGACAACAUAAUARKUUCAGAUCWGAAAUYAUGGCAMUCGGGCCCUAGUGACAAGCAUUAAGCAUGGCAAAGUAGUAGCAACAUCAAUCUCAGAACAUAGUGGAUACUAGGGAUCAAUCCCCGUCAAAACUAACUCGAUUACAUGAUAGAUCUCAUCCUACUCAUCACCGCCCAGCGAGCCUAUGAAUAGAUUACUCACGAACGAUGAAGAGCUUCAUGGAAUUGGAGAGGGAAGAAGGUUGAUGAUGACGAUGGCGACGAUUUCCCBUCUCCGGAGCCCAAAACGGACUCCAGAUCUGCCCUCCAGAUGAAGAACAGGAUGUGGCGGCGCCUCCGUAUCGCAAACGCGACGAAAUCUUCUCUCUUGAUUUUUUUUCUCAACGAAAGUGAAUUUAUAGAGAUGGAGUUGGGGGCGGCAGACCCAUGUGGGCCCGACAAACUUGGUUGCCGCGGCCAGGGGGGUGGCCGUGACAACAUGGCUUGUGGCCCACUGGCCCAUCCCCUCCGGUGGAUCUUUGCGCAGGUAUUUUUCAUAUUCUCCAGAAAUAUUCUCCGUAAAUUUUCAGGACAUUCCGAGAACUUUCAUUUCUUCACAAAAACAACACCAUGGCAAUUCUGCUGAAAAUAGCGUCAGACCGGGUUAGUUCCAUUCAAAUCAUGCAAAUUAGAGUCCAAAACAAGGGCAAAAGAGUUUGGAAAAGUAGAUANNNNNNNNNNNNNNNNNNNNNNNNNNNNNNNNNNNNNNNNNNNNNNNNNNNNNNNNNNNNNNNNNNNNNNNNNNNNNNNNNNNNNNNNNNNNNNNNNNNNUUUACUAUUUUGCUAGGAUGUAGCUUUAGUAGUAAUAGCAUAAGUAGCACGACAACCACGAUGGCAACACGUUGAUGGAUGAUCAUGGUGUGGCGCCGGUGACAAGAAGAUCGUGCCGGUGCUUUGGUGAUGGAGAUCAAGAAGCACAAGAUGAUGGCCAUAUCAUGUCAYUUAUGAAUUGCAUGUGAUGUUAAYCCUUUUAUGCACCUUAUUUUGCUUAGAAYGACGGUAGCAUUAUGAGGUGAUCUCUCACUAAAAUUUCAAGAUMAAAKUUGUGUUCUCCCCGACUGUGCACCGUUGCUACAGUUCGUCGUUUCGAGACACCACGUGAUGAUCGGGUGUGAUAGACUCAACGUUCACAUACAACAGGUGUAAAACAGUUGCACACACGGAACACUCGGGUUAAUCUUGACGAUCCUAGCAUGUGCAGACAUGGCCUCGGAACACAUGAGACCGAAAGGUCGAGCAUGAAUCGUAUAGUUGAUAUGAUUAGCAUAGAGAUGCUUACCACUAAAACUAUUCUCAACUCACGUGAUGAUCGGACUCGAGUUAGUAAAUUUGGAUCAUGUACCACUCAAAUGACUAGAGAGAUGUACUUUUUGAGUGGGAGUUUAGCAAGUNNNNNNNNNNNNNNNNNNNNNNNNNNNNNNNNNNNNNNNNNNNNNNNNNNNNNNNNNNNNNNNNNNNNNNNNNNNNNNNNNNNNNNNNNNNNNNNNNNNNGAGAAAAAGGUGAAAUCAAGAGGUAAUAUGGUGAGCAGCUCUUUGUACAAGUGUAAGCGGAUGUUUAUCCAGCAGUUCAAUACCCUGCUUAAGGUUGGUGAUUUUAAGAGAAUGGUAGAUGCCCUAAAGAAACUUGAUGAGGUUGCUUCCGCUGUGGACCGGUUUAUCAUGCUCGUGGAUCGAUUUGAUCCUUCUAGUUUGAGGCACAUGGGGCAUCAGGGAAUUGGUAAUCCUCGUGAGACUAGUUCCUUCUUGUUUGAUGGCAAAAUAGUCGGCCGUGAUACAGAGAGGGAUCAGGUAGUUGAAUGGUUGGUCAAGCAAGAAAGUGAUGGUGUUCAAAAAUGUGAUGUUUGCAGUGUCACCACUUACGCUAUAGUGGGCAUAGGUGGCAUGGGCAAGACGACACUAGCACAGGCGGUCUACAAUGACCAAAGAGUGAAGCAAUGCUUUGAUCAGAUUAUGUGGGUGUGUGUGUCCAAUGAAUUUGAUGUCCUUGGUCUGACAAGAAAGAUUGUACAAGAAAUUACUGGGCAAGGUACCAAUAUCACUAGUCUAAAUUCGCUUCAAGAGAUCCUCAGAGGGAAGCUGAGCUCCAAGAAAUUUCUGCUUGUAUUUGAUGAUGUAUGGAAUGAUGAGAGAAGGCCAGACUGGGAGAAAUUAGUCGCUCCUCUGAAAUUUGGCCAAAGGGGAAGCAAGCUCUUAUUGACAACUCGAAUGCAAUCAGUUGUAGACAUUGUUGAAAGGGUACUAGGAGGAAGGGCCGAGUCUUUGAGAUUGGAGGGUCUACAUGAUAAUGAUCUUUUCGCACUUCUGAACAAGCACGCGUUCUUUGGAGUGAAUCCUGAUGAUUAUAUGAACUUGCAAGAUAUUGGACAGAAAAUCAUUAAAAAGUUAAGUGGAAGCCCAUUAGCUGCAAAGGUAUUGGGUGGGCUAUUGAACAACUCUAUGGACAGUACAUACUGGAAUCGAAUGCUAAGAGAAAAUAUCUCUAGCAUUGAGCAUGGCAAUGAAGGUGUUAUGAAAGUUUUAAGAUUAAGUUAUCAUCAUCUUCCUCCACAUCUACAGGCUUGCUUCAGAUAUUGCAGCAUGUUCCGAGAAGAUUACCGGUUCAGUAAAGCUGAUCUGGUACAGUUAUGGAUGGGCUCAGGACUGAUCCAGCUAUCUGCAGAUGAAGAUCAGAUACCAGAGGAUGUGGGUGAACAUUAUUUGCGUACACUGACAAGGAAGUCUUUCUUUGAAGUGCAUUCACAAGAGUCCAGUGAUAUGUCUUAUCAUGGUGACUUUUCUCUUGAAUACUAUGUGAUGCAUGAUUUAUUGCAUGAUCUAGGACGUACCGUUUCCAAAAAGGAAUGCAUCAGAAUUUUCAGCGAUGAUUAUGGUAGUAUUCCAAGAACAGUUCGCCAUGCAAAAAUUACAGUGGUAAAUCAUACAUCGUUCACGGAUUUCUCUGUACUAAAGAAACUGCGGACCCUGCUUAUAUCAUUUGAUGAAACAAUACAGAAAAGGGAUCAGUGGAUUGUACUGGAAAAAGUGCUAAAAGUAGCAACAAAAUUGAGGGUUUUGCAUGUACAGACAUCCUCGCUUUUCAAGCUGCCUGAUGCCUUUGGUAAUCUAACGCACCUUCGAUAUUUGUGUCAUUGGGGACCGUGUAAGGAAGUGGCAAAAUAUUCAUUUUGGUGUCCUUGCUCUAUAUACAAGUUAUAUCAUCUCCAAAGGAUAAAGUUAGAUAGAUGUUUGUUAUUAUCCUGUAGACUGCAAAACUUGGUUAAUCUGAGAUAUCUAGUCUUUUCGGGUAAUCUAAUAGGAUUUCCGCCUUACUUUGGACACUUAACUUCUCUUCAAGAAUUAAAUACUAAUAUGUGUGUCCCACCUGGCUAUGGUUUCCUGGCACGUGAGCUUGAGGAUUUAAAAGGUCUCCGUCGUUUAUAUGCUAGUGGGCUUGAGAAUGUCAGUGCACAAGAAGGAACUUCUGCUAAGCUGGGUGAAAAGGAAAGUCUCAUCAUGUUAUCACUCUCUUGGGACAGUGGCCAACUGGAAGCAGAUGGGGAGGAACUACUGAAUAGCCUUCAACCUCACACGAACCUUGAAAAGCUGAAGAUUCAAAGAUAUAAUGGUAUGAAAUCUCCGUGUUGGAUGGAAAAUCCUAUGCUGACAAACUUGACAUAUGUUUCUCUCUCAGAUUGCAACAACUGGCAACACCUUCCACCUUUAGGCGGACUACCUUCACUCAAAUAUCUCUACUUACAACAUAUGAAUGCAGUGAAAAGAAUAGAAGGUUCCUUUUAUGGCUGUGAGGUGCCUCUUGCCUUCCCGUCUCUUAAGUUGCUCUCAAUUGAAAUGCUUCCAUCACUAGAGGAGUGGGUUGGAUCGGAGGAUAUGAUUCUGUUUCCGCAGCUCGAAAAGUUAUUCAUUAGACGAUGCAGGCUAUUGAGAAAUAUACCAGCACUGCCAUCUACUCUUGCUCAUCUUGAAAUACGUGAUGCUGGUUUGUCUACUCUUCCUGCAACUUAUCAUCCCAGUGAAGCAUCAGUACACCAAAAGCCAGUACUUUCCAGGCUGAACAUCUAUGAUUGUCCAAAUCUAGUGACACUGGGCCAAGAGUAUUGUUUCCUUUAUCUGGAGGAAUUAUGCAUUGCACGCUGUAAAAAUCUGUUGCAUUUGCCGAUGGAUAAAUUGCAGACACCCCAACUCCUUAAAAGUUUGACAGUGAGGGGUUGCCCCAAGCUGAUGGCCCUGCAGGAAGAUAUCAGUUUGCCAUCAUCAAUCGUAAAGCUUCAUAUAUAUUCAUGUGGUGUUUAUGGGGCUUAUCAUGUCAACUCCCUGUGCAGCCUCACAUCUCUUAGUACUCUGUGUUUAGAGGGAGAUAUGAGUUUGCCAUCGUGUAAUCGUGUGACGACAGCUGCCCCAGAGGAAGAUAUGAGUUUGCCAUCGUCUAUCAGAGAGCUUUCUGUUGUUUCAUGUGGUGUUUAUGAGACUUGUCUACUCAACUCCCUGUGCGGCCUCACUUGUCUUACUACUCUGUGUUUACAUGACUGUGAGGUGACAGCCCUUCCCUCCGCAGACGUUUUUAGGGGUCUCAGAGCAGUGCAGCAUUUGGAAAUUGUGAAGUGCAGGGAGCUUGCUGCUCUAGAUGGGAUAGAAGAACUGGCUUCCCUCACGGAGUUAAUUGUGUAUGGAUGCGAGAAGCUUCUUGGCAAUCCGUCUCUGCAGCAAGCUUCUGAUACCGAUCAAAUCGCUACAGUCUCCCCUUCGCACCUUGGAAGACUUGAGAAGCUGAGAAUCAGCAAUCCAUUUCUCUUGCAAUGGGAGCCUUUGAGUAGAGUCAACUCGGUUACAGACUUGACCAUUGACAACAGCUCUAGAUGUUUACCUGAGGAGUGGUUGAUGAAAAACAGUGACCAUCUCAAACACCUGGGAGUGCUUGAUGCUUCUCAGCUGGAGUUCCUACCCUCGGUCAUGGCAAGGCUCCCCUCCCUUGCGACAUUGGAAUUCAAAAGAGCUAUACUGGUCCUGUCACUUCCAGAGCUGCCGGCCUCCUUACAGUUUUUACAAAUCCUUGGUUGUCAUCCUGUACUAAAGCAGCGAUGCAGGAAGAGAAGAGGCCAUGACUGGCAUAAGGUUGCGCACAUCCCUGUCCUGCGGAUUGUACAAGAUCUUCCAUCGGCGUAUGCAUGGCGUUCCUUUGCUGGUAUGGGUUCUCAGCCAUAAUAGUGGUAGUAUCACUUGCUAGUUGCUAUAUAUUCAAAGUGUGUGUGUCCUACUUCUACUGUACUCAAUAAAUGUCUCAAGAACUGCACUCGGUCUUCUGAGAUGUGAUUCCUCAUCCUAAGAUACACACAAUGGCAACUACUCCCUCUGUACCACAAUACUUGUUGUUGGAGAGAACUAGUCCAGUUCUUCCCAACAACAAGUAUUUUGGAACAGAGGGGAUAAACAACAAGUGAUAGCUGAGUAGAAAUUUCAUAGCUUUUAUUUUUCCUGGAUAAUUAUCUUUCUAAAUAGUUUAUACUCCCUUUGUACCCAAAUACAGAGGGAGUAGUAUUUAUAAUAUAAUAUAUAUCCUCUAAGGUUGACACUUUGUCAUUUCUAGGUAUUAUGCUGGCAAUGGGCCCAUGUUAGAGGAGGACGUGAGCCUUGGGCAAUGGCCGGCCGGCUGCACACACAGUAAAAACAUGGAUCGCGUGGUAUGGCAAGUUGCAACCAUAUGUAUAUGUAUCCGUUUCCUACUCCCUCACUCCCAAAAUCUUCCCCGGCCCUGAAUUGGGACUCAGCCAAUUCAGGUGUGUACUGGUGUUCUAAUCCUAAGAGAAAUCCUAAUGGGUUGGUACCAUGAGCUGGUUAAUCUCAACUAGGGACAGAAAUCUCACCUCGUCGUGCCGGACGACGCAACUGCGCUCUUCGACGGAGCAGCACACGGCGCCACCAUGGACGGCGGCCAGCUCGGCUGGCGGCGCCGCCGGCCGGCCGCCUCUCUCUUUAUGGUAGUUUGCUUCGACGUUGGACCGUUCUCAGCCGUCGGUUUUGAUUCGAUCCUAAGGAUCGGAUCUGUGCGGCAGAUGGCAGGCCUUCGGGUACCCUAAAUGGGCUAUAUUCCAUCACGGGCUAAAACUCAGUUUAAAACAGCCCGCCAAGAAAUGUUCUUCUUUUUGAGAGAUUUUCAUGCUGAUGGCCUAAAACCAGCCUCAAGAAAGGAAAAGAAAAAAGGGGCUACUACGCAUCCACCGACGGAUGUUUAGUAAACAUCCGUCAUCUGGACGACCGUCCGAUCUAUGCGCGCAUCCGUUCGAUCCGCACUCGCGGGGCUUUGGUCGGACAUCCAGUAAUUCCUAAUACGACGGUCGACUUGCAGAAACAAUCGCUUUGCUGCAAAAAAUAAACUUUGGACCCAUUAAUUCCUGAAACAACGGUCGAGUUUCAGAAACAAUUGCUUUAUUACAGAAAUUUUUUUCUUCGUCUUUCUGCAACAUAGGUACUAUCGCGGGAGAAUUUUUUGCAACAAAGGUCAUGUUUCAGAAAAUUUCUUCGUCUUUGUUGCAGAAUUUUUGCAACAAAGGAUCGCAUUGCAAAAAACUGAAGAGGGGUAAAUGGAGUGGGAGAGGUAGGAGACGGGAUCCAAAAAUCCAACCAAAACUCCUGAAACAACGGUUGCAUUGCAAAAACAACGACCGUGUUGGAGAAAACCGAAGAUGACUAGAUGAAGAGGGAGAGGUAGGAGACGGGAUCCAAAAAUCCAUACACUCGAACUCCUUCCACCGAGGGGAGGUGCACCUCGCCCCGGCCAGCCCGCCCCUCGUGGCCUCCCACCAGACCCUCUCCGGAAAGAAAUGAGUGGAGGGAGGAGGUUGAAGAAGAGAUAAGGCUAGAAAGAGAUACUUGGAUGGACCAUAGGGACACGUGUUGUUUAGGGGAGGCGGAUGAUGCGUUCGAGUUUUCCGCCGAUUGAAGGACAAUUUUUCCCAAGAAAAAAACAGCUUUUGCUUUAGCUCAAUAACAAAAAGUCCACUGUUUGUCCCUAACUAAACCGUAAUGUACGUGGCUGCUGCUCCAACUUAUGUAUGCAGAUGAAAUUUGAAACUACCGCUGCUUCAUUGUGCACAACAUUUUCUUCGAUGUCGAACUGUGCACAACGUGGGCGCCACUGCCUCUAUAUGACUGGAGGAAAUUACGCACGAAUCAUAGAGGCCUCACAAAGAAUGCUAAAAUUACCAGGUUUCCAUCGGAAAAAUUCAAACUGCACAUGUGUUGUUUAUGCUCGAGGAUGAUGACAGUUUAUACAACAUCUCACAUCCUCCUUCGAUCCCACACAAAUGCUCUCAAACCGCAAGCAUACGAAAUGUUUGUUUUGUGCUCUCAAAUCGCAAGAGUACUAAUUAUUUGUUUGUGUCCUGUUCAUGGGUGCUUGUGUAUUCCCUGGCAUGCGUCCAAACAUAGAAUUAACUACUCCCUCUGUUCUUAAAUAUAAGUCUUUUUAGAGGUUUCACUAUGAAACUAUAUACGGAUGUAUGUAGACAUACUAUAGAACGUAGAUUCAUUCAUUUCGUUUGGUAUGUAGUCCUCUAAUGAAAUCUCUAAAAAAUCUUAUAUUUAGGAACAGAGGAAGUAGAUCAUACUUCACGCAUUGAUACGGUAAUAUUGCUAAAAAAAUGCAUAAUUAGGUACAUACAACACGGACAACUAAAACUAAUGAAACACUUUAACUUUAAAACAUUAAAAAGUGAAGCGCAUAAUGAAAUAAUAUACAAAAGAGAAUAAAAUUCAGUUAAAAAGAGUGUGUCAUUUCUAAAUAAAAGAGUGAAUGAUCAACUAUAUAGAUAUGCUCCGAGCACCCAACACAUAUACCGUAUCUAUUGGGGAACGUCGCAUGGGAAACAAAAAUUUUCCUACGCGCACGAAGACUUAUCAUGGUGAUGUCCAUCUACGAGAAGGGAUGAGUCAUCUACGUACCCUUGUAGAUCGUACAGCAGAAGCGUUAGAGAACGCGGUUGAUGUAGUGGAACGUCCUCACGUCCCUCGAUCCGCCCCGCGAACAAUCCCGCGAUCAGUCCCACGAUCUAGUACCGAACGGACGGCACCUCCGCGUUCAGCACACGUACAGCUCGACGAUGAUCUCGGCCUUCUUGAUCCAGCAAGAGAGACGGAGAGGUAGAAGAGUUCUCCGGCAGCGUGACGGCGCUCCGGAGGUUGGUGAUGAUCUUGUCUCAGCAGGGCUCCGCCCGAGCUCCGCAGAAACGCGAUCAAGAGGAAAAACUAUGGAGGUAUGUGGUCGGGCAGCCGUGAGAAAGUCGUCUCAAAUCUGCCCUAAAAGCCCCAUAUAUAUAGGAGGAGGGAGGGGGACCUUGCCUUGGGGUCCAAGGGACCCUCAAGGGGUCGGCCGAGCCAAGGGGGGGAGGACUCCCCCCCCCCAAACCGAGUUGGACUUGGUUUGGUGGGAGGAGUCCCCCUCCUUUCCCACUUCCUCCCUCUUUUUUUCUUUUCCUUUGAUUUUCUUUUCUUGCCGCAUAGGCCCCCUUGGGGCUGUCCCACCAGCCCACUAAGGGCUGGUGUGUCUCCCCAAAGCCUAUGGGCUUCCCCGGGGUGGGUUGCCCCCCCCCCCCCCGGUGAACUCCCGGAACCCAUUCGUCAUUCCCGGUACAUUCCCGGUAACUCCGAAAACCUUCCGGUAAUCAAAUGAGGUCAUCCUAUAUAUCAAUCUUCAUUUCCGGACCAUUCCGGAAACCUCGUGACGUCCGUGAUCUCAUCCGGGACUCCGAACAACAUUCGGUAACCGACCAUAUAACUCAAAUACGCAUAAAACAACGUCGAACCUUAAGUGUGCAGACCCUGCGGGUUCGAGAACUAUGUAGACAUGACCCGAGAGACUCCUCGGUCAAUAUCCAAUAGCGGGACCUGGAUGCCCAUAUUGGAUCCUACAUAUUCUACGAAGAUCUUAUCGUUUGAACCUCAGUGCCAAGGAUUCGUAUAAUCCCGUAUGUCAUUCCCUUUGUCCUUCGGUAUGUUACUUGCCCGAGAUUCGAUCGUCAGUAUCCGCAUACCUAUUUCAAUCUCGUUUACCGGCAAGUCUCUUUACUCGUUCCGUAAUACAAGAUCCCGCAACUUACACUAAGUUACAUUGCUUGCAAGGCUUGUGUGUGAUGUUGUAUUACCGAGUGGGCCCCGAGAUACCUCUCCGUCAUACGGAGUGACAAAUCCCAGUCUUGAUCCAUACUAACUCAACUAACACCUUCGGAGAUACCUGUAGAGCAUCUUUAUAGUCACCCAGUUACGUUGCGACAUUUGAUACACACAAAGCAUUCCUCCGGUGUCAGUGAGUUAUAUGAUCUCAUGGUCAUAGGAAUAAAUACUUGACACGCAGAAAACAGUAGCAACAAAAUGACACGAUCAACAUGCUACGUCUAUUAGUUUGGGUCUAGUCCAUCACGUGAUUCUCCCAAUGACGUGAUCCAGUUAUCAAGAAACAACACCUUGUUCAUAAUCAGAAGACACUGACUAUCAUUGAUCAACUGGCUAGCCAACUAGAGGCAUGCUAGGGACGGUGUUUUGUCUAUGUAUCCACACAUGUAAAUGAGUCUUCAUUCAAUACAAUUAUAGCAUGGAUAAUAAACUAUUAUCUUGAUACAGGAAUUAUAAUAAUAACUAUAAAUUUAUUAUUGCCUCUAGGGCAUAAUUCCAACAGUCUCCCACUUGCACUAGAGUCAAUAAUCUAGCCCUCACAUCACCAUGUGAAUUACAUUGUAAUAAAUCUAACACCCAUACAGUUCUGGUGUCGAUCAUGUUUUGGCCGUGGAAGAGGUUUAGUCAGCGGGUCUGCUACAUUCAGAUCCGUGUGCACUUUGCAUAUAUUUACGUCCUCCUCCUCGACGUAGUCGCGGAUGAGGUUGAAGCGUCGUUUGAUGUGUCUGGUCUUCUUGUGAAACCUUGGUUCCUUUGCUAAGGCAAUGGCACCAGUGUUGUCACAGAACAAGGUUAUUGGAUCCAGUGCACUUGGCACCACUCCAAGAUCCGUCAUGAACUGCUUCAUCCAGACACCCUCCUUAGCCGCCUCCGAGGCAGCCAUGUACUCCGCUUCACAUGUAGAAUCUGCUACGACGCUUUGCUUGGAACUGCACCAGCUUACUGCACCCCCAUUAAGAAUAAAUACGUAUCCGGUUUGCGACUUAGAGUCGUCCAGAUCUGUGUCAAAGCUUGCAUCGACGUAACCUUUUACGGCGAGCUCUUCGUCACCUCCAUACACGAGAAACAUCUCCUUAGUCCUUUUCAGGUACUUCAGGAUAUUCUUGACCGUCGUCCAGUGAUCCACUCCUGGAUUACUCUGGAACCUACCUGCCAUACUUAUGGCCAGGCUAACAUCCGGUCUAGUGCACAGCAUCGCAUACAUGAUAGAGCCUAUGGCUGAAGCAUAGGGGGCGGAGCGCAUAUGCUCUCUAUCUUCAUCAGUUGCUGGGCACUGAGUCUUACUCAAUCUCGUACCUUGUAACACUGGCAAGAACCCUUUCUUGGACUGUUCCAUUUUGAACCUCUUCAAAACUUUAUCAAGGUAUGUGCUUUGUGAAAGUCCUAUCAGGCGUUUUGAUCUAUCCCUAUAGAUCUUAAUGCCUAGAGUGUAAGCAGCUUCUCCUAGGUCCUUCAUAGAGAAACUUUUAUUCAAGUAACCUUUUAUGCUCUCCAAAAGCUCUACGUUGUUUCCAAUCAGUAAUAUGUCAUCCACAUAUAAUAUUAGAAACGCCACAGAGCUCCCACUCACUUUCUUGUAAAUACAAGAUUCUCCAACCACUUGUAUAAACCCAAAUGCUUUGAUCACCUCAUCAAAGCGUUUGUUCCAACUUCGAGAUGCUUGCACCAGUCCAUAAAUGGAUCGCUGGAGCUUGCACACUUUGUCAGCAUUUUUAGGAUCGACAAAACCUUCGGGUUGCAUCAUAUACAACUCUUCCUUAAGGAAACCGUUAAGGAACGCCGUUUUGACAUCCAUCUGCCAGAUUUUAUAAUCGAAAAAUGCAGCUAUUGCUAACAUGAUCCUGACGGACUUAAGCAUCGCUACGGGUGAGAAGGUCUCAUCGUAGUCAACUCCUGGAACUUGUGAAAAACCCUUUGCCACAAGUCGAGCUUUAUAAACGGUCACGUUACCGUCAGCGUCCGUCUUCUUCUUAAAGAUCCAUUUGCUCUGAAUAGCCUUGCGGCCCUCAGGCAGUAUCUCCAAAGUCCACACUUUGUUCUCAUACAUGGAUCCUAUCUCGGAUUUCAUGGCUUCUAGCCAUUUGUUGGAAUCUGGGCCCACCAUUGCUUCUUCAUAAUUUGCAGGUUCAUUGUUGUCUAACAACAUGAUUGAUAAGACGGGAUUACCGUACCACUCUGGAGUAGCGCGUGAUCUCGUCGACCUGCGUGGUUCAACAGAAACUUGAACUGGAGUUUCAUGAUCAUCAUCAUUAACUUCCUCCUCAACCGGCGUCGCAAUGACAGAGGUUUCCCCUUGCCCUGCGCCACCAUCCAGAGGGAUGAGAGGUUCGACAACCUCGUCAAGUUCUAUCUUCCUCCCACUCAAUUCUCUUGAGAGAAACUCUUUCUCGAGAAAAGUUCCGUUCUUAGCAACAAACACUUUGCCCUCGGAUUUGAGAUAGAAGGUGUACCCAACUGUCUCUUUUGGGUAACCUAUGAAGACGCAUUUUUCCGCUUUGGGUUCCAGCUUUUCAGGCUGAAGCUUUUUGACAUAAGCAUCACAUCCCCAAACUUUAAGAAAUGACAACUUUGGCCUCUUGCCAUACCACAGUUCGUAUGGUGUCGUCUCAACGGAUUUUGAUGGUGCCCUAUUUAAAGUGAAUGCAGCUGUUUCUAAUGCAUAACCCCAAAACGAUAACGGCAAAUCAGUAAGAGACAUCAUAGAUCGCACCAUCUCUAACAAAGUACGAUUACGACGUUCGGACACACCAUUAUGCUGUGGUGUUCCAGGCGGUGUUAACUGUGAAACAAUUCCACAUUGUCUUAAGUGAGCACCAAACUCGAAACUCAGAUAUUCACCCCCACGAUCAGACCGUAGGAACUUGAUCUUCUUGUUACGAUGAUUUUCCACUUCACUCUGAAAUUGCUUGAACUUUUCAAAUGUUUCAGACUUGUGCUUCAUCAAGUAGACAUAACCAUAUCUACUUAAAUCGUCAGUGAAGGUGAGGAAAUAACGAUAUCCGCCGCGUGCCACCAUGCUCAUUGGACCACACACAUUGGUAUGUAUGAUUUCCAAUAAGUCACUUGCACGCUCCAUUGUUCCGGAGAACGGAGUCUUAGUCAUCUUGCCCAUGAGGCAUGGUUCGCACGUGUCAAGUGAAUCAAAGUCAAGUGACUCCAAAAGUCCAUCAGCAUGGAGUUUCUUCAUGCGCUUUACACCAAUAUGACCCAAGCGGCAGUGCCACAAAAAUAUGGCGCUAUCAUUGUUUACUCUAACUCUUUUGGUCUCAAUGUUAUGUAUAUGCGUAUCACUAUCAAGAUUCAAUAUGAACAAUCCUCUCACAUUCGGUGCAUGACCAUAAAAGAUGUUACUCAUAGAAAUAGAACAACCAUUAUUCUCAGACUUAAAAGAGUAACCGUCUCGCAAUAAACAAGAUCCAGAUAUAAUGUUCAUGCUCAACGCAGGCACUAAAUAACAAUGAUUUAAGUUCAUCACUAAUCCCGAUGGUAGCUGAAGUGACACUGUGCCGACGGCGAUUGCAUCAACCUUGGAACCGUUUCCUACGCGCAUCGUCACUUCAUCUUUCGCCAGCCUUCGUCUAUUUCGCAGUUCCUGUUUCGAGUUGCAAAUGUGAGCAACAGAACCGGUAUCGAAUACCCAGGCACUACUACGAGAGCCGGUUAAGUACACAUCAAUAACAUGUAUAUCAAAUAUACCUGAUUUUUCCUUGCCCGCCUUCUUAUCUGCCAGAUACUUGGGGCAAUUGCGCUUCCAGUGACCCAUACCCUUGCAAUAGAAGCACUCUGUUUCAGGCUUAGGUCCAGCCUUGGGUUUCUUCGGCGGAUUGGCAACAGGCUUGCCGCUCUUCUUCGAAUUGCCCUUCUUGCCUUUGCCGUUUCUCUUGAAACUAGUGGUCUUGCUCACCAUCAACACUUGAUGUUCUUUACGGAGUUCAGACUCUGCGACUUUCAGCAUCGCAAACAACUUGCCGGGAGACUUGUUCAUCCCUUGCAUGUUGUAGUUCAACACAAAGCCUUUAUAGCUUGGCGGCAGUGAUUGAAGGAUUCUGUCAGUGAUAGCUUCUUGCGGGAGUUCAAUCCCCAGUUCAGCUAGACGGUUUGAGUAUCCAGACAUUUUGAGCACAUGUUCACUGACAGACGAGUUUUCCUCCAUCUUGUAAGCAUAGAACUUAUCGGAGGUCUCAUACCUCUCGAUCCGGGCGUUCUUCUGAAAGAUAAACUCCAACUCCUGGAACAUCUCAAAUGCUCCAUGACGCUCAAAGCGACGUUGAAGUCCCAGUUCUAAGCCAUACAAGACUGCACAUUGAACUAUUGAGUAGUCCUCCUUACGUGCUAACCAAGCGUUCUUAACAUCCUGAUCAGUCGUAGCGGGUGGUUCAUCUCCUAGCGCAGCAUUAAGGACAUAAUCCUUCUUCCCAGCUUGUAAGAUUAGCUUAAGAUUACGAGCCCAGUCUACAAAGUUGCUUCCAUCAUCUUUCAACUUAGCUUUCUCUAGGAACGUAUUAAAAUUCAGGAUGACUGUUGCGUGAGCCAUGAUCUACAACACAAAUAUAUUCAAAGUGGACUUAGACUAUGUUCAAGAUAAUUAGAGUUCAACUUAAUAAAAUUAUAUGCUAAACUCCCACUCAAAAAGUACAUCUCUCUAGUCAUUUGAGUGGUUCAUGAUCCACUUACACUAUCCCAAGUCCGAUCAUCACGUGAGUUGGGUAUAGUUUCAGUGGUAAGCAUCCCUAUGCUAAUCAUAUCAACUAUAUGAUUCAUGAUCGACCUUUCGGUCUCAUGUGUUCCGAGGCCAUGUCUGCACAUGCUAGGCUCGUCAAGCUUAACCCGAGUGUUCCGCGUGCGCAACUGUUUUGCACCCGUUGUAUGUGAACGUUGAGUCUAUCACACCCGAUCAUCACGUGGUGUCUCGAAACGAUGAACUGUAGCAACGUUGCACAGUCGGGGAGAACACAAUUUCGUCUUGAAAUUUUAGUGAGAGAUCACCUCAUAAUGCUACCGUCGUUCUAAGCAAAAUAAGGUGCAUAAAAGGAUUAACAUCACAUGCAAUUCAUAAGUGACAUGAUAUGGCCAUCAUCUCGUGCUUCUUGAUCUCCAUCACCAAAGCACCGGCACGAUCUUCUUGUCACCGGCGCCACACCAUGAUCUCCAUCAACGUGUCGCCAUCGGGGUUGUCGUGCUACUCAUGCUAUUACUACUAAAGCUACAUCCUAGCAAAAUAGUAAAUGCAUCUGCAAGCACAAACGUUAGUUUAAAGACAACCCUAUGGCUCCUGCCGGUUGCCGUACCAUCGACGUGCAAGUCGAUAUUUCUAUUACAACAUGAUCAUCUCAUACAUCCAAUAUGUCACAUCACAUCGUUGGCCAUAUCACAUCACAAUCAUACCCUGCAAAAACAAGUUAGACGUCCUCUAAUUUUGUUGUUGCAUGUUUUACGUGGUGACCAAGGGUAUCUAGUAGGAUCGCAUCUUACUUACGCAAACACCACAACGGAGAUAUAUGAGUUGCUAUUUAACCUCAUCCAAGGACCUCCUCGGUCAAAUCCGAUUCAACUAAAGUUGGAGAAACCGUCACUUGCCAGUCAUCUUUGAGCAAAGGGGGUUACUCGUAACGAUGAAACCAGUCUCUCGUAAGCGUACGAGUAAUGUCAGUCCAAGCCGCUUCAAUCCAACAAUACCGCGGAAUCAAGAAAAGACUAAGGAGGGCAGUCAAAGCGCACAUUCACCGCCCACAAAAACUUUUGUGUUCUACUCGAGAAGACAUCUACGCAUGAACCUAGCUCAUGAUGCCACUAUUGGGGAACGUCGCAUGGGAAACAAAAAAUUUCCUACGCGCACGAAGACCUAUCAUGGUGAUGUCCAUCUACGAGAGGGGAUGAGUGAUCUAUGUACCCUUGUAGAUCGUACAACAGAAGCGUUAGAGAACGCGGUUGAUGUAGUGGAACGUCCUCACGUCCCUCGAUCCGCCCCGCGAACAAUCCCGCGAUCAGUCCCACGAUCUAGUACCGAACGGACGGCACCUCCACGUUCAGCACACGUACAACUCGACGAUGAUCUCGGCCUUCUUGAUCCAGCAAGAGAGACGGAGAGGUAGAAGAGUUCUCCGGCAGCGUGACGGCGCUCCGGAGGUUGGUGAUGAGGGAGGGGGACCUUGCCUUGGGGUCCAAGGGACCCUCAAGGGGUCGGCCGAGCCAAGGGGGGGAGGACUCCCCCCCCAAACCGAGUUGGACUUGGUUUGGUGGGAGGAGUCCCCCUCCUUUCCCACUUCCUCCCUCUUUUUUUUUUCUUUUCCUUUGAUUUUCUUUCUUGCUGCAUAGGCCCCCUUGGGGCUGUCCCACCAGCCCACUAAGGGCUGGUGUGUCUCCCCAAAGCCUAUGGGCUUCCCCGGGGUGGGUUGCCCCCCCCCCCCCGGUGAACUCCCGGAACCUAUUCGUGAUUCCCGGUACAUUCCCGGUAACUCCGAAAACCUUCCGGUAAUCAAAUGAGGUCAUCCUAUAUAUCAAUCUUCGUUUCCGGACCAUUCCGGAAACCCUCGUGACGUCCGUGAUCUCAUCCGGGACUCCGAACAACAUUCGGUAACCGACCAUUUACUCAAAUACGCAUAAAACAACGUCGAACCUUAAGUGUGCAGACCCUGCGGGUUCGAGAACUAUGUAGACAUGACCCGAGAGACUCCUCGGUCAAUAUCCAAUAGCGGGACCUGGAUGCCCAUAUUGGAUCCUCGGUCAAGAUCUUAUCGUUUGAACCUCAGUGCCAAGGAUUCGUAUAAUCCCGUAUGUCAUUCCCUUUGUCCUUCGGUAUGUUACUUGCCCGAGAUUCGAUCGUCAGUAUCCGCAUACCUAUUUCAAUCUCGUUUACCGGCAAGUCUCUUUACUCGUUCCGUAAUACAAGAUCCCGCAACUUACACUAAGUUACAUUGCUUGCAAGGCUUGUGUGUGAUGUUGUAUUACCGAGUGGGCCCCGAGAUACCUCUUCGUCAUACGGAGUGACAAAUCCCAGUCUUGAUCCAUACUAACUCAACUAACACCUUCGGAGAUACCUGUAGAGCAUCUUUAUAGUCACUCAGUUACGUUGCGACGUUUGNNNNNNNNNNNNNNNNNNNNNNNNNNNNNNNNNNNNNNNNNNNNNNNNNNNNNNNNNNNNNNNNNNNNNNNNNNNNNNNNNNNNNNNNNNNNNNNNNNNNCCCUAGUAAGCCUCUAGUUGACUAGCUCGUUGAUCAAAGAUGGUCAAGGUUUCCUGGCCAUGGGCAAGUGUUGUCACUUGAUAACGGGAUCACAUCAUUCGGAGAAUCAUGUGAUGGACUAGACCCAAACUAAUAGACGUAGCAUAUUGAUCGUGUCAUUUUGUUGCUACUGUUUUCUGCGUGUCAAGUAUUUGUUCCUAUGACCAUGAGAUCAUAUAACUCACGGACACCGGAGGAAUGCUUUGUGUGUAUCAAACGUCGCAACGUAACUGGGUGACUAUAAAGAUGCUCUACAGGUAUCUCCGAAGGUGUUCGUUGAGUUAGUAUGGAUCGAGACAGGGAUUUGUCACUCCGUGUGACGGAGAGGUAUCUCGGGGCCCACUCGGUAAUACAACAUUGCACACAAGCCUUGCAAGCAAUGUAACUUAGUGUAAGCUACGGGAUCUUGUAUUACGGAACGAGUAAAAGAGACUUGCCGGUAAAUGAGAUUGAAAUAGGUAUGCGGAUACUGAUGAUCGAAUCUCGGGCAAGUAACAUACCGAAGGACAAAGGGAAUGACAUACGGGAUUAUAUGAAUCCUUGGCACUGAGGUUCAAACGAUAAGAUCUUCGUAGAAUAUGUAGGAUCCAAUAUGGGCAUCCAGGUCCCGCUAUUGGAUAUUGACCGAGGAGUCUCUCGGGUCAUGUCUACAUAGUUCUCGAACCCGCAGGGUCUGCACACUUAAGGUUCGACGUUGUUUUAUGCGUAUUUGAGUUAUAUGGUUGGUUACCGAAUGUUGUUCGGAGUCCCGGAUGAGAUCACGGACGUCACGAGAGUUUCCGGAAUGGUCCGAAAACGAAGAUUGAUAUAUAGGAUGACCUCAUUUGAUUACCGGAAGGUUUUCGGAGUUACCGGGAAUGUACCGGGAAUGACGAAUGGGUUCCGGGAGUUCACCGGGGGGGCAACUCACCCCGGGGAAGCCCAUAGGCCAUGAGGGUGGCACACCAGCCCUUAGUGGUCUGGUGGGACAGCCCAAGAGGGCCCUAUGCACCUAGAGAAGAAAAUCAAGGAGAAAAGAAAAAAAAAGGAGGAGGUGGGAAGGGAAGGAAGGACUCCCUCCCACCAAACCAAGUCCAACUCGGUUUGGGGGGGGGGGGGAACCUUCCCCCUUGGACUCGGCCGACCCCCUUGGGGCUCCUUGAGCCCCAAGGCAAGGUCCCCUCCCUCCCACCUAUAUAUACGGAGGUUUUAGGGCUGAUUUGAGACGACUUUUCCACGGCAGCCCGACCACAUACCUCCACGGUUUUUCCUCUAGAUCGCGUUUCUGCGGAGCUCGGGCGGAGCCCUGCUGAGGCAAGGUCAUCACCAACCUCCGGAGCGCCGUCACGCUGCCGGAGAACUCUUCUACCUCUCCGUCUCUCUUGCUGGAUCAAGAAGGCCGAGAUCAUCGUCGAGCUGUACGUGUGCUGAACGCGGAGGUGCCGUCCGUUCGGUACUAGAUCAUGAGACUGAUCGCGGGAUUGUUCGCGGGGCGGAUCGAGGGACGUGAGGACGUUCCACUACAUCAACCGCGUUCACUAACGCUUCUACUGUACGGUCUACAAGGGUACGUAGAUCACUCAUCCCCUCUCGUAGAUGGACAUCACCAUGAUAGGUUUUCGUGCGCGUAGGAAAAUUUUUGUUUCCCUUGCGAAGUUCCCCAACAGUGGUAUCAGAGCUAGGUUCAUGCGUAGAUGUCUUCUCGAGUAGAACACAAAAGUUUUUGUGGGUGGUGAUGUGCGUUUUGCUGCCCUCCUUAGUCUUUUCUUGAUUCCGCGGUAUUGUUGGAUCGAAGCGGCUCGGACCGACAUUACUCGUACGCUUACGAGAGACUGGUUUCAUCGCUACGAGUAACUCCGUUGCUCAAAGAUGACUGGCGAGUGUCAGUUUCUCCAACUUUAGUUGAAUCGGAAUUGACCGAGGAGGUCCUUGGAUGAGGUUAAAUAGCAAUUCAUAUAUCUCCGUUGUGGUGUUUGCGUAAGUAAGAUGCGAUCCUACUAGAUACCCAUGGUCACCACGUAAAACAUGCAACAACAAUUAGAGGACGUCUAACUUGUUUUUGCAGGGUAUGCUUGUGAUGUGAUAUGGCCAACAAUGUGAUGUGAUAUAUUGGAUGUAUGAGAUGAUCAUGUUGUAAUAGUUAAUAUCGACUUGCACGUCGAUGGUACGGCAACCGGCAGGAGCCAUAGGGUUGUCUUUAUACUAACGUUUGUGCUUGCAGAUGCGUUUACUAUUUUGCUAGGAUGUAGCUUUAGUAGUAAUAGCAUGAGUAGCACGACAACCCCGAUGGCGACACGUUGAUGGAGAUCAUGAUGAUGGAGAUCAUGGUGUGACGCUGGUGACAAGAAGAUCGUGCCGGUGCUUUGGUGAUGGAGAUCAAGAAGCGCAUGAUGAUGGCCAUAUCAUGUCACUUAUGAAUUGCAUGUGAUGUUAAUCCUUUUAUGCACCUUAUUUUGCUUAGAACGACGGUAGCAUUAUGAGGUGAUCUCUCACUAAAAUUUCAAGACGAAAUUGUGUUCUCCCCGACUGUGCACCGUUGCUACAGUUCGUCGUUUCGAGACACCACAUGAUGAUCAAGUGUGAUAGACUCAACGUUCACAUACAACGGGUGCAAAACAGUUGCGCACGCGGAACACUCGGGUUAAGCUUGACGAGCCUACCAUGUGCAGACAUGGCCUCGGAACACAUGAGACCGAAAGGUCGAUCAUGAAUCAUAUAGAUGAUAUGAUUAGCAUAGGGAUGCUUACCACUGAAACUAUACUCAACUCACGUGAUGAUCGGACUUGAGCUAGUGUAAGUGGAUCAUGAACCACUCAAAUGACUAGAGAGAUGUACUUUUUGAGUGGGAGUUCUUAAGUAAUAUGAUUAAUUGAACUAAUUGUCAUGAACAUAGUCUAAUGGUCUUUGCGAAUUACGAUGUAGCUUGCGCUAUAGCUCUACUGUUUUUAUAUGUUCCUAGAGAAAAUUUAGUUGAAAGUUGAUAGUAGCAAACUUUGCAGACUGAGUCUGUAAAACCGAGGAUUGUCCUCGUUGCUGCACAGAAGGCUUAUGUCCUUAAUGCACCACUCGGUGUGCUGCACCUCGAGCGUCGUCUGUGGAUGCUAUGAACAUCAGACAUACACUUUUCUGAUGACUACACGAUAGUUCAGUACAAAAUACUUAAUGGCUUAGAAGCAAGGCGCCGAAAACGUUGUAAAACGUCACGGAACAUAAGUGAUGUUCUAAAGAGAUGAAAUUGUGAUUUCAUACUUGUGCCCUUGUUAAGAGGUACGAGACCUCCAACAAGAUUCUUUGUCCACAAAGUAAAGGAGAAAAGCUCAAUCGUUGAGCGUGUGCUCAGAUUGUCUGAGUACGACAAUCACUUGAAUCAAGUGGGAGUUAAUCUUCCAGAUGAGAUGGUGAUGGUUCUCCAAAGUCACUGCCACCAAGCUGUGAGAGCUUCGUGAUGAACUAUAACAUAUCAAGGAUAGAUACAAUGAUCCUUGAGUGAUUCGCGAUGUUUGACACUUCGAAAGUAGAAAUCAAGAAGGAGCAUCAAUAGUUGAUGGUUUGUAAAACCACUAAGUUUCAAGAAAGGCAAGGGCUAGCGGGGAUACUUCGUGAAACGGCAAAACAGUUGCUGCACUAAUGAAGAGACCUAAGAUUAAACCCAAACCCGAGACUAAGUGCUUCUGUAAUGAGGGGAACAGUCACUGAGGCGGAGCAACUCUAGAUACUUGGUAGAUAAGAAGGCUGGCAAAAGUCGAAAGAAGUGUAUUUGAUAUACAUGAUGUUGAUGUGUACUUUACUAGUACUCCUAGUAGCAUGAUGGUAUUGGAUACCGGUUCGGUUGCUAAGUGAUUAGUAACACGAAAUGAAAGCUACGGCAUAAACGGAGACUAGCUAAAGGCGAGGUGACGAUACGUGUUGGAAGUGUUUCCAAGGUUGAUAUGAUCAAACGUCGCACGCUCCCUCUACCAUCGGGAUUGGUGUUAAACCUAAAUAAUUUUUAUUUGGUGCUUGCGUUAAGCAUGAACAUGAUUGGAUCGUGUUUAUUGCAAUACGAUUAUUCAUUUAAAGAGAAUAAUGGUUACUCUAUUUUCUUGAAUAAUCACCUUCAAUGGUUUAUUGAAUCUCGAUGGUAGUGUUACACAUGUUCUUAAUAUUGGUGCCAAAAGAUACGAGUUAAUGAUGAUAGUACCACUUACUUGUGGCACUGCCGCUUGAGUCAUGUUAGUAUAAAUUGCAUGAAGAGGCUCCAUGCUGAUGGAUCUUUGUACUCACCUGAUUUCGAAUCACUAGUGACAUGGAAAUCAUACCACAUGAGCAAGGCCUUGUUUUCAUUAAGAUGAAACAAGAAAGUAACUUAUUGGAAGUGAUACAUUUUGAUGUAUGCAGUCCAAUGGGUGCUAAGGCACGCAGUGGAUAUCAUUAUGUUCUCACUUCACUGACGAUUUGAGUAGAUACAAAAGUAUUUACUUAAUGAAUCACAAGUCUGAAAUAUUGAAUAGUUCAAUUCCAUUUCAGAGUGAAGUUCGUCGUAACAAGAGGAUAAACUGUCUACGAUAUGAUCAUGGAAAUGAAUAUCUGAGUUACGAGUUUUGGUACGCAGUUAAGACAAUGUGGAAAUUGUUUCGCAGUUCAUGCCACCUGGAACAUCAUAGUGUGAUGAUGUGUCUGAACGUCAUAGCCACGCACUAUUUGGUAUGGUGCAUACUAUGAUGUCUCUUAUCGAAUUACCACUAUCGUUUAUGGGUUAUGCAUUAGAGACAACCGCACUCACUUUAAAUAGGGCACCGCGUAUUUCCGUUGAGAUGACACAGUAUAGACUGAGGUUUAGAGAAAUCUAAACUGUCGUUUCUUGAAAGUUUGGGGCUUCGACACUUAUGUGAAAAAAUUUCAGUCUGAUAAGCUCGAACCCAAAGCGGAUAAAUGCAUCUUCAUAGGAUAUCCAAAACAGUUGGGUACAUCUCCUAUCUCAGAUCCGAAAGCAAAGUGUUUGUUUCUAGAAACGGAUCCUUUCUCGAGGAAAGGUUUCUCUCGAAAGAAUUGAGUGGGAGAGUGGUAGAACUUGAUGAGGUUAUUGAACCAUCACUUCAACCAGUGUGUAGCAGGGCGCAAGAAGUUGUUCCUGUGGCGCCUACACCAAUUGAAGUGGAAGCUGAUGAUGGUGAUCAUCGAGCACCGGAUCAAGUUACUACAAGCCUCGUAGGUUGACAAGGUCGCGUACUACUACAGAGUGGUACGGUAACCCUGUCUUGGAGGUCAUGUUGUUGAGCAACAAUGAACUUACGAGUUAUGAAGAAAGCAAUGGUGGGCCCGGAUUCCGACAAAUGGCUCGAAGCCAUGAAAUCCGAGAGAGGAUCCAUGUAUGAAAACAAAGUGUAGACUUUGAAAUAACUACUUGAUGGUCAGAGGACUAUUGAGUAAAGAUGGGUCUUUAAAAGAAAGACAGACGGUGAUGGUGAUAAGUCACUAUUAAGAAAAGCUCGACUUGUCGCAAAGAUGUUUCCGACAAGAUCAAACUGUUGACUAUGAUGAGUCUUUCUCACUCGUAGCGAUGCUAAAGGUCUGUUAGAAUUAUGUUAGUUGUUGAUGCAUUAUUUAUGAAAUAUUGCACAUAGGAUGUCAAAACAUUGUUUUCUCAACGGUUUCUUUGAGCAAACAUUGUAUGUGAUACAACCAGAAGGUUUUGUCGAUCCUAAAGAUACUAGCAAGUAUGCAAGCUCCAGUGAUCCUUCAAUGGACUGGUGCAAGCAUCUCGGAGUUGGAGUAUACACUUUGAUGAGAUGAUCAAAGAUUUUGGGUUUGUACAAGGUUUAUGAGAAACUUGUAUUUCCAAAGAAGUGAGUGGGAGCACUAUAGAAUUUCUGAUAGGUAUAUGUGGUUGACAUAUUGUGGAUCAGAAGUAAUGUAGAAUUUCUGUAAAGCAUACAAGGUUGUUUGAAAGAAGUUUUCAAAGGAGUACCUGGAUUACGCUACUUGAACGUUGAGCAUCAAAGAUCUAUGGAGACAGAUCAAAAGCGCUUAAUAGAAGUUUCAACAAGAUGCAUGCCUUGACAAGUUUUUGAAAGAGUUCAAAAUAGAUCAGCAAAGAAGGAGUUCUUGGUUGCAUUGUGAGGUGUGAAUUUGAGUAAGACUCAAAACCCGACCACAGCAGAAUAAAGAGAAUAGACGAAGGUCGUCUUCUAUGCCUUAGCCGUAGAAUCUAAUGUAUGCCAUGCUGUGUACCGCACCUGAUGUGUGCCUUGACUCAAAAUCUGUUGAGAGGUACAGAGAGUGAUCCAUGAUUGAAUCACUAGCAGCGGUCAAAAUUUAUCCUUAGUAACUAAUGGACUAAGGAAUUUUCCUUGAUUAUGGAGGUGGUUAAAGAGUUCGUCGUAAAGGGUUACGUCGAUGCAAGCUUGCAUGCNNNNNNNNNNNNNNNNNNNNNNNNNNNNNNNNNNNNNNNNNNNNNNNNNNNNNNNNNNNNNNNNNNNNNNNNNNNNNNNNNNNNNNNNNNNNNNNNNNNNUUUUGUACACGAAGUGCAUCCAGUUUUUUGUCUAGACCGCCUCACUUUAACUUACACUGCUAUGUGGGUGAAAUGAUGAUAGCAUGCCAACUUUCAACAUUUUCAGAGUUCAUUUGUAGUGCUUUUCAAUUUCAGGGUCAACUUGACUCAAAAAAAAAGUAAAUCCACGAAAUAUACCAAAUGAAUUCAGAAAUUGUUGAAAUUUUGUGUUGUGCCUUUGAAUGGUGCAUUUUGAACACACAAAAAGUAUGGAGUUCAAAUAAGUUCACAAAAAUGAAAUCCCUUUGUAAGAGAUGAGUUCUCGUUCGAAACCUGAUACUUCGAUAGAGAUUGUCCGUCUUGUACACGAAGUGCAUCCAGUUUUUGUCGUAGCCCUCUCAACUUUUUAACACAUGCUAUGUGGGUGAAAUGAUGAUAGCAUGCCCUAACUUUUAACAUUUUCAGAGUUCAUUUGUAGUGCUUUUCAAUUUCAGGGUCAACUAGCUCAAAAAAAAUAAGUACAUCCACGAAAUAUACCAAAUGAAGUCAGAAAUUGUUGAAAUUUUGUGUUGUGCCUUUGAAUGGUGCAUUUUGAACACACAAAAAGUAUGGAGUUCAAAUAAGUUCACAAAAAUGAAAUCCCUUUGUAAGAGAUGAGUUCUCGUUCGAAACCCUAAUACUUCGAGAGAGAUUGUCCGUUUUGUACACGAAGUGCAUCCAGUUUUUGUCGUAACCCUCUCAACUUUUUAACACAUGCUAUGUGGGUGAAAUAAUGAUAGCAUGCCAACUUUCAACAUUUUCAGAGUUCAUUUGUAGUGCUUUUCAAUUUCAGGGUCAACUAGCUCAAAAAAAAAGUAAAUUCACGAAAUAUACCAAAUGAAGUCAAAAAGUAUGGAGUUCAAAAAACCAUGUUAUGAAAUUAAAUAUUAUCAUUGGCGAUUCAUCUCUAUUAUGAAAUCAAAUAUAUCAAAAAACCAUUGCAGAACAUAUGACCAAAUUAAUACAAGUUCAUCAUCACAUUAAAGCCAAAGAACAGUAGUGAUCAAAUGUUAUUAUUGCAAAAAAUAAAUACAUAAAGUUCUCUUAUAAAACAACAUACAACUAUGUAAAACAUUUAAAUGCAACAACAAACGCGAUCAAAAUCGCAACUAAGGUAACAAUUGACCCAACAUCAUAAUGAUACCAAGCCUCUUUAUCAUUGGCAUAUUUUCUAAUAUUCCUAAUCUUCUAGCGCAUUCCAUCCAUCNNNNNNNNNNNNNNNNNNNNNNNNNNNNNNNNNNNNNNNNNNNNNNNNNNNNNNNNNNNNNNNNNNNNNNNNNNNNNNNNNNNNNNNNNNNNNNNNNNNNUUACAAUCUUUUCUGACUUCAUUUGUUAUUUUUCAUGCAUUUACUGAUUAUUUUGAGCUAUAAGACCAUGAAAUUGAAAAGCAUUUUAAAUGAACUCUGAAAAGGUUCCAAGUUGGCAUGGUAUCAUCAUUUCACCCACAUAGCAUGUGCGAGAAAGUUGAGAGGGUUACCGGAAAAACUGGAUGCACUUCGUGUACAAAACGGAUAAUCUCUUUCGAAGUAUCACGGUUUCAUAUGGAAACUCGUCUGUUACAAAGGGAUUUCUUUUUUUGAACUUAUUUGAACUCCAUAGUUUUUCUGUGUUCAAAAUGCAUCAUUCAAAGCCACAUCAUCAAUUUACAAUCCUUUCUGACUUCAUUUCUUAUUUUUCAUGCAUUUACUGAUUAUUUUGAGCUAUAAGACCAUGAAAUUGAAAAGCAUUUGAAAUGAACUCUGAAAAGGUUCCAAGUUGGCAUGUUAUCAUCAUUUCACACACAUAGCAUGUGCGAGAAAGUUGAGAGUGUUACGGCAAAAACUGGAUGCACUUCGUGUACAAAACAGACAAUCUCUUUCGAAGUAUUAGGGUUUCAUACGAAAACUCGUCUGUUACAAAGGGAUUUCUUUUUUUUGAACUUAUUUGAACUCCAUAGUUUUUCUGUGUUCAAAAUGCAUCAUUCAAAGCCACAUCAUCAAUUUACAAUCUUUUCUGACUUCAUUUCUUAUUUUUCAUGCAUUUACUGAUUAUUUUGAGCUAUAAGACCAUGAAAUUGAAAAGCAUUUGAAAUGUACUCUGAAAAGGUUCCAAGUUGGCAUGGUAUCAUCAUUUCACCCACAUAGCAUGUGCGAGAAAGUUGAGAGUGUUACGGCAAAAACUGGAUGCACUUCGUGUACAAAACAGACAAUCUCUUUCGAAGUAUGAGGGUUUCAUACGGAAACUCGUCUCUUACAAAGGGAUUUCAUUUUUUUGAACUUAUUUGAACUCCAUAGUUUUUCUGUGUUCAAAAUGCACCAUUCAAAGCCACAUCAUCAAUUUACAACCCUUUCUGACUUCAUUUGUUAUUUUUCAUGCAUUUACUGAUUAUUAUGAGCUAUAAGACCAUGAAAUUGAAAAGCAUUUGNNNNNNNNNNNNNNNNNNNNNNNNNNNNNNNNNNNNNNNNNNNNNNNNNNNNNNNNNNNNNNNNNNNNNNNNNNNNNNNNNNNNNNNNNNNNNNNNNNNNCGAAGUAUCACAGUUUCAUACGGAAACUCGUGAGUUACAAAAGGAUUUCAUUUUUUUGAACUUAUUUGAACUCCAUAGUUUUUCUGUGUUCAAAAUGCACCAUUCAAAGCCACAUCAUCAAUUUACAACCCUUUCUGACUUCAUUUGUUAUUUUUCAUGCAUUUACCGAUUAUUAUUGAGCUAUAAGACCAUGAAAUUGAAAAGCAUUUGAAAUGAACUCUGAAAAGGUUCCAAGUUGGCAUGGUAUCAUCAUUUCACCCACAUAGCAUGUGCGAGAAAGUUGAGAGGGUUACGGCAAAAACUGGAUGCACUUCGUGUACAAAACGGACAAUCUCUUUCGAAGUAUCACGGUUUCAUACGGAAACUCGUCUGUUACAAAGGGAUUUCAUUUUUUUGAACUUAUUUGAACUCCAUAGUUUAUCUGUUUUCAAAAUGCACCAUUCAAAGCCACAUCAUCAAUUUACAACCCUUUCUAACUUCAUUUGUUAUUUUUCAUGCAUUUACUCAUUAUUUUGAGCUAUAAGACCAUGAAAUUGAAAAGCAUUUGAAAUGAACUCUGAAAAGGUUCCAAGUUGGCAUGGUAUCAUCAUUUCACCCACAUAGCAUGUGCGAGAAAGUUGAGAGGGUUACGGCAAAAAAUGGAUGCACUUCGUGUACAAAACGGACUAUCUCUUUCGAAGUAUCACAGUUUCAUACGGAAACUCGUGAGUUACAAAAGGAUUUCAUUUUUUUKGAACUUAUUUGAACUCCAUAGUUUUUUCUGUGUUACAAAAGUCGACUACCCAAUUCCAAAGCCACAAUUCCNNNNNNNNNNNNNNNNNNNNNNNNNNNNNNNNNNNNNNNNNNNNNNNNNNNNNNNNNNNNNNNNNNNNNNNNNNNNNNNNNNNNNNNNNNNNNNNNNNNNUUUACCCACAUAGCAUGUGCGAGAAAUUUGAGAGGGUUACGGCAAAAACUGGAUGCACUUCGUGUACAAAACGGACAAUCUCUUUCGAAAUAUGAGGGUUUCAUACGGAAACUCGUCUCUUACGAAGGGAUUUUAUUUUUUUUGAACCUAUUUGAACUCCAUAGUUUUUCUGUGUUCAAAAUGCACCAUUCAAAGCCACAUCAUCAAUUUACAACCCUUUCUAACUUCAUUUGUUAUUUUUCAUGCAUUUACUUAUUAUUAUGAGCUAUAAGACCAUGGAAUUGAAAAGCAUUUGAAAUGAACUCUGAAAAGGUUCCAAGUUGGCAUGGUAUCAUCAUUUCACCCACAUAGCAUGUGCGAGAAAGUUGAGAGGGUUACGGCAAAAAAUGGAUGCACUUCGUGUACAAAACGGACAAUCUUUUUCGAAGUAUCACGGUUUCAUACAGAAACUCGUGUCUUACAAAGGGAUUUCAUUUUUUUGAACUUAUUUGAACUCCAUAGUUUUUCUGUGUUCAAAAUGCACCAUUCAAAGCCACAUCAUCAAUUUACAACCCUUUCUAACUUCAUUUGUUAUUUUUCGUGCAUUUACUGAUUAUUUUGAGCUAUAAGACCAUGAAAUUGAAAAGCAUUUGAAAUGAACUCUGAAAAGGUUCCAAGUUGGCAUGUUAUNNNNNNNNNNNNNNNNNNNNNNNNNNNNNNNNNNNNNNNNNNNNNNNNNNNNNNNNNNNNNNNNNNNNNNNNNNNNNNNNNNNNNNNNNNNNNNNNNNNNCAGCGAAAUGAGCAACUACACGGCAGCACCUUGGCAUGGGGCGAGCACGACGGGGCCGGACCUUAGCCGGACGGCGGCGCGGCGACCAAGGGCGGCGCAAAGAGGCCAGGGCGGACGGUGGGAGCGAGGGCGGCCACGGCGGGCCGGCGCGGAGAGGAGGUCGCUGCGGCGGCGCGCGGGGCGCAGGGUACCUGCACGCGAGGCGGGGCGGCGCGGCACGACCACGGGGUCGGAGCUGCGCGCGGGGGAAGCAGGAGGCGGGCGGGGCGCUGCUGGCGGCGGGGCUGCAGCAGCAGCUUGAGGCCGGCGAGGCAGAGGAGGGGCCAUGGCGCGCAGGGAACGGCGAGCGAGAAGGGAGCUGGGGGCGGAGACGUGGUACGGGAGGAGGGGAAUCGGGCGUGGGGAGGAUGCGCUGGGAGGACGACGCUGAGGAGGGAGACGGCGCUACGGGAUCGGGAUCGAGCGUGGGCUCCUGCUCGCUAGGGUAGCGGGGGAAGGUGGGCCGCCUUGGAGGUCCAAGUGGGCGGCUGGGCCUUGGGCAGAUAUCUCCUCUCUUAAAAAAAAGAUACGCGAAAAAAGCUGAUUUUAAAAUAAUGCCAGAGGCAAAAGAAAAGGAAAUAAACAAAUAAAAAAAAUACUUUUGGGCUCCUUAAAACAUGCACCAAUUAUAAGAAUUAGAUNNNNNNNNNNNNNNNNNNNNNNNNNNNNNNNNNNNNNNNNNNNNNNNNNNNNNNNNNNNNNNNNNNNNNNNNNNNNNNNNNNNNNNNNNNNNNNNNNNNNAAAUGGCCGACUGGGCCGGCCUGUGGCCUCGGCCCGCCACCAGGCGCCUUGACGCGUCCCACCGGCCUGAGGCCCACUACCCCCAGCGGCCGAACGAUCCUAGCGGCCAGGCACUGGCGCCCCUCCUGGCAUCCUGGGCCGGCCUAGCGCUGGCGGCGCUCACUUGCGGCCCGAAGGCCCGCCUUGGCCUAGGAUUUGAGCGUCGGCCGUCGGAUGGAAUCCGACGGUGAGGCGUUAGGAUCGGCGCAUCAAAACCAGGCAGUAGCCGCUCCCAGCCGAAACCCUAAAUCAUUUGCACUCCCAGUGCGCUGCUCUCUCUCUCUCGUUUCUUCUCAUCUCGGCGCCGGCUCCUUCUCUCCCGAGCAGCCCGUGGCCAGGAAUGGAACCGGCCGCCGGCGGUGAGGUCUUGUUGCCUCCUGUCGAGCGUGCGAAGGUCCUCCCUCCCGCGAGUUGCCCUGGAGGUGAGGAGUCCGCGCCGGUCGCUUCAUGGCCUUAGGCCUCUUCUUUCGGUCGAGCAACACCCGCNNNNNNNNNNNNNNNNNNNNNNNNNNNNNNNNNNNNNNNNNNNNNNNNNNNNNNNNNNNNNNNNNNNNNNNNNNNNNNNNNNNNNNNNNNNNNNNNNNNNUGGCAGGCUCAGGCUUUGUAUCCGGAGCGGGCGGUGGCGGAGCGUUCUUGGUGGCACGCUCCCGCUUUGUAUCCGUGGCAGGCUCAGGCUUUGUAUCCGGAGCGGGCGGCGGCGUUGCGUUCUUGGUGGCACGCUCCCGCUUUGUAUCCGUGGCAGGCUCAGGCUUUGUAUCCGAAGCGGGCGGCGGCGGAACGUUCUUGGUGGCACGCUCCCGCUUUGUAUCCGUGGCAGGCUCAGGGUUUGUAUCCAGAGCGGGCGGCGGCGGAGCGUUCUUGGUGGCACGCUCCCGCUUUGUAUCCGUGGCAAGCUCAGGGUUUGUAUCCGGAGCGGGCAGCGGCGGAGCGUUCUUGGUGGCACGCUCCCGCUUUGUAUCCGUGGCAGGCUCAGGGUUUGUAUCCGGAGCGGGCGGCGGCGGAUCGUUCUUGGUGGCAUGCUCCCGCUUUGUAUCCGUGGCAGGCUCAGGGUUUGUAUCCGGAGCGGGCAGCGGCGGAGCGUUCUUGGUGGCAUGCUCCCGCUUUGUAUCUGUGGCAGGCUCAGGGUUUGUAUCCGGAGCGGGCAGCGGCGGAGACGGACGACCCAAGUCCGGCGGCGGUGAUCGAGAUGGACUCGUGUUGUGCUGGCCGACGUCAUGUGGAGGGCUUGGAGGUAAUGGAGGUGUAGGUGACCUGCGAUGAUUCGGAGGCGGUGUUGUCCUUGGGGCCGAGCCUGGAAGCUUGAUGUAGUUCUUGUCCCAUAGGAUGACUCCACCCAGUACUUCUCCGAGUGUCCUUUCAUCUUCGGGUCCAGCUAUGUCGAGCUCCAUAUCAUUAAACCCCGUCAUGAUUUCAUCCACCCCGACUUUAGCAAAGCCAGCUGGAAUCUCACGGCCAUGCCAGCGUGCAUUAGGGCCAGAAGGUAAAGCUUGUCCGACAGCCACCUUCAUGGAUAUGUUCUUGAAUUUCUGAUGAAGUUCACAUGAUGUUGAAUCCUUGAUUCCAUCCACGGGGUAGCCGGGACCGCCCUCUAUCAUUCGUCGUUCAUCGUCGGGCGGGGCCUCAGAUUCAGCCACGCUGCUUUUCUGCUUAGAUGGAGCGCCGGUAAUAUCAAGUGCAGGAUCUUCCUGGCGCGGUACUCCUCUAAGCUCAUCAAUCUACUUCUGUUGCUCGUUAAUCCUGGCAAGCAACUGGUUGAACUUGUCAUUCUCCUCAUCCUGCUGCCGCUUCUUUGCUCUCUCUCGGCUUCUGUAAAUGUCUUGGUCUCUGGCAAACCCAAGCCACCACGGGUAAGAUGGACCGAAGCCUCGCGUUCGUCCUCCAUGUUCGUCAUUGCCGAGGACCAGUGUGAGCAAAUCUUUAUCUCUAUCUGCAGUGAACUUUCUUUGUCCCUCCUUAAUUUCUUUCACUAUCCUUUUCCAAUUCUCCCUGGGUAUCCUAAGAUUGUCAUUGCAGAUGAGGUCCCCUGUUUUUUCGUCGUACGACCCACCAUGCGCAAGGAACCAAUUUCUUGCUCUCCAUUCCCACUCAUCACGGAGUGGUUCAGGUACGAUGCCUUUAUCUAUCAGAUCUUGCUCUUUCUUUUCCCACUUUGGGAUGGCAGUCUCAUAGCCCCCUGGCCCCAGCUUGUGGUGAUAUUUCUUCUUGUCGGCAUUUAUCUUGUUCUUUUCUGAUAAUGCCUGGGCAUCUUCUGACUCCUUGUACUCUUGAAAUUCCUUCCAGUGAUUCUCCUGCUUGGCUAGAUACCCCUCGAAUACUGGCACUUUCUUUGUCUUCAGAUAGUUUUUUCAUAGCUUCUUCUUCCAGCUACGGAACCGUUCGACCAUCUUCUUUAGAGUCCAUUGCUUGACUUUGGCCCUCAGUUUGUCUGCGGCGUCUUCAUUCUCACAUUCUGGCAGGUUGAAAUGUGACAUGAGAUCAUUUCAAAGAUUAUCUUUGUACCUUUCGGUGACAUAGUCACUAUCGGCUGCCCCUUUGCGCUUGUUCCACUCCCGAAUGCUGAUCGGGACGUGAUCCCUAACGAGAACUCCACAUUGCUUCUUCAAUGUGUCAGCAGCAUUCUUAGGAAGCUUGGGUUCGCCCGUAGGCAUUAUCACCUCAAAGGUGUAAUGCGUCCGUGCAUCCAACUUUCUAGUCGGGCCUCGUUUCGUAGAUUUGCUCGAUGUGGAGGCCUAAGAGGGAGAAACAUUCGUCAAAUGAAUGUAUAUGUAUACAAUAUAGAGCUAUCUCCAAUAUUUUUCACAUAUUACAAGUGAUUGUCGAACUUCAUAUGUAUACCUCACCGGACUUUAUUAUUUCUUCACCUGCUUCUCCACCGGCUUCUCCAUCAGUGGAGCUAUCACCUUCUCCAUCAUUGGACCUAUCUCCUGCCCCAUCGGCUUCAUCUUCGUGUCGCUCGACCUCCAUUCCAUAUCCGGAGUCGUUUAGAUAUGACGACGGAGAUUCAGCUGGUUCAACGUCGGGGCCGUCUUUGAUUAUAUCUUCAAGAAGUUCUUCCUCUUCGAGGUUCCUGAUAUGUGGAUCCAUAGUUCUGCAAAAACGGACAUUUGAUUAACUAAUAAACUAACAAACUAUACAAGAGGGGUUGGAAACUUCGAAGUGUCGUUUUAUAUAGGAGAACCUAAAGUCUAAAAUACCAGCCGGGCGGAGCCCAGUCCCGGACACUUAAGCAUAUACAAUAGCAAAAUUAAACUAGUUCUAUUAAUUUUCUUGCUAAAAAUAAACUAUUAACACUUAAGCAUAUACAACAGCAAAAUUAAACUAUUAACACUUAAGCAUAUACAAUAGCAAAAUUAAGCAAUAAUCUAAGAAACACUAUUAACACUUAAGCAUAUACACUAUACAAUAGCAAAAUUAAAUGACAAAAAAAAUAUUUCUUCUUCUUGUAACCCUAAACUAAUUUUUCCUCUUCUUCUAUUUCUCCUCUUCUUCUACUUCUUCUUCUACUUCUACUUCUCCUCUUUUUCUACUACUUCUCCUCUCCUCUUCUUCUAUUUUUCCUCUUCUUCUCCUCUCCUCCUCUUCUUAUUCUCCUUUUUCUUCUUUUCUUCUCCUCCUCUUCUUAUUUUCCUUUUUCCUAAUUCUACAUAUUACUAACCCUAAUAAUCUAGCACAAACCUAAUAACAAUAGGAAUUAAAUGACAAAAAAAAUCUUUUUCUUCCUUUCUUCUCCUUUUUCUUCCUUUCUUCUCCUUUUUCUUCCUUUCUUCCCUUUUUCUUCUUUUCUUCUCCUUUUUAUUCUUUUCUUCUCCUUUUUCUUCUUUUCUUCUCCUUCCCUUUUUCUUCCUUUCUUCUCAUUUUUCUUCCUUUCUUCUCCUUUUCUUCCUUUCUUCUCCUUUUUCUUCUUUUCUUCUCCUUUUUCUUCCUUUCUUCUCCUUUUUUUUCUUUUCUUCUCUUUUUUCUUCCUUUCUUCUCCUUCUUCUUCCUUUCNNNNNNNNNNNNNNNNNNNNNNNNNNNNNNNNNNNNNNNNNNNNNNNNNNNNNNNNNNNNNNNNNNNNNNNNNNNNNNNNNNNNNNNNNNNNNNNNNNNNUAUACCUCUAUAUAUAUAUAUAUAUAUAAUAAAGAGACUAUUGCUUUUGUCGGAAAACCUACCGCGACAUUUUGAUAAAAAAGCCCCUGUAAUUUUUUUUAUUCAAUCCGCGCUCCAUCAUUUAUCUGCAACGCAAAAGAAAAAACGAUUUGCUGCAAACAUUAUACCCAUACGCAUCGCCUCCUCCCGUCGACCCUGGGCCGCCCUGGCCUGUGCCCAGGCCGUCGCCUCACCACUCGCCGCCGCGGCCGACCNNNNNNNNNNNNNNNNNNNNNNNNNNNNNNNNNNNNNNNNNNNNNNNNNNNNNNNNNNNNNNNNNNNNNNNNNNNNNNNNNNNNNNNNNNNNNNNNNNNNNNNNNNNNNNNNNNNNNNNNNNNNNNNNNNNNNNNNNNNNNNNNNNNNNNNNNNNNNNNNNNNNNNNNNNNNNNNNNNNNNNNCCCGCCCCCCCCCUCCCCCCCCCCCUCGCCGCCGCGGCCGACCUCAACCACCACUGCUGCCGAUCUCAACCCACCCGCCUCUGCGGCCGUACCUCUCCCCGCUCACUGCCCCCGUUGCGGCGCUCGAGCGCAUCGCGUCGACCCUGGUCCACCUUGGCGUGUGCCCAGGCCGCUGCCACACCAUUCGUCGCCGCGGCCGACCUCAACCACCACUGUUGUCGAUCUCAACCCACCCGCCUCCCCGGCCGUACCUCUGCCCGCUUGCUGCCCCCGUUUCGACGCUCGAGCACAACUUCUGGAUCAAAUCAACGCGACAGCUACAGUGACUGGGGAUGAUGCGUCUGCUCGAUACAGAACGGCGACGACGCGGUGGAGCUAAGUACUUGCANNNNNNNNNNNNNNNNNNNNNNNNNNNNNNNNNNNNNNNNNNNNNNNNNNNNNNNNNNNNNNNNNNNNNNNNNNNNNNNNNNNNNNNNNNNNNNNNNNNNGAAUGACGAGUCAGUCACACCGGUCUCUGCCUUCCACUUCAGCAAUUCCAGUGUGCUACCCAGCUUCUUCUGGCCAUCUUCACAAGUUGGGUACAACAAUUUGUUGUGGUCCUGUAACAUCUGCUCGAACUGCAACCUCUCCUUUUCUGUGUCGCAACCUAGUCGUGCAUCAGAAAUGACCCGGCCAAGAGCAUCAGCGGGCUCAUCUGGUUCCCGUUCUUCAUCCUGAUCUUCUUCUUCAUUGUCUUCCAUUGCGGUAUCAGCAUACUCAGGGAACAUAGAUCGGUAGUUGUCAUCAUCGUUCUCUUCUUCUUCAUCGUCGUCUUCCAUCAUAACCCCUCUUUCUCCGUGCUUGGUCCAAACAUUAUAGCCNACCGCAAUGCAGUGCAUACCGGGCAUUUAUCCAUAUUCUCGUACUUCUCACCGCGGUAGAGGAUGCAGUCAUUAGGGCAUGCAUGUAUCUUCUGCACGUCUAAUCCUAGAGGGCAUACAAGCUUCUUUGCUUCGUACGUGCUGGCGGGCAAUUCGUUCUUUCUUGGAAGCAUCUUCUUCAUCAGUACCAGCAACUUUUCGAAUGACGAGUCAGUCACANNNNNNNNNNNNNNNNNNNNNNNNNNNNNNNNNNNNNNNNNNNNNNNNNNNNNNNNNNNNNNNNNNNNNNNNNNNNNNNNNNNNNNNNNNNNNNNNNNNNGCAUGCAAGCUUGAUUUUCUAAGAUCGUGUAGUUCUUCGAUCUUUGGCUUUUCCCAUCCUUUGCUUGCGAUUGCUCAAACGCUUCCGAUUCGAUCUCCUCCAAUUCGUCCGCAGCACCAUGAUCAUCCACGCCACCGUCCGUUUCAUUGUAGUUGAAUGGUUAGAAAGAUGCUUGAUCAAUGUCAACCGUGUUCGUGUCCAACAUGUUCAUGAACUCGUUUGUUGCAUUGUUCGAACCACUGCUAUAGCGAACGAUAACAAGUCACGAGCUAUCAAGACUAAUGGCGAAAAAUGAAAAGGAAUCGCCAAGACCGAAGAGGCAUACCUUCCGGCCAUUUCGUCGAACACCUCGGCCGCGUGGGGAGCAUAAUUGUUCAACUGCAUCGCCGGAGCACCUCCUUUCGGGGGGGGGGGGGUGAAGUCAGAGGUUGAAUAAGGUGGCUUCCUUGAAGCCGGAACCUUCCUCCGCUUUACGGCCGCGGCCUUGCCGUCCUUGUGCGCCGCCAGCCGGGAUCGCACUGAGGCGUUGGCGCCCGGAGCGCGGGCCGUCGCGGCGGGGGCAGCCAGAUUCCCGCCCUGCACGACCACGGUGCCCUGCCUCUUUCGGGAAGGUGCGACAUGUGCUUGGGCGACGGCGGCGGGGGCAACAUGGCCGGCGACGAGAUCCGCCCGAGGGGAAGGAGCAUGCGCGACCUCGACUGUGACGGCGGACAGCAUGUGGUCCUCCAUGGCGGCGAGGAACGACCGGGGAGGAGGAACCGAAGCUUGCGGAUGGGUGGCAAUGGUGGCGGAGGGUGCGGGGAACGGGGAAAGGGCGCACGGAAAUGUCCGUCCCGCCAAAUCUCGCGCCGGAUAGGGGUUGAGCUCGGGUCGGCCUCCCAGCCCGUGAAGAUGGAGGUUGGGGGAGAAGAUUUGCCGCGCCCCGCAAAAAAUAAUGCGGGUCGGCCGGGAUGCCGGGUCUGCUCGUGCGGAUUUUCCGGCCCCGACCCGCAAUUUGGCGCUCAUUUGUUGGUCGGGGCGGGAUGCGGGGUCUGCUAGAGUUGCUCUAAGGCACGUAGAGGCCAUAGACAAUCUCGUGGUAGCAACACCUGUAUUCGCUGGCAUCGACUCCGACACCUCGUGUCGCUGCCGGGGAGUGACACAAGUGUGUGACGAAACGAAACUUAGGGAGGAGGAAGAUCCAUUCCAAAUAUUUAUAACCUCAGUUUUUUGCAGAAAUGGGAACUUUUUACUUGACACAGUGUCUUUCGUCUGUGUAUACUUAUUUUCAUUCUAAAUUGGCACUAUGAUGGACAUCACAAGAUAAUGCUAUCUGCAUUUGCCCUCGUUGACAUAAUAAAUCUUGACGGGAUCUAAUAAUAAAUCAUGGAGGCAACUGUCCGCUGCAUGUUGGGUUGCAUGGAUACUCGCAGUCUAUCUCUUUCACUCCUUGGCUCCUUCCAUGGUACCAAUCUCCUGCGGCCUCUGCAAUGGUCUGCUCGACAAAAUUGUGAUAAUCCAGGUAACAACACGCCGAAUCAGAUACCACAGAUUCAUCGCAAAAGAAAUUGAUGGCAUAGAUAACGUGUUUUACGUUAGAAUUUUUAAUUCCCUACCUUAUUUCCAAGCCUCGGGGAGAUUUCUGAAUUCCAGGAGAUGCCAUAUAGGGAUUGACAGUGUGUGAAGCAUGAAUCGAUGAACAAUCCCCAGUCCUCCUUAUCUUCGACAACAUUCAAUGCACCCACCAUUGUGUUCCUGAAGCCUAUUUCACAGAGAAGCUGAAUAUUCAGUGUUUCGUUGCACAACAAAGACAUUGGUGUUGAAUGAGAGAGAGAGAGAAAAAAAGAGAAAAUGACAAGCUAAGCUAACCAUUGAGGACUUUGAUUUGUGUGGAAUUGCAGUUCCGGAUAUUAUCCUUGCAACUCGACCAUGACUUAUCAGGAGCCGACGAAACUGGUACAAGAACAUUCCGUACCUGUGGCGAAGAGUCAUCGAUAAAAUAGUGAUAACUUUAAAAGAGAAGUUGGAAGAAGAACAAAAAGAAAAAUCAUUCCAAAAUACCUGCCAUGAAUCAUACGCAGAGUUGAGAAUAAACAUGGGGGUGCGGGUGCUCUUAAUAAGCUCUGCGGGGAAGAAACACUAGGAGCAACAUUAUUUCAGUUAGCAUAAUCUAUUAAGGGAGCAAGUAUGACAAGAAAAUCAAACUGGACAAUGGAAAGUACCUCGGUUGGCUCCUUGUUGGCAAGGCAGUCCUUGGGCAACACUUCUCUAACAUUCUGAAAUAAAUUUAUCAAACAAAGAAAAAAAUUAACUCAACAGCAUUCAGUACAAAGUGGUAUUAAUCACAUGGACGGAAAAAUAUUUCAGUGCUUAUUGAUUGUGGCACAAGACUAAACACUUGAAAAACAAGAGUUUUAUAAAGCCUUUUCUGGUAUUCAAAUUUUAGAGAAGUGCAAAACAGGACUAGAAGAUGACCACAAGCCUGGAUUAUAAAAUAAGGCAUGUCUUUUAAAGUUUGAAGCAUGUCUAACAGCAAACCUGGAGGUGAACAACGCCAUCAUAGACAGACCAAAAGGACCUUUUCCCAGAAAUAUCCUUUCUGUCGAAGAAAAAAAGUACUUUAGUUCAAGUGCAAUGCUGGUGGUGGUGGGUGGUGGGUCACAUUUGUUUUCAAAGGGUCUUACACGUCAAGAAAAAACCCAGCAUCAGCAAGGCAUUUGACUGAAACAUCACGAGAAAACCGUGCACUGAAAUCAUCGCAAUGCAGUAUCGUGGCUAGACCACCAGCAGAACAGCCUGUGAGGAGGGCCUGAAAUGUGUAGAAAAAUGAGGAAUGUCGCAUGGGGUUGUUCGCAAGAAAAUAAUCAAUGGUUGUUGCUGAAAUUGACAGAGUAAUAUUUAUAUACUGCCGAUUCAUGUUCAAACUAUACGAACUUUGUAAGUUAAGUAUGACCUGUGUAGCGUUGGCAAGUCCUUUUUCCAUGAGUUCGUCAAGGACCGCUUGGUAGAUGCGCAAUCCUCUGAAGUAAAGUAUGCUUCCAUCCUACAUCAUCACCAAUAGAACAUUAUUACUUGAAGCAACGGAGAUAGCGACAUCAGACUAAGACUCAGAAAAUUCACCUGUGCUCGACCUUCCGCGUCCCCGGAAAACGACGCCCCAUCGCAAUACCGCACAAACACUUUGUUCCAGUUGUAGAAAUCUGAUUACACGCUGAUCAAAGUUAGUGGGAAUACAUAUGAAACAGGUAAAAAAAUACUAUAUGAUUAUGUAAACAAACAGGAAGAUAACGAUGGAACUACCAGGAUUUUGCAGCUGAUCACUGCCGAGGAUCCCAGCACCGGCGAAGCGCAUCGGUUUCAUGAAGUUGGAUGAACCGAGCGCGUACAUUCUGCGGUUGGAACAAUCCUUGACUGUACUGCACCAACCUCCUCCCUGGAUGUAUUUAAGUGAAUAAUAUACAAGUCAACCACUAAUUGGCUUACCUCGAGAACCUACCUGCUAAACAUCCCUACCAUGCAGGUUAAUCAACUAAUUGCCCUAUCAUGAUAGAAACAUUAACAAUGAAAAGGCAUGUGCUUGGUGGUAACAGAAAUUAGGGCGCGGGUCUCUAUCUCAAAGUAUACUUUGGUUAUGGAAAAUGUACUUUUCUAAAAGCAAUGGGUUAUCAAAAGUGUAUAUUUUAAAGAUUAUCUAGUACAAUUUGAGCGAUAUCUUCUUGGUAAUUGGUUACGAGACGUGUAUAAGAAGAAUAAAAUAACUAUAUACUCCCUCCGUCCAUCAAUAUAAGAUGUUUCAGAUACUUCAAUAUAGACUAUACAUACAGAUUGAAACGAGUGAACAAAUACACUAAAAUGUUUCUAUAUACAUCCAUUCGAAUAAGAGAAAAGGUUAGAACGUCAUACGACUGUUUCAUAAAUAAAUUACAUUUGGAAUACCAAUAGUUAGAUUUAUAUUGAUUCAUUACUUAAAAUUUGAUGUAAAAACUUAAAAGUAUAGGUCAUAAGGCCAGAAAAAUCAUAUUUCAUGUAUAUUUUACACUAUGUUUUUAUGUUUUUAAUUCUACGUGACAUAAAAUAUUUUUUAUGAUGAUUAUAAUUUUUCUUACGAUCUCUUUUUAUGUAUGAAAUAAAAAAUAUAUAACAUAAAAUUACGAUGCAUUGAUGAAAAAAUAAAGGGGGUAAAGAAUAAUUAUUCUUCAUCCAAGGUGACGAAUAGUCAACCCUUGAUAUAUAUUCUUCAUCCAGGUAAUCCAUUUCAUCCAGGGUGACGAAUACCAAUAUAUAUGUAUAUAUUAUAUAAUAAUAAAACGGAUGAAUGUUAGAUGAGCUAUCUCUAUCAGUACAAGAACAUUUCUUGUUCUUUGUGCAAUUGGGACGACGCAUGAAAAGAAAGUAUCACCAUACGGACCUCGAGAUGGAUGAGCCAGCGGUUGGAUCCGUCGCCGGAGCCUCUCUGCAGGUGGUACCCCGGCGGGGUCCCGUCCAAGCACACUGCUCCCUUCUCCUGCGCGCCGGCGAGCAGGGUCAACGGGACGGUCUCCGGCGCCGGCACGCGGAAAAGUGGCGGACGGAGAGGGCCCGAGACGGACAGCAGCAACAGGAGCAGGACCGCCGCCGGCAGCCCCCACGCGAGCCAGUCCCGCGGACGCCGGCGCUGCUCCGGGCGGAGGAGGAGCGGCUCGGUCGUCCCCGGCGCCAUGGUCACGAGAGAAAUGGUUUGGUUUGGUUUCGGCUGCUGCUGGUGGUGCUUCCUCUUGCUUGCUCUAAAAUAUUGUUGCCGGCGAGGUGAGGUGAGGUGAGGUCUCGUGCACUCCACUCGUCCUCUCCCGUAGGUUGGCGGGAAGCUACGCAGAUAAUAAUGGCAGAGGAACCCGCCAAAUCCUGUUGAGCUGAAACGAGCUUAAUUUGCUACCAUUCAUUUGAUUCUCCCGGUGCAAGCAAUAAUAUAAUGGUACCAAUUAGUGUCUCCGGAUGGAUCGAUCUCUCCACGCGUCGGGAUUCACUCGAUGGGUAUCAAGAUUAGGGCCCUGUUAGGAUUACCUCCACUCCACAACUCCACUCCGGGAGCAGGUGGAGUUACAGUAGAAAAACGCAGAGCACCACCUUCACUCCACAACUCCACUCCGGAAGCAGGUGGAGUUACAGUAGAAAAACGCAGAGCACCACCUCCACUCCAUAACUCCACUCCGGGAGCAGGUGGAGUUACAGUAGAAAAACGCAGAGCACCACCUCCACUCCACAACUCCACUCCGGGAGCAGGUGGAGUUACAGUAGAAAAACUUUCCCCAUUCAUGAAAAGUAGGAGUACAUAUCAACGUCUUUUGUUUUUUCCCCUCAUCUUUUCAUUCUCAAUUUGCAAUGCCGGAGAUUUCUCCUUUAUUUUUACCUCAAAACAACAACUAGCUAUGAAUUGAUAAUUACUUUUCAAAAGUGAUUAUUAACUAUUAAAAUAACAUCUUCCCUUUUUGGGAAAUUAAUUUCACAUGCGGCAAUUUGAACAUGCUCCCUCUUAUCCCUUGUCUUCUUUUUUACUCAGACAUGUGAGGUAAGAAAAUAAAAAUUAAUCAGACCAUUAAUUAGGAGAUCAACGGUUUAGAUCUAUUACAUACUCUUAUCUUUCAUGUGAAAAAUGAAGGUAAGAGGGAGCGUGUUAAAACUGAUCUUCACAUGCCGAUUUCGUGCUUGAACUAUAAAAAACAUCAUUGACAACGGUAUCCAACCAAUGAACUAACAAAUGUGAUUGAAAAAGGCUGAAGCCUAACCCAAACUCCCCCCAUCCACAACCGCUGCCUCAGGUGACACCAGAGGCCACUAACGCAGCCAUAAAAAAGCCCCUUCACCAUCUCCCAACCCCUCGCCGUCACAUGAGGUGUCCAUCUGGUAGUUGAUGCUAGCGACGGGGUAAAUCUUUCUAGUGUUUUUCUUCUAUCCAACCCUCCCCGUCUGUUCCUCCCCAUCAAGCGUCCAACUUCUCACCGGUGGACCUUGCAAUUCCGGUGCCGGAUCCGACGAUGGCGCUACGCGAGUGAGCGGCUCCCCAAGUUUUGGCAGCUCUGGCAACUCUUCAGCAACAGACGCUCACUGAAGGUUGUGCAACCUUUUCCCAGUCGACUAGCAAGCUAGCCUCAGUGGUGGUAGCGUCUUUGACACUGGUGCACCUGGACCUCCAUGGGUCAUGACUUCUUGACGCAGGUGAGGCAUCCGUGAAUUUUCGACAAACCACUGGAUGUUACCGCGAAUGCUAUUUUCUCACCCAUUAUGAGUCGUAAUAGGUCUCACAUUAGGCGUUGGCCUACUAAGACAGCCCAAUAUUGUAACUGGACAUAAGUUUUUAUGGCUAUUUAUCUUUUUUCACUAUAUUGCAUCAGUUUAUUCAAGUUUUCUCUUGUUUAUUUUGGGAUUGUUUUAGGGUCCCUUGGUUUUCUGUCUCCGGUUUCCAUCAGUUUGCUUAUUUUCUUUAUUUUGUUCAACACAUACAUAAUUUUUUCGUACACAUUGUACAUUUUCGUAUGCAUCAGGAAAGAGUUUUUAUAAACAUUUGAAAAAAUAAUAAUUAAAUACUUGAUCAACAUGUUUUCAAAUAUUAGUUUUCAAGUCCACUUUUUCAUAUACAUUUUACAUUUUUCUUAUACAUUGAAAACAUAGCUAACUAUAUGCUUAGAAUGUUCAUAUAUAUAUGAUAAACAUUUUUUAAAUACAUGGCAUGAUUUUUUUUUCAAUACAUGUUAUUUGUUUUUCCAUUUUACGUUCAAACAUUUUUUGAAUGAUACAAACAUUUUUCGAAAACUAUGUGAGCAUCUUUUAAAAUUUUGUAAGACACAAAUACACUUUUGAAAUGCGUGAGCUUUUUUCAAUCUUACACAACUUUUGGUAAUUGUACUUUUUUGGUUAAUCGAUUUUUUUACAUUGUAUAAUAUUUCUACUAAAUAUCACUUACAUUUAUUUUGAAUAACGUGAAUAUAUUUAAUUGGUGAAUAGAUUUUUCAAAUGACACCAACAUUUUCUGAAGUACAACCAACAUUGUUUUACACUGCAUGAACAUUUUUUAGACGUGCAAUGGGCAUUUGAAAAAAUUAACUAAAUUAUUUUUAUGUAAUAUGCGUAUUUAACAUUUUCCAAAGUAUAAACAGAAGUGAAAAGGAAAAACAAUGUGACGUCAACGUGACGAAACCACAUGGUUACGGUGCUGGCUGAAUACCGGCUCUCUGUAGGAGACUCGCCCUCCUCCACGCUUCCCCAUCAUCUUUAGGCCUUGUUGGGUUGUUUGAGAAUUGAAGGGGUUUGGAGGGGAUUGGGAGGGAUUAAAUCCCCUAUAAGUCAAAUUCCACUUCAAUCCCUUCCAAUCCUCUCCAAUCCCCUCUUUGUUGGGAUUAACCGAACAAGCCCUUAUGUGUCUGUGGAGGUGGUGGUGCUAUGGUCCAGGAAGAAUGUGGCAGUCUGGAUGUCAUCAUGGUUCCAAAGAUUUUGUACGCGCUCCGGGUGAAAAUUGUAUAUAUUGAUAUUCUUCAUCUAAUAUAAUUUGACACGCUAAUUAACAAAUUACUUUUGUUCAAUCGACUGAAAUGUGAACUAUUCUUAAGUUCUAAUUAUGCGUGAAAACAAAGUAGUGACAUAUAAUAAAUUGAGUUAAGAUAGUAUGCGUAUGUAUUUCCAAAUUUACAUUCUUUGAUUUGUAUUGAAUGCCAUAUCAUUUUAGUUCUUAUGUUCCAUGUUAUAUAUGAAAAAAAUUAUAAAUUCUCUGCUCAACUAAAAAAAGCGCAUAAGGUCCCAUCUUACAUCUGUUUUUUCUCCCCAUCACCCUUCGUCCGUUGUCCCAACCUACAUUAAUUUUUUUUCAGGGUUUCUACCCCCUUCUGAUUUUCAUCAAAACAAUCUAUGGUAAUGGAAUAAACCAAUUCAAUCCAAGGUAAAUCAAUAAAUUCACGUCCAUAAAGAAAUUAUUUCUUAUGGUAGAAAUUGGUACUGAUCAGACAACCUUGGUAACCCAAUAAGUACAAUAAUUUCAUGGCAUGUAAACAAAAAUAUAUAGAAUUUAAUCCAUUAUCUUUGACAACACAAUAAAGCAGAUCAAUCAUGGGCAUUUACAUACUUUUUCAGUUUAAGCGAUGGCAGAAAAUAUACUAGGAAAUUUUUCAUGCUGAUUUUCCAUUCUCAGUUUACAAUGCUAGAGUUUUCACUUUUUUGUUUCUCAAAAAUAAAUAUAGCUAUGUACUGAAAUUUAUGAAAAGUAAUUAUGAAUUAGAAAAAUAACAUAUCCCCUUUCUUGGAAAUUUCUCAUGCUGAUUUCGUGACAACAAUAUCCAACCAAUCCUUGCUGGUGACCACAAAUGCUGUUUCUCGCUAGAUGCCAAUCGUAAUUGGUCUCACCUACAGGGUGGAGCUAUAAGGCCGAUCCAACACUGCAGCUACACAUGAGUUUUCCAUGAUUUUUAUCCGGGUUUUCACUAUUUUGCAUUGGUUGCCUUUAGGUUUUCUUUGUUUUUUUUCUAUAUAUGUUUCACUGGUUUUCUUUAUUUGUUUCUUAUUCUUUUAUUUUUUCUUCUUAAGUCAUGCAUAUAUUCCACACAUAUUUUACAUUUUUUUCUAUACAUUAGUUACAUUUAUUAUACAUGUUUAGUAUUUUUCAAAUACAUGAUUAACAUGUUUUCAUGUCUACUUUUUCAUAAGCAUUCAACAUUUUAUAUAUACAUAUAAAAAUAUUUAUAUUUGUAUUUAAAUUUUUAUGCAUUACUAACAUAUUUUCAAGUAGAUGUUUUGAACACUUUUUUUAAUAUGUGUUAAAUAUUUUAUGUUGAGACAUUUUACAUUAUUUUGUUUGAACCUUUUUAAUGAAAAACAAUUGUUAUCGAAAUUAUCCAAAAGUUUUUUAUAUUUUAUACUUAUUUUUUAAAAUGUUACAAACAUUUUUUUGAAAUGCAUGCUUUUUACAUGUAAAAUACAUUCCUUUUGAAUUAUACAAAACAAUAUAGUUUGAAUUAUAUAAAUAUUUUCUUUAGUUUUAUAACAUUUUCAAUAGUGCAACUUCCAGUUUUUGAAACAUGUUAACAUAUUUUAAAUGUCAAAUAUAUUUUUCUGAAUGGGUCAAAUUUCAUAAAAGUUGGGCAGACACUUUUUUUACGCUGUAUGGACUUUUUUCAAUGUGCAAUGGACUCUUUAAAAAUACGAACAUUUUUCAUAAUAUGUGUAUUUAAUAUAUUUUUUCCAGCAUAAAAAUAUUAAAUAAAAACAUGCAUGACAACAACGUGACAAUACCACAUGGUUACUGGGCUGGACCACAACCGGCCCCUGUAGGGAAGCGUUUCUCUAUCUUGGAUAGGCAAGACAUAGACUCGGCCUUCUCCAUGUUUCGCCACCAUCAAUGUGUGCUCAUGGAGGUGGCGCUGCUAUGAUUCAAGCCCAUGUGGCAAUAUUGAUGUCAUCAUGGUUUUAUGGGUUUGCUCUAGUUCAUGGUGAAUAUUGCGCAUUGAGAUUCUUGAUCUAAUUUUAAUUGGCAUGCUAUUUAACAAAUAAUUUAUUCAAUCGAUGGGAAUUCAAAAUUUUUUAAGUUCAAAUAUUCUUGUAAACUAAAGUAGUGACAUAUAACAAAUUAAGUUAAAAUAGUAUACUUAUGCAUUUCCAAAUUCACAUUCCCGAGUUUGUAUUGAAUGUCAUAUCAUUUUAGUUCUUAUGUUCCAGAUGAUAAAAAGUACACAUUUCCAACUACUUAAAAAGAACGUAAGGUUUCAUCUUAUGCCACUUUUUCUUCCCAUCACUUCUUCGUCCGCUUUCCCACCCUUCAUCGAUUCCUUCAGGUUUUCCCAUCCCCUUCUGAUUUUCAACAAACCAAUCUUUGGUAAUCAGAUAAACUAAAUCAAUCUAAGGUACAAUAUGAAAUUCACGGUCCGCAAACACAUUCUUUCUUAUGAUAAAAAUUGGUAACGGCCAUAUAACUUCAAUAACCCAAAAAAAUAGCAAUGAACCCAAGAUCCAAAAAAGGGUCAAAAAUCAAUAUGUUAUCCUUGAUAACACAAUAAAACAGAUCAACCAUGGGCAUGUACAUAUUUUGUCAAUUUAAGCAAUGGCAUAAAAUAUAUGAUUUAUAAUCAAAACUUAAUCUUAUUCUAUGUAUUUCUUUUGCAUCAAGAUCUAUCCCAUAUGACUCUCUUAUAGCCUUAAAAACAUUUGUCCUAUGGCAACACAUGGACACAUUGUCACAUACCUAGUACAAUAUUAUCUUAAAAAAGGCAUAUCUUAUUGGUUUCCUUCUCAGUUAGAGUUGCUUUGUCAUCUUGUAUCGGUUCAGCCGUUUGGGCUUUAUUAAUAACGCAGAGCAAAAACCUGUUUCGAGGAGUUUGCGUGCGCGGGGCAAAAAAAGAGAGAAAGAUUUUCUUUUUUUUGGGCACAAAAAGAAAGGGAAGGCAAAAAUCGAAAUCACUAGUUAGCGAAUACACCUCCCAACGAUUACUCCCACCUUCACAGGUUGCGACAAGUGGCACUGCAUGUGUGCCACUUGUCGCAACCCGUGAGUUUUCCCUUUUUUCGUAGAUCCGUAUUUUCAAAACGUUUUUAUCUUCUAAAUCAUGCGUUCAAAUCUCGAACCGUUUUCACCGUUGGCUUUCUCGCGUCGAGAUCUUCAAAACUAUAUCCCAUGUUGAUAGAUUUUGACGAACUUUGUUUCUCAUAAAAAACCGGAAGAAAAAAACCAUGCCUCACGUGAUAGAAAAAAAACCAAAAGACACGUUUUUUUUCCCUUGAGAGACACGGGUUGUGCCUCUUGUGAAGGCAAAACCGUGCCUCUUGCGGAAGCAAAACCGUGCCUCUUGUGAAAAAAAGAGAGCAGAAAACACAUUUUUUCCCUUUUUCGGGAGAGGCACGGGCGUGCCUCUCGCAAAGGCAAAAUCGUACCUUUCGCAUAAACAAAACCGUGCCUUUCGCAAAAAAACAACAACAAAAAACAUGUUUGUUUUUUUCCUUUUGGGAGAGGCACAGGCGUGCCUCUCGCGAAGGCAAAACCGUGCCUCUCGCGAAAAAAAGAGAGCAGAAAACACAUUUCCCCCUCUUUUUUGGGAGAGGCACGGGUUUGUCUCUCGCGAAGGCAAAAUCGUACCUUUCGCAUAAACAAAACCGUACCUUCCGUAAAAAAAAAAACAACAACAGAAAACAUGUUUUUUCCUUUCGGGUGCCUCUCGCGAAGGCAAAACUGUGCCUUUCGUGAAAGCAAAACCGUGUCUAUCGUAAAAAAACAAAACAUGUUUUCCUUUUCCUAAAGGCACGGACGUGCCUCUCGCAAAAAACAAAACAUGUUUUCCUUUCCUCUCGCAAAAAAAAAACAAAACAGAAAACGAGUUUUUUCACGUAAAAAAAAAAGAAAACAGUUUUUUCUGAAAAAAAUUGAUUUUUUUUUCGUCCAAAAGUUACGAAAGACCAGUGAAAAACCAUAACACCCAAAAUCUUCGGAAAAAAACCACUCAAAAAAGACAAAAAUGCGUGAAGAAAAUAAAAAAACAAAAUUAGAAGGAAACGCUCAAACGUGACCAGUUGCUGCUCGCAAAAAUGGUAAGCAAGUAAGCGGGCCUGGAUCUGGAGCAGGGCUUCUCGGCGUCUACAGCCCAGUGAAGUCCCAUCGCCGCAGAUAUUUCCCCCCGACAGAACAAACCUCGGUCCUCCAUUCCAUUCCAUUCCAUCCUCCAAACACAAGCCAACCAACGGAACCUUCCAUCUCCAGAUCUCGCCUCGCCGUCUCCGGUCUCCCCUCCCCUCGCCCACACCGCCGCCGCCCCUCCGGCGUCGGCGGCGGAUCCCCGCGCGCCGGCUCGGCCACGAUGCGGCCGGUGCCGGGGGCCACACCCUCUUCUUCCUUGGGCGACGCCCGGCUCAAGCCUCCUUCCCCUUCCCCUACCCCCCGCCCUUGGCACCCCCACCUCUCCUAACUCCCUCCCCUCCCCUACGCUAACCCCCUCUCCCUCCCUCGCUAGUCCCUGUAGCGGCAUUUCUCGAUCCCCAGGAUUGUACUACCGCGGACCGGAUCUGCUCAUCCGCGGGCUCAGUUGAUCGGCGACCGACUCCACCCACCUCUGCUCAGCAUUUCAGGUUAUUACCAGCCAGGGAUCACGCCCUUUUUGUUUCUAGGAUCAGAGUGAGCCGGCCAUGAUAGUCCAAUGUGUAAGCCGGGGUCAGUUCACAAGGUAGACAGGCCACGGGGAACCGGGGCUGGUAAUAUCUUCUACACAGUAGACAGCAAGAUGAUCCAUCAUUUGAUAGGGCUGUUUAUCUCUCUCUGGCAAUGCAACGAUGCCCCCUAGAGCAAGAGUAGAGUGGGGUUAGUAGAGGCAUUUCACAGAUUUGUUAUCCACAGAUAUCGUAUCUGUAUUACUGGAUGGCAUUUGUAUUGUUAUUUUUUGGGAUUUGAAUUAGCAGGACAUGGUUAUUACGUACUUAAUCUCCUCUUUGAAUUAAACACAAACUUUGUCGAUUGAUGAUAUGUAGUUUCACAGAUUUGUUAUCCGCUCAUAUGGUACUACCUGUUAUUUAGUUUGCCUUGUUGUUUUCUCGUAUUUGAGACAGUGGAGCAUGGUUUGCUAAUAUCUCUACUGCCCGUCCUUGACGAAGCUACUUAAUUUGCUCAACAAAUGAGAUUCAGACACGAACCAGGACUAAAGGGGUUGCGCCAUGAGCCAGGCCCUUUAGUCCCGGCUGGUGGCUGGAACCGGGACUGGUGCCUGCCGAGGCCCGACCGGCCUCCUGGCCGCUCGAACCGGGACUGAUGCACGCAUUAGUCCCGGUUCAUAAGUCGACAGGGACUGUUGCUCUGAUCUGGUAAAAACCAAAGCCCUGUUUUCUACUAGUGCUUGCUUGCAAAUGACAAGUUGGUCAGAAUUUUGACCGGCCACUGCCACUUCCCGUUGCUUCUUGUGACCCCUUGGUUGUGUUUUUGAAACAUGCAAAGAGAUCCCUAUCCACCGUCACGCUUUCAUGACAACCAUAACUUUAUCAAUUGAUGAUCUGUAGUUUUUAUGAAUUCCACUAAUAUCUAACUGCCUUCUUGCAGCGACAAGCGACUCCAUGGGUGAUUUGGUUUGUGAUUCUGAAAUAGUGCUGAUGGAGGGUCACGGUAUCUCUUCUGUCUGCAAGGAUGACAUGGUUCUGCUAGAGGAGGCGACACUUCCUCUAGCUGGGCAGACUCUAGGUUCUUGUGCGGAACUCCGUAAUAACCAGGAGGGAGGUCAUAAACAAGCAAGGGAUGCUGGUUCUUUGGACACUGAAGUGAAUAUCGCAGGUUCUUCCAGCUCAGGAAUAAAGAGAGGCAAAGGAGGUGAUGGGAACUCCCGUGCAAUCUCCAAUUACAGUGAACCAAAGGCCUCUUCUACUUAUGAGCUCUCGCCAUCCUUUCCGGUGAGUUCAACAUGUUAGAUUAUGCUGUGUUUGCUUGAGCUAUGCCCACAAUGCUUUAAGCGUACUCUGUUAUCGAAAGUAUCUCUAUGAACGGAAAAGGGGUUUUUCGGGUCUGCUGUAGCAACUAGCUGAAUGGAGAAUAGGAAGGGCAACAGGAAGAGGGGUAUUCUUGCUAUAAUAUCCUGACAUUGAUGUUUGUAGGUGAAAAAUGUUUAGCAAAUUCAAAAGGCAGUGGUAAUAUGUUGUGGCGUAUUACUAACCUCUUGGGAAACAUGUUUCACAUAUCUGCAUUGGAAUUUCCAAAGUUCCCUUGUUUGAUGUGACCAUGCCAUUUAAUUUUCAGUUCCCAGGCCAAUUAUACGUACUAUUUGUUGCGCCUAACGUAUUAUUGUGUCCAGCUGUCUAGGUCCAUCAAUCUGUGUUGUGAAUUUGAAUGAGCUUACAUGUAAUGUUAAAUUGAUCACGAAACUGCUCUGAGUUCAGUUCUGUUUCUACCUUGCUGUAGUGGUGCUGUAGGUCUUGGUACAUUUAGACUAGGCUUUCACGAUAAGAUGAUACUGUAACCGUGGCAGCUUUUCUGAUCCAUAAUGCAGUUUAAUCCUUGCCUGACUUUGGAUCAUUUACACAUAUUGCCUUCCUAUUCUCUGUCUAGUCGACGUCAAGGCUUCUCGUCUCUGCUAUGAAAGGAGGCCGUGAGAGAAGCGGCAAAGAAGCAUCGCCAACCGAAAACCGCCGCGUGAACUGGGCCCCAGAUGUGUACGACCCCCCGGUAACCUCGGUCGACCACACGCUCAAGAGCAACCAACAGCGCUCCAGGUCCAGGAAGAAGGACAAGAGUAAGCAGAAACAAAAGCCGAAGAAGAGGAAGUCGCGCGGCAACGGCAAGAAGAGCACCCUCCACGACGCCGCCCACAACCCGCCUGCUCUCGACGUGCCCGGGUAAGACCAUAGACAUUCCGUAUUACUACCUUUGGUUCCAUGCUCCGGGAAUCAUGCAUGUGAAAUCAUCGUACGCUGACAGACAUUUUCUCCUCAGGCCGUCUUCGCCUGACGAACUAGGCUUAGGGGAAGUGGAGGAGGCCGAGGUGCUGGACUACAGCGCCUUCAACAGUCAGGAGCCGAAAUGCGGAAGCAGCUUCCCACACGAGAUCGCCACGGCACGGACGUGUUUCCCCGCCGCCGAGGCAUCAUGAGGACCGACGGUGGCUCGGGACCCCGGACCCUAGAGGAGGUGUAGAUAGAUACGGUUGGUGUACAUAAAUAAGAGAAAUCCAGGCUGUGUGAGUGAGAUGAGACGAGAUGCCCUUUCUAUACAAGCUUUUUUUUGGCUGGCAUCCUUUAUUAGUAGCAAGCAGUGUAGUGUGCUACACGUUUGUAGCCACGCACGGACUGAUGAGAUUUGAGAAUAAUUGAAUCCUCUUUUUGAGAUGGGUGCUGAGUCGGGCUGGCUAAAUCCUUAUGCCAAUCUCAUCUUGGCUCCAAUGGUCCUGACCUAUCACAAUGGUAUCCACUGUUCAUUGAUCAGUGACCAGUCUCAGUAGCAGCAGCAGGAGGCUAAAUUUCGUGUUUUGACCUUUUUGUGUAACUUGAUCCAAAUCUGACCUUAUUUUGUAAAUUUUUUGGGAUUUGACCUUUUUCCUACCGUCAAUGUCUUUGGCGGUAGGGUAUAACAACCCACCGUCAAGCUCCCUGACGGUAAGGGGGACACGUCUUACCAUAAAAUUUUCUGAAGUGCCGGACACAGUGAGUCUUUACACCUACCGUCG